rnacentral:lncRNA from 1 species
GCAACACACACACACACACACACACACACACACACACACACACACACACACACACACACACACACACGCACGCACACACACACACACACACACACACACCUCCUGUGCCCCACCCUGUGCCCUACCAUUUCCUUAGCUAAUCAUGAAUGUAACCCCAUCACCAGGGCCGCUGCAAACGAGCUUGCCAAGAACCGGUCGUACCGGCACACCGGCGAUGUGUACGAGGAUGAGGAGCAGGAGGACGAGGCGGCCACCGAGCUGGUGGAGCCGGGCUCGGACCUGGCACACAGGGCGCGGCGCGGCAGCGUGGGAGAGCAGCGGCGGCAGCGGCAUAUCUUUUCGGAGCGCGAGCAGCGCCGCACGCAGCGCGAACGCCGGGGCCGACAUGAGGAGGAGAGCGAGGAGGCGCGGGAGCGGGAACGGAAGCGGGAACGGGAGCUGGAACAGCAGGAACGGGAGCCGGAGCGACGCCGGCCGGCGCGGCACGUGAUCCGGCCGUACGCGCGUGAGGAGCGGGAGUUGGCAGGCGGCUCGGGCUUGGGGUCGGGUAAGGGCUGGAACAGGCGGCAAAGCGGAGAGGAGCAGCGCUGGUGUGAGCACGAAGAGGCGGAGGAAGCGGACGAGGAAGACGAGGAGCAUUUGCGGCUGGAGGAGCGGGAGCGUUCCGAGGCUGAGGUGCUUGAGGCAGUCAGCCGCACCGCCUCCCAGCGCUGGCAGGCCACACGCACGCUGCAGCCGUCGGUGGGUGUCGGAACGUGCGUCAGGCGACCGUGUUUGGCGGUAUGCGCAAGAGUCAUGCCCGUGUUACUGUUUGUGUUUGUACCCUAUGCGUCCUGCGUGUUCGACUGUUGCACACCUUCUCGCCAGGCCGAGCGCUGCCUUGUGGGCCGGACCCUCCGUCGCUUACGCUGACCAUGUUGUGUUUGACGUGCCCUCAUGUCCACAGCGGAGCAUCCUCAAGAAGCCCGCAUCUAUAAACCGCCGCGCGUCAGAGGCCGCCGGCGAGUCCGGACGGACUGAUACAGAGCCCGGCUCAACACCUGGCGCCAGGUCUGACUCCCACGUGGCUGUACUGAGCCUCGAAGGGGGUGAGCUGCACAGAGCCGGCGGCACUAGCCGGCUAGCGCCCGGAGCAGCCGACACAGCCGCCCAUGCACCCUCGCAUGCAGCUUGGGAUCAGGACGGCAGCGGCCACGGGCCGGGCAGCGACGCGCACGAGUCAACAGCCGUGGAGGCGCUGGGCGGAGGCACGGACUGCGAGCGCGGGCGCACCCGGGAUCCAGGUAUGAUCGCUGCAUGCACGCGCGGGCUGCUGUGGGGCAGAGCUUCCGCAAGCAGUGACGUGCACUAUAAGACAUGGCCAGUGGGGCGUGAGCAUUUGUUAGUAAGAGGUGUGUGAUGCUGUGUUGCGCAUCUGCGCACGGUGUGCGCAGGCGGCGGUGGCGGCAAGCGACCGCGCAGCCUGAGUAAGAGCGUCUCGUUCCGCGGCGUGGACGGCGACAGCGGUGGCGACGGCAAUGGCGGUCAGGCUGACGGAGCGCAGCCCAGUGAGGCCGCGGCGGCUGCAGGCGCUGCCCGCUGAGGCUGCUCGUUGUUACCACAGCUACAUCAUGCUUCUCGGGGCAGCUUCAUGAGCGGAGCCGCAACGACGAUCCGGUACCAGGCCCUGGCCGUAGUUUCGGGGGCAAAGGGUGACGUAUGCAUAUGACGUGCAUGAGACUGCAGAACUGUGCACGAUGCACACACCACAUGCGCUCAAGGCAAUACCUGGGGGAAUGGCCCCUGUGCAGUUUGCAUGUAUUUAUGCUAUGCAUUAUUACUCGCACGGGCGUGCUCAACCACCAUCGUUCUGCAAGUAUUGUGAACAGCUGCCGUGCAUGUGUGAUGCUUGUGAUGCUUGUGAUGCUUGUGAUUCUAAGCAAGUUGGCUUACACAGCGUGUCGACUUGUGAUGGCGCGUGCUGUCAUGCUGCAGUAUUGACAGCGAUCUAAAGUAUGCAUAUGUGCCUGCUUGCUGUUGCUGCGGAUGAUUAGUCAUGGCGGCCAACACGUGGGAGGCAAUUUGCUUAUCAAGAACGAAUGUUUGAUUUUGUGUUUGAAUCUCAGGUGACUCAUCCUGGCCCGCAGCCCUGGACACGUAACUCGGUAACUGAGGAUGAGUCACCCUACUGCCGCACAGCUCUCAAACACGUGCACUAACCGGGGUGAGGCGGCUCUCACGCCACCAAAUCGAACCUGUGAUAACUUGAUUGGCUUAGCCGUAGCGCAAUGAAGCGUAAUUCACAUAAAUUUAUGAUGUGAAGGAUCAAGGCUUCGUGCAUGGCCGGUGGUACCGAGUACACGGGCUGCAGCUGGACGCUGUGCCGGUCCUGAAGACACGUUGUGACUGCGGGCCAUGAUAGCGAGACUGCAAGCAGGGACAGGCCAUGUUUGUGCAUUCACGGAUACUGGCUUUCAAAUGCUAAAGGAGAACGGGGGGUUAGCCAGAGGUCAGUGUACCGUACUGUCUGCGUAUUGGCUGCUUCCUCUUGUGACGUUCAGCCUGCCGUUGCCCCAGCAUUGGCGCACAGGAGGGCAACCCAGGGGAGGCCGACCGUGACGGCCGGGGUGGCUGAUGCCACUCACGCAGCUGACGCGGUGGUGCAUUGACGUCACCGACUCAGCGUGCAGGGCCGGGCUGGCUUCGCCUGUGCAGUCCCCAUGGCCCGCAGCCCUUGACUACUCCAAACCUUCGGCGCAGGGGAACGUAACUGCCGAGUGCCGACGCUUUCCGGGCUUCUGGCAGCUUCAGUCCACAGUACGGUUCAGGCAGGUUGGUACGGUUGGUUGCAGUACGUCGUCUGACUCGUCUCCAUGAAUCCGGCAUACACGGUGCGUGCUGUGGAGUCCACCAGAGACCACUGUCCCCACCGCGUGGCAUUGGGCCAUCCAGCACAGGUCUUCGGCACCAGUCGGCACGAGCCUCCAGGUGUCGCAUUUGGACAAUAUUAUGACAAACAGCGAACUCCGCUCAUGACAACGGGCGCGUAACGCCGCGGGUCGGCAUGCGCGGUGGAUCGCCGCUGCCCGCCGCCGCUCAACUGCAUGGGGGCUGCGGGCAUGAUGCACAUUCCAGAGAGGCACGAUUAAUCUCCAAGCUGUAUGUUACCUAUUACUCGUAGGCCAGCCCUCAACGCUGCUGUUACUGCUGUGCACCUGUUUUGCAUAGCAAUAGAACUUAGCACCAAGCUGGCGACGCUUUCAGUCUCCAGCUCCAGGCCCACCCACAACGCAAUAGAUCAUACCGCAAGCAGACAGCUUAAAUGGUGAGCGCGGCGCGAGGGGCACGUGCGAAACUUGCAAAACCAGGUAACCUUACUUUGCGCGUGCAGGGUUGCAGCGCUUCAGUUGAUGCAAAAGUGCGUGCUCCUGGAUCAGAAGCUAUCUGUAAACCCGCCAAGCAAUCCAACGAGGGCUCGGCGCAUAGUGUUGGCUCCAGCAGAAGUGGGGACGCUGUCGUCAUAAUUACACCAAUCGCACGUAAGCUUAUGGUUUGGGUGGAUACAGAGCCCCAGGGAGCGUGGCGGGCCUUUGUGAGAGGACACAACGUGGAUGCAUGCCGCGAAUUUACUUCUCUGCUGUCUUCUCUAGUUUGAAGCGCUGAUGAGUUUCCGAAAAUGAUAGAGGUGAUAUUUUGUUAUCUUUAGCAUGCCAUCGCCUACAACUGACGCAGAGCGCAGGAGGGAACGCCUGGUUUCAAGACGCGGAGACGCUGGUUUUUAGCUCAUCUGUGCCCCAUUCCUGUUAUGUACACAAAAUCACUAUGAUUAUUAUGGUUGACACAUUACGUGCUCUCUGGCCCUCACAGAAUCGAACUCGCCCAGGUCUUCGGCGGUCGGCUUGAGUCGGGAAGCUUCGAGCAAAGUGCCCGCAGCAUCCGUCAAGAUAAACAACAGGCGACAAAGUGCUGACAGGCAAGCAGGUAAGCUCAAGCUUGACCCAUGGAAAGAAGUUUUCCCGUCGCGCGGUGCCCAGCUGCUGUCCCUGUUCGAGUGCACGAGUGAAGAACACAGACCGGGCGCACACAGUAACAUAGGGUGCCCGGCUCCCGACCUGUCGGUUGCGGGCACGUGAUGGGGGGACUAUACGACAGAGGAAUGAACACCUGAACACUGUGCAUAUGGGGGAUGGGCUCGUGGUAAUCGAAAUCUCUCAGCAGCCUCCUCACACACGCACAAUUCUUUACUCUGCUGCCUGUCCACUCGCCUGUCCAACUACUACCAGUCGGGGAUUUCUUCUCCUGAAGGUUAGCACGAGCUGCCCAAUUUCCGGGAUCAGUAGCAACCAUGCUGCUUGCUUCCGAGCAUGGCAUUUGCGCAAUCCGCGGAGUCUGCUAAACGCAAGCUGGCAGGGGCGAGGUGUCGGGGACAAUCAGAGAGCUCCUCUGUGCGCUUCUGCAACCUGCCGGCGGCUUGGUUGUUCUAGGGCUAUGUGCUAAUACUGCUCCAGCUAUCUGCGGAGCCCUAGCUCGAUUCCGAAGGGCGUGAAGCGCGUUUUGCAACGAGGCGUGCUCGGUGUCGUCGAGCCUUAGGGUUCUCACGCCUGCGGCCGUCCAGCAGCAGCUGUGACCACAACUCCAAUUGCAUAACGCUAUUAACUUGACAACAAUUGCAUGUAUUCCAUCGGCAUGGCCGCAAGCAGGCCUCGAGCACUGAUUGUGCGUCCUCACGUCUUCGCGCCUUGCCCUUGCAGGUCUAACCAUGGCCGCGGGAUCUGUUGGCGUCUUCGCCACCGAUGAGAAGAUUGGCAGGUAAGAGCCAGCGCAUGCACGUUGUUGAAACGUGGUCAAGCCCUUGCUCUCAAUUCUGACCCAACUCGAUGGUCGCUCAGUUUGGCCCAAGGCGCUCUUUUAGGUGCCUGAUGCGCGUGCUGGCGGUAAUUGCAACUGCAGUGCUGCGGCUACACCUGCCGCUCCUUUGACGCUUGUUUCCAGCCAGGGUUGAUGUGUGACCAGCUGGCGCACCUUCCUAGCUUUGCACGCGGGGCUGCACACGGUCAGCAGGAGUAGCAGCACAGCGGCCGCUGAGCUCUCGCCUCACGUUCUCGGCCCACCUACGAAUCUGCACCUGGUGCCGCCACCUUUCCACCCCACCGCGCGCGUCUGUGCCGUCAUCCGCCACCGCAUCCUCACCACGUCUUUCCCAUCCGCCUCCCAACCCCGCUUAUGCUGCUGCUUCCCCCUUGCCACGCCGCCUCGCAGCCUGCUGGACCAGUCCAUCACGCGCCACUUUCUGUCGACUGUGACCGACCAGCAGGGCAAGAUCUGUGCCGAGUAUGUGUGGAUCGGCGGCUCCAUGCACGACGUGCGCUCCAAGUCGCGCACCCUGUCCACCAUCCCCACGAAGCCCGAGGUGCGUACCGCACUUGUGUGUCUACAUGCGUGAGCAUUGGCGGGCAACCCAUAUUGCCAUUGCUCCGGUCUGCCUGAGGACGAACUGCGGGCCCGCGGAGGAUGACUGGCCCGCAACAGGAACGGCGUGGUGCCGCAUGCACGGCAACUGCACAUGCGGGGGCAACGCCUGCGCAUGGACGCUGUUAACCGCCUCCGCCCCGCUUGUACCUGUGCCCGGCUGUCGCCUUCAUGACCUGCGGCGCGUGCACACGCCUCCCCCUCUCCCUGUUCCUCCCGCAGGACCUGCCCCACUGGAACUACGACGGCUCCUCCACCGGCCAGGCCCCCGGCCACGACUCAGAGGUCUAUCUCAUUCCCCGCUCCAUCUUCAAGGACCCCUUCCGGUGAGGGCGGCUGGCGGCGGUGGUGCUGGGUGGCGGUCGAGCGGGCGGGCAAGCAGGUCUGGCAGGGCCCUGGCAGGCAAGGGGCUAGUGCAGAGGUCACAGGAGCAUCCGCAGACACACGGGGCGGCAUCGGGAUGAACACCAAUUCGACAGAGCACCCGCCUCACCACCUCCUUCCGGCCUCCUCCCCAAAUCCACAGCGGCGGCGACAACAUCCUGGUCAUGUGCGACUGCUACGAGCCGCCCAAGGUCAACCCCGACGGCACCCUGGCCGCGCCCAAGCCGAUCCCCACGAACACCCGCUUUGCCUGCGCCGAGGUGAGGGGAGGUUGUGUGUCUCUAGUCGCCAGGCGGGCUGCAGGUGCCGCCUGCGCAUGCGCUGGCGUGCUGCGAUGAAAGGGCGGGCGCCUGUAAACCGCUCGAACCCGCUACCUACGCGCCCCUUUAAAACACCCGACUGACCCCGCGUUACGGCUACUGAGUACUGACCUUUCGACCCUGCACCCUGCCGUGCGCCUGCUGCACACGCCCAGGUGAUGGAGAAGGCCAAGAAGGAGGAGCCCUGGUUCGGCAUUGAGCAGGAGUACACGCUGCUCAACGCCAUCACCAAGUGGCCGCUGGGCUGGCCCAAGGGCGGCUACCCCGCCCCCCAGGGCCCCUACUACUGCUCGGCCGGCGCCGGCGUGGCCAUCGGCCGCGACGUGGCGGAGGUGCACUACCGGUGAGCGCGGGGCGGCAAGGUUGGGUGUGUGGAUGGGUGGAUGGGGUGGAAGCGUGAGGCGUGGGGAGGUGGGGGCUGAGGGAAGGGCGAAGGAGGUGAGGGAAGGAUAAGCAGGGGAGCGAGGGAGGAGAGGGAGGGCAGUAGCGAAGGAGGGCGGAGGGAGAGGGACUGACGAAGAGAGAGGAAAUGCACGGGAGGGCGCGAUGCCAACAAAGCGUGAGCUUAAUGGUGGUGGACAAGUGGAAAGAGUUGGCCAGGGGGCUGUGUACGGACCAGCCAGCGCUGACAGGGGAAGGUGGGCUUGACAAGGGGCAAAGCGGCUAGCACAGGCAGUUGUGCAACCGUUCCUGCACAGCUCGGGCAGGAACGGGCGGCACUGCCAAGGGCAGGGGCAGCUUGAAGCCCGAUGCAUGCACCCGCCAUCGUGUGUGACCUAGAACAGUCGCGGCCCGGCUCGUCACGGGCCGUGCCAUCGCCUGCCGACCCACGUUGCGUGUUCGUGCCCGCACUCGAAAGCGCCACCCUUCCCCUCUGCGCCAUCCCAACUCACCACACCUGGGACGCCUCCCCCGCCUCCCCCCACCUCCGCAGCCUGUGCCUGGCCGCGGGCGUUAACAUCAGCGGCGUGAACGCCGAGGUGCUGCCCAGCCAGUGGGAGUACCAGGUGGGCCCGUGCGAGGGCAUCACCAUGGGCGACCACAUGUGGAUGAGCCGCUAUAUCAUGUACCGCGUGUGCGAGAUGUUCAACGUGGAGGUCUCGUUCGACCCCAAGCCCAUCCCCGGCGACUGGAACGGCUCCGGCGGCCACACCAACUACUCCACUAAGGCCACCCGCACCGCGCCCGACGGCUGGAAGGUGCGCCGGGUCGGGUCGGAGGGUUGCGGCGUUGUGGAAGGGCGGCGGUUGGGGCGGUUGGACAGCAGGUGCGUGCAGGAGGGAAAUGGCAGCUGCCUUGCUGCCCGGCGCUGGCACUGGAGGACGGCAGGAUGAGGAGUCGUGGGUGCCUUUGCGGUCCCCAGCUGGGCACGGAAGCGCCGCAGUAGCGGCACGUGGCGCGUCGUUGGUAGCCCCAACACCCCAUCCCAACUGCUCUCUAUUCCUGCUCCCGAACUUCCCGCCUCUCCCCCACGCUCCCUAUCUCCCACCCGCCCCCAACGCCCCGCCCACAGGUCAUCCAGGAGCACUGCGCCAAGCUGGAGGCGCGCCACGCCGUGCACAUCGCCGCCUACGGCGAGGGCAACGAGCGCCGCCUGACCGGCAAGCACGAGACCAGCAGCAUGAGCGACUUCAGCUGGGGCGUGGCCAACCGCGGCUGCUCCAUCCGCGUGGGCCGCAUGGUGCCGGUGGAGAAGUCGGGCUACUAUGAGGACCGCCGGCCUGCCUCCAACCUGGACGCCUACGUCGUCACCCGCCUCAUCGUGGAGACCACCAUCCUUCUGUAAGCGCAGGAGCAGCGGCACGCAGGAGCAGCAGUGGGCGAUGGUGGUGGUGGCGUUUGUGCUGGCCUGAGCGAGGGGGGGGCCACGGAAGGGCGAUCGUGGCCAAGGCGGAGGGAAGCGGCGGUCGAGCCGCGUGGUGAUCAAGGUGAGGCGUGGUGCGCGUGUUUGCAUUGACAUGCGGGCUCGUUUGGCGCCGUGGCUUGAAGCUGGAGCAAUUCCAACUGCAUUUGGUUUGCCGGGACGUGUAGCGGUUCAGGAAAGAUGGGGUGACGGCAGCGAGGACCCGCUGUGUGUUCUGGUCCAGUCUGCCAAAGGGACUUCGGACGCAGGAUGCUGCAUCAUCUGUGGCGCAGUCAACUGAUCUCUACGAAGAGCCGCAGUGCCAUACCAUUUGUCGUGUGCGUUUCGAGCCUGGCUGUGUGGACGCCGGCGCAGAGGUCGCCUGGUUGUGUGCAAGUGUAUGCCGUCGGCGACGGAAGGGAGCGUACACCGUGCGGCCAAGCGACACGGCGCUCUGUACGUGCCCGUCGUCAAGUGCAUGAGCGGAGGACCCCGCGCAGCGCGGGGUGCGUGGCAUGACGUGAGCUCUUAUUGGCUGUGCGCGACGCAUGCGUUCCCUCAUGUAGGGGAGGCGUUGCAUACAGGAACGGUCGCGGCCGUGUUUGGUGUUCAAACUGUGUUUUGUCUUGGUAUUGUGUCCUGGUUCCAACAGUGGUUGGGUGAUUGUGCACUUGAAACAUUCUUUGUGUGGGUCGGACCCACUCUGUCGUUCUGUAACACGGGAAAGCAUACGGCAUUUGCCGUGCGCGACGCCAACGAACUACCGUACAUGCGCCUAAGUGGUGCUAUCGCCUGGCCGGGCGCCCUAUGCGCGUCAGAAAACUUCCAGCCAGCCAGCAACCUGUUGGUACAGUCACUCCGGCGUUCGACCAGCGGCACACUCCUGCCCUGCCGUUGCAAAUUGUUUGCCAUCUGCUGGGUUCUGGGAAUCAGCUGCACCCUACGGGACUUCACCAACCUGCCUUGCCACUGUCCCAUCACACACACACAUACACGGAUGGCCCGCUUCCCGACGCCACGUGCUAGGAAAGGCACCAAGGGCACCCCUGAAAGACACAUACCCGCCCGGCCUUGCCAGAACUUGCGAAACCUGGACACAACCUUCCCCAAGCACACACACACACACAGUUUCUCCUUGCAGUGCGACUGUUUCCUUACGGGAUUGGUUCAAAGUUAAUCCCCAAGCACACACACACACACACACACACACACACACACACACACACACACACACACACACACACACACACACACACACACCAAGCACAAAAGCCAGCUAAAUACGAACUCAGCUCCCACCUCACGCUCCCACCUGUACAGACUGUCCAACGCCUGUAACACGAACCUCAAGAAGCUUCCUGCCGCGCAGUACGGUACGGAGGAUGGAGACACCCAGGGAUGCACAUCAGAACCCCCCGAACCCAAUCCACCCCCCCCCUCCCCUGUUCCCCUGCCUUCCCUAGUCCCCUGGGUGACACCCAAUGCUCACACAGGCAAGACAUGCCCGCACGGGCUCACUGAACCACGCAAGCAGAAACACAAACUUAGCCCUUGAGUCCACUUAUGAACUACGGGAGGGGGGGGGCAAAGGGAAGGGUAAGUGGGUGCAUAGGGAACGGUUUGCACUUUCCAAGCCCUUUGUAGAUAACCGGGCUCAAGACGCAAUUCACGUGACUUGUGAGGCUGCCCUGCUCACCGCUGUCCAGAAAGACGCCUGCGCGCUCACGGGCGUGCGGAUACGGGCCCCUAUCCCUAAUGGACCAUAGCGCUCCCGCGCGGUCAGGUGCGGAGUGGCGUGGUGUCUGGGGCGCGGCCCAUGGGCGCGGCCCGGCGUGGUCCUUCAGCGGUCUUCGCCUUUGCGCCCAGCACCCCAGCUGCGCCCUCGCCGGCUGGCCACCGCAUCUAUGCGGCAGCUAUGCCCAGGCGGGUGCACACACCCACGCCCGCAUACACCAACGCCCUACAGGUGCCUGGCAUCGCAAACUCUGAUGACCAUGUUACAGGGACCAAUCAUUCCCAAACCCACUCAGUUUAGUGCCGGGCCGCGGGGUUUCGGUUCUUGCACUGUUGCACCGUCUGUACGCGCGCGCGGGACUGCAUGGACUCAUGCAGGUGUGCGGACCCACAAUGGUACCGAGUCGGACAGUCAGACUGUCGUCAGUUGUCCACCCCCCCUGGUUGUCCGAAAACACUUUGUUGCCCCCCCCCCCGCACCCCUUCCCUGCCCUGCGACGCGCCGCAUUCAGAGGUCCACCACAGAUCAGUCUUCCGCCACCCGUCCCUCCAGCCGUCCGUCAACCAUGACAAACCACACCGCACACCGCAUCUACAAGAUGUCAGCAAAGAAGUUUCCAUCGGGCUUCUUCUUCGCCUCCAUUCCCUUCGUCCACUUGGUGCGCUCGCGGUCCCGCUUGCCCUUCUUCUUCUUUCCGCCGCCGUCGCUGUCACUGUCGCUGUCGGCAUCGUCAUCACCAUCGCCUGCAGCGGUGGCCGCUGCUUUCCCGCCGGCAGCGGCCGCGCCGCCGCCCCCGAGCGCCGCCGCCAGUGCCGCCGCCGCCCGGUCCCCAGCCGCCUUCUCGCUUGGCUUGGCGGCGGCCUUGGCGGCUUUGGGCUUGACAGUCGCCUCCAUUUUCGCCCUGGCCUUCGAGUCCUUGGCAUCUGUCUUCCCGCCCUUUUGGCCGCCGCCCUCGCCUUCGCUGCCACCGCCGCUGCCCGGCGCCCGCUCGUCGUCCUCGCCCUCGCCCUCCUCGUCACUGCUGUCGCUGAAGUCACUGCUGUCAAAGUCCGACUCGUCCUCGUCCUCGUCAUCAUCCUCGUCCUCCUGCGCAUCCCCUGCCGCCUCGCCGUCACCGCCGGCCUCCUCCUCUGCGCCCGCCUGCGCGCCCUCCUCAGCGCCCUCCUCGCCCCCCUCCUCCUCCUCCUCCUCGCCGUCCUCGUCGUCGUCCUCAUGCAGCAGCGCCAGGUCCCACAGCUUGACGGCGCUGUCGUGCGACAUGGACACCAGCACGUGCUUGUCAGCCGACAGCGCCAGCCGCUCCACCUCAUGGUCCUGUGUUAAAGAGCACAAGGAAAACGUUGCGCAAAGACAGUGUAUGCAUGGUCCUGUGUGUGUGUGUGUGUUUGUGUGUGUUUGUUUGUGUGUGUGUGUGUGUGUGAAAGUGAAGACGCGCGGUCGCACAUGUGAGUGUAUGGGUAAAAGAGCACGGCGGAAAUGUGCGUGUGUGUGCACAGUCUGGUGUGUGGAAGGGGUAGUAAAGUCCGCACAGCAUCAGGUGCGGAUUACUGUACGCAACAUACGCAAGUGAGCCGUGUCUGGUUAAGCCUGGGGUUUUCCCAUCCUGCUGCCACGUGGCCAUGUGCCGGCGCGGCCCCACUUACCCCGUUGUGUUGGCCCAGUAUGCCCAGCAGCCGAUUGGGCAGCACGCCCACCACCCGCACCGCACCGUCGCUGGACCCAGUCAACAGGGUGUCGUCGUCAAACGCCACCAGCGCCUGAACCGACUCGGGGUGGCCCGGGAACCUGGAGGCGUGGCGCGGCGGGGUGGGGAGGGCAGGGGGAAUGCGGGAGGUGAGCAGAUGCGACCGCACUCCGGCACGGUCGUCGGAAGAUCAGGUGGGCACUGGGCAACGCAACCGGGUUGUGGGCUGAUCCACAUAACUAUUUGUGCCGCAUAGGAGGGAAACACAUCGUGUGUAUACGCUUGUUCCUGUGUCCCUCAACAAGCAAACACACGCUCUCACCUGUCGCUGCAGUCGUUGAAGUAGCCCCACGAGUAGAGGUGCAGCACGCCGCUCUGUGUGCCCGCCACCACCUUCUUGCCGCCCUUGACGCAGCAGCAGCUCAGCAGCUCGUCGUCGUUGUCGUCCUCACUGCGGGCGCGAGCCUUGCUGCGGGGCGGCAGGGGGAGAGAGCGGGGGCACGCUCGCUGGUGUUUGUGUGGCGGAGAGGUAGGGUGGACAUAAGGAUGAGGCGGGAUUGAGCAGUGUGGGGCAGCACUGGCUCUAGGCAGCGCUUUCAGUGCCGUCACAGCACCGAACAGGCGCUGCCUCAGCCGCCGCCGCCACGCGCAUGACUCGACCUCCAGUGCGGCGCCGCCACACCGCUGUACCCCACUGCAGUCCCGCCGCCCCGCCCCACCGCUUGCGUAGGUCGUGCACUGACAACGUGGCGUCUCCGCUGGUGACCACCAGGCACUGGUCCUUGGCGUGCAGCGUCAUGUCAGUGAUGUAGUCCGUGUGCUGCGCAGGUGGGGGCACGUGUGUAUGUGUGUGUGUUGAAAAGAACAACAAAAUGAAGCCGCCCAGACGUGUGUGUGUAUGUGUGUGUGUGUGUGUGUGUGUGUGUGUGUGUGUGCAUAUGAGGGCGUGAGGGAUGCUGGCCAGGGCAGGUGUUUACCCUUGUGGGCAGCCCACCUCCUUGCGCCCAACGCCAUCGAUAUUCGGCACGCCUAACGCCGCCGAGCUCGGGCACGCAACCCCGCAUUGCCUAGCUCCCCACCCCACAACUACGCCCGAACACACGCCGCGCACAAACACACACACACACACACGCUCACCUGCGUGUACCGGUAGAUGGGCUUGGCUGCGCGGCUGUCCCACAGCAGCACCAGCCCCUCCUCGUCCCCGCUGGCGAACACGCUGGGCGCGCACUCCAGGCCAUACACGCGGCUGACCUGCUGGUCGUGCUCCGACCCAUACUCCUGCGGCGUGCGGGCCACGCAUGACCACAAUCACGAGGCCCGCGGCUCAGGUGCCCAGCUCGGUGACUCAUGUCCACAGCGACCCGCAGCAGCCCGCACUGACCCAGGGGCCUAGCUCGGGGCACGCUGCUGCGCCUGGGCGAGGUGGUGGUGUGCCGCGCGCCCCAUCGUCCGGACCACGUGUCCGCCCUCACAGCGCGCCGUCCAUGCCCGCCCGCCCGCCCCACACCACGACCAUGCCCACAACCCAGCCCCCAACCCCCCCGCCAACCAGCGCUCUUCGCACUCACGUGCACAAGCUUGCCCGUGCGCACGUCGUACGCCCUCACGGCCUUGUCCGAGUACCCCGCCAGCAGCCAGUCAUUGCCGCCCGGCAUGAAACACACGGCCCGGCAGGAGGGCGCCUCGUCCUCGUCAUCCUCCUCCCCGCCGCCCGCGUCCUCGCCCGCCCCGUGCUUUGCCUUCUUCUUCUUAGAGCUAGGGGCGGCGGAGCUGGCGGGCGCGUCUAUCGUGAGUGAGAGCGCGUAGCUAAGCUGGCUGCUGCUGCUGCUGCUGCUGCCGCCUGCGGCAGCUGUGGUGCCGUCAUCUGCGUUGUCGGCAGGCUGCGGGCAGGAGAAGGACACGAGCUGUACGGCGCCGCUGACCAGCCCGGCCGCCAGUAGGCCGGCGGAGGCGCUGACCGCAAUGUCCUGCAGCACGGAAAGUGGGAUAGCUAGCAUAAGCGGUAGACGGUGGUGAUGGUUAUGUGAGUGUAUAGGUGUCUGCCUUGGGGGUGGGGAUGUACGGUGUGCAACCGCUUAAGCAGUAUACUGUACAGCCGCCUCCCUCGGGCUGCACUGUGCAGCGCACCCACCAGUGGCUGUGCAACUAGGGGCACUGUGCAGCUUGGAGUGUUCAUGGCGCCGUCGCUACGAUGCGCGCAACGCAAGGAUGCGUGUUCGGCGGAGGUGCACACCACGCCCUAGUCCGCUCCUCGCGACGGCGGAGCCACCGACCCACGUCGCUAUUUAUGGUGGGUGGCUUGCGAAUGUAAGAACUUUGGUUAUGUCCUGUCACUAUGGCCUCCUGCGCUUGCCCCAAGUGGCGAACUGUUGAGAGAGGGGUUGUGUUCAACGAUUGGUCGCAAAGUCCUGGUAUGAUGGCGGCAAAUACUGUAAAAUUGUAAGUUAGUGCAAACUGAGGCGUCGACAUUUGUAGGCCGUGCUGUUAUGCAGGGGCUGCGAAAUGGGCGACGCCAUGCAGACACGCAGACUCCUGAGUCCGAGGAUGGUCAGCCGAAUUGCCCUUGCAAACUUAUGCUUGUGAAGACACGAAGAAAUCCUUAUUUGAAUGAAUUGUAGUUCCGCCUGGAGGUGUUGCAAAGCACAGGCACAAUGAAUUGAAGAGUAGGAAGCGCUGGGCGCAGGAUGAGCACCCAAAUCCUGUCUCAAAACCUUGAGACAGGUACGGGCUUAUUCGCGCGAACUGUGGCAUGGCUCCAGUCACGGAACCGGUGAGCGGCUGCUUGGUGCCACCACACACCGAGUCCUUGGCGGCCAGACAUCGUGGCCUCCCAGCGAGUUUGAGUUCGUUUGUGUAUUAUUCUGGUAUAUCUGAUGGCAUUCUUAGCGGCAGGCUUGAAGAACGACCUCUCACCUACCGCAGGCAACAUGCCCCGUUGCUCUCGCCCUCACCGCUGGCCGCUGCGAUGGCACCGACCACAUCACAGGUAAGUGUAGGCAAUGAUGAUUUACAUGGGCGCGCGUGGUCCGAGCGUAAAGCCAUUGCACCGUCACCGUUUAUGGCGCUCCGUGGCGACUGCCCUCCCUGCACGCAUUCACCUGUCCUUCCCCAUAUCCCCCAGGCUCGCGCGUCACAUGUACAGCUCAGGCCUCGGAGUUCUCGGUGGCGAACCCGUGUGGCGCCGCGGGCCUUCCUAGCACCGGCUUUGCCUACAGCCGACAACAAAGCUUCCGACCGAGCCAUUGCGGAGGUUGACGCAUUGAGCAAUACGGCCCCUGGCAGCCAUGCCCCCCUGCACCUCAACGGGCACAGAGAGCACAGCAGUACUGCGGAUGCACACAGCGACAUGCACAGUAGCCAUGUCAGCUUGAACGGCCACAGUAGCCCCAACGGCCACGGCGGCCUCAACGGCCACGGCGGCCUCAGCGGCCGCACCCUGCCGCUGCCGCCCCGCGCCCCGGACGCGCUAUUGGCGCCCGCCCCAUGGCGCGCACCUGCGCAAAGUAGCAACCGUGGCGGUGGUAAUAGCAGAAGUGGCACCCGCUCUGUCAUGCAGGGCGUGAAAGCCGAUAGCCAGGAGCAGCACCACCGGCAACUCCAGCACCACUCGCAGCAACGUGCGCGCCGUGCCAGCCCUGUGCCCUUGAACGGUCACAGCCUGCACGCACCCACUCCAGCCAGCAGCCACAGCUCACGCGGCGCAGGCGUGGCGCUCUCGGCGGCCAUCCGCGAGGCGGCCUCGUGGGACGAGCUGGCCGAUCUGUACGACAGCGCAAUGCAACAAGGCGGCGGCGGCGGCGGGUUCCGUUCAGGCCACGUGUCAGCGGCCCUGGCACGCCUGCCACACCUGCGAGGCGCGUGCUUGGCCUCGCCUGCAGCCGCCGCCGCCGUCGCCGUGGUCGCGGACGGCCACCAGCUGCCACUGCCGCUCGAUGGCGCGCGCAGGGUGGACGCUCACGUGGGUCCAGGAGCAGCCGCGAUCAACGGCACCACCACCAGUACCAGCUCCACCACCUCCACCACCACCAUCGCCACCAGGGCCAGUGACAGCGGCGUGCACGGCUCGGGCUGCAGCCGCCACGAGGCGCUGCUGGCGGCGCUGCUGGCCGACUUCAACGCGCACACGGCGGCGGGCGCCUAUGGCAGCCGGGAGCUGAGCAGCUGUGCCUGGGUACUGGGGCGGCUGGGGCGGCGCGAGCGGGCGGACCUGGUGGGCGAGCUGGUGGACCGCAUGCUGCCGGCACUGGGGGAGGAGGACGAGCAGGAGGAGCCCGGGCAAAGCAACGGGUCAAGGCGUAGCCGUGGCGAAGCAGGUGGUGGCCAAAGUCGAACUGGUGCAGUCAGCGAGGCACCGGAGGCCGGACCGGCGGCCGCACCGACAGUGCUGGACCUUUCGAACGCUGCACUGGGCAUGGCGCGUUUGGGCGUGACGCGGCCGGAGCUCUGGCAGCGGCUGGCGGCGGCGGCGGCGCCGCGGCUUCAGCACUUCGGCACCCAGGAGCUGUCCAACCUCGUUUGGAGCUUCGCCCAGGCACAUCGGGCGGCCUGCAGGCUCCUACCCGCAAGGCCGCCGCCGCCACAGCCAGCGUCGGAGGCAAGGCCACCACCAGCCCCGGACGCUCUGCACCCGGACUGGGCGCCCUGGCUGCGGCCGUUCGUGCAGGACGCCGCGGCGGACCGGGCGCGGCGCGUGCUGCGGCGCUGCACCGCGCAGGAGGCCGCUAACCUUGUGUGGUCGCUAGCAACGCUGGGGCACGCGGACGCACGCACGGUGAAGGUGGUGGCUGCCGAGGCAGCGACGCGCGCCGGCAGCCUGACGCCGCAGGGUGUCAGCAUGACGGCGUGGGCGCUAGCGACCAUGGUAGCCAACAUGCGCACCAGCAACAUGCGCGACGACGAGUGCAGCGCCGGCAUCGCCAGUGGCAGCAGCGAGGUUGUCGAUGGCAGCGAGCUCAGCAGCAUCGAUGACAACAAUGACACCGGCAGCAGCAGUGAUUGCGGGACCGCCGGGACCGCCGUCAGAGCACGCAAGCCAAGCCCAGCGGAGCAGGCGGCGGCUGCCACGGCAGAGGCAGCGAAGGCGGCUGUUGCGCUUGCAGCGGCGGCCAAGGGGCGCAUCUGGUGUUAUUCCGCACAGGGCCUCUCGAACCUGCUGUGGGCGCUACGCGGCCUGGGCAGCCCCGCGCGCAAGGCGCUGCUCACGGCGGCGGCCCGCGAGGCCGUGGUGCGCCUGCAAGACCAGCUGUCGCCCUUGGGCCUGGCGACCCUGCUGGGCGAGUGGGCGGCCGCGGGGCUGUACCACCCAGGCCUGUUUGCGGCGGUGGCGCCCGCGGCCCUAGAGCGGCUGUCCGGGUUCCGCCCGGGCACACUCGUGCGGCUGCUGGCAGCCUACGGCGCCGUGGGGUGCUGCGAGCGGCAGCUCUUCCUGGCGGCCGCAGACUUGCUGCUUGGCACCGGUACCAGCACCAGCAGUGGUAUCAGCGAGGGUGCAGAUGCCACAGGUGCGCGCGGCGCGGCGCAGCGGCGUCCGCUGGACGGCCUGAGUCGCGGCGAGUGCUUUCAGCUGGUGUGUGCGUACGGGCAGGUGGGAGUGCACGUGCCGCAGCUCAUUGACGCAGCCCUUGCGCGCAUGGUGGCGCCGGGGGCGGCAUCGCCGCCGGGAGCAGCAGAGCUGCAGCUGCACCUGGAGCUGCCGCCGCGGGCGGCAUGCCGGCUUGCAGCCGCGCUGGCGCUGCUGGGGCACCGGCCAGCGCAGCAGGCGCCGGGUUCAGGCGGUGGCGACGCGGUCGAUUCGCCCUGCAAUGGCGUUCCGUCGGUGCCAGCGCUGCGAGGUGUGAUGCUGGACCUGCGGCGGUUGCUGCUGCCGGCUCUGCCCUCACUGGAGCCGGUGGCGGCGGUGACGGCCGUGUGGGCGCUAAUGCGGCUUGACCUGGCGGGCCCGGCGGCAGCGGUGCGCCUCGGCGAGCUGUUGGUGCGCCGCUGCGGCUCCGCGUCGUCAUUCGCAGCAGCGUCAGCGGCCUCGGGUGGCGGCCAUGCUGGUGCUGGCGGCGCCGCACGCGGCGCGCUUGCCGCUGCUGUUGCCAACGUAACUCGGACGGCAGCAACAGUUGGCGAUGGGCGCAUGCUGGCGAGGCUGCUUUGGGUGCUCGGGCGCGGCGCGGCUGCGGCGCUGCAGCAACAGAAGGACCUACAGCGCCAGCAGCAGGUGGUGGUCGCAGGGUCGGCACCGGAGGCAAGCAGCGCCCUACAGGCCGCAGCAGCGGCUCGGGAGCUGAGCGCAGCGCUGCUCGCAGCUGUUAUGGUGCUGGUAGAGGAACGGCCAGAGGCGUUGGCGCGAACGCCGGAGGCGCUCGCCGCGGCAGCAGCCGCUCUGAGUGAGGUGCUGGCGACGGCGGCGCCGCGGGCUGCACAGCCGCCUGCUCGUGGCAGGGGCCGCGGCAGCGCGACCGCCGCUCCCACCUGCAGUGUGCCGGACGUUGAGCUGCGCGAGGCACUGGUGGAGGUGUGCGAGCAGGCAUUCCGCCGCGCCAGUGCCGCCAGCGCUGCUCCUGCAGGUGAGCGUGCGGCAGGACGGCGUGGCCCCAAGCGCCGGCACUCGCCGCAAGGCCAGCAGGCGCAGGCACAGGCGCAGCUGCAGAUGCUGUCCGACUGCCAGCUGGCCGAGGUAGUCCGCGCGCUGUGUGUCUCGGGCGUGGCGGAGCAGGAGCCGGUGCUGCGGCAGGCGGCAGCGCGGGCGGUGGCGCGCCGUCUGGUGGCGCUGGUGGAGGCAGCUGCGGCUGGCGGCACCGCUGCCGCCAGCGCACCGCCAGCGGCGCUGUCGGACGAGCAGGCCGGCGAUCUGGCGGCGCUGCUGGUCGCCGCCGCCCGCCUGCAGCUAUUUGGCCAGCCCGCGGCGCUGCCUGUCCUACGCGCGGCGGCGCAGAUGCUGGCUGCUGCGGGCAGGGCGGCUGCCCCGCGGCCUGUCCUCAGCGUGGUGCAGCUUCCGCAGCUCCUUGCCCUCUUGCGCUGUGACCCAGCCGUGGCCACCGCCACAUGCGGCGGCUGCGCACCCGAGGCGCCCGCGGUGCAGGCGGCCCUGUACACGUUCGUGCUGCGGCAGGCGAUGCCGUUGCUGCCCUGGCUACCGGAUGCAGCCGCGGCGCAGGCCCUGGCGGACGCCCGGCGGCUGCCUCCGUCGCUGGGCUGUGGCGGCCGCUCAGUCCCAAGUACGGAGGGUCACCAGGUGCGGGCAGUGCACACGGCAGCUGCCACUGCGCUGGUGUGGCAGCAGGGUGGUGGCGGCAGCUCAGAUGCCGGUCACGGCAGCGGUGGAGGCGAGGGCCCUGUGCACACAGCCGGGACCACUGCCACUAGCCAGCCGCUGAGUGGUGCACCGGACGCUGCGGGCGGGCGGCAGUGCACGCAUGUGCGGCAUGGGCGGGUGCGCGGCGGCCCCGGACUGCGUCCCGAGCCCGGUGCCGAGGUGGCUGUGCUGCCGGGCGUAGAGCUGCAUGUGCGGUCUGGUGGUGGUCCGCGUGUUGCUGGCGACCCAGCCGGCACCGUCAUCCUGGUGCGGCCGGACGGCGCGCAUGGGCGUGUAGGCGCGGCUCCGGGCGGGCGCCAGCGCAGCCACCUUGCAGCCUGAGCCGGCCGGCCGGCCAGCCGGAGGAGUCAGGGUUGGCGAUCUCGGAGCAUGGCGGAUAAAAGGCAGCUGCUGUUUGCGCGCAUGUAUAUGUCAGAGAAAUCGUGUAUGCUUAGCGAUGCGCUUCGACUAGGGUCAAACUUUAGCUUACAGGGCUGGGAGUACGGUAUGGGCAGAACGUGUGAGCCAGGGCAUAGACAGCAGUCCCGCACACAUGGAGGUCGAGGACAUACCGUAGGGUGUGAGUGGGGCUCUAUAUGAACUGUACGGCAUGCGGUAGAAGUGCGAUGAAGACGGGUUACGUGCAUCCUUGGAUGCCCAGUGGACUGCCGGAGCCUUGGCAGUAGUCAAUAGCCCCGACGCUAGGUGUAGAUACACGAAUUGGACAAAAGUUUGAGCCUUCCUUGGGAGUUGGGACACAGGCAGCACGGGUGUUCACAGCAUCCUUGCCCGCGGACUGGCAGCUCCGCUGAUGGCUACGUGGGGCCUCUUGCCGAAUCCGAUGUAGCAACCAGAUGCAGGACUCCUUGCCUUACGCCGUGUCAGAACACCGAAAUGCACCGACACAACUUACGGCUCCGCGGGUGCGUCUUUGCCCCCACAGUGGGCCAUCCGUGGCUCUCGCGGAAGUCGGGCAGGCUCUUCGCUAGCUCUUAAGCCCUCUUACACCGUCCUGAGUGGACGCCGAGGCAACGCGACCACUACACAAACCAGCUACAUAAAAGACUGCAUUAAGGUAUUCCGUCAACUGGAUUCCAAAUCCUGCCGCCGAUCCCUCCAUGUACUUCACUUCCAGCCACAACCGUACAGUGGAGCACAUUUGAUGUGAAUCGUUCACCUGGCGUUCAAGACUCCAUCCAGCUGCUCUAGGUGUGGGAGUUACCAACAGUGCAUUAGGGUGCAUGUCAUUAGUACCAGCUGCAGUCUCGCACGCGCAUCCAAUUACCUUGCAGCAUGUUCUGCGAUUGACGCUACCUUGCAUGCCGCAGCUAUACUGUGCUAUUUGCUACCCACCGCAACCGCAAUCAGCAGGCGCAUAUUGAUACAUGGAUCACGGACUCAGCCCCACACUUGCAACAAUCUCAGAGGCCGCUUCGACGGUCUGUCCCUCGUUGCAGGUACACAAGUACCGUAUGUUCCUUACGCGAACGCACUUCACAUUCAUUGCUUGAGCAGUACCGCCCUCUACAUCAGCUGGUGGGACAGCGCGUUGUUGUUCUCUUGCCGUUGCGCUGCAGACCCGCAUUGCAGCAAGUUCUGAUAGCAGUACCGAUUUCUCGACUGAAGUCGCUCGCCACACCUCCUCCCAACGCUCGGCGUCCGACCCGGAAAGCAUCGCCGCAAGCUACCACACCACAGAAACACAACGACACAAACCCGCCCACACAAUGCAUAGUAGUCCUCGGUGCUCCUGACUGCUUGACGCACACGCACUCGCACCGGAGCAUGCACCGAAGAAUGCACCUCCAAAGCUCACAUCAUCGCGCACAUGCGGACGCCGGUUCUACCGCCACGACAGAUCGCUAUGUGUAUGUAUAGGAACGACGGACGCCCUCCGCCCCCUCAUAGGUAGUGGAAGUACCCCGGGCCUAAUCACAGGAAAAUGCAGGCCAGCAGGUGCCUUGAUGGUACGACGUGCAGGUAGCGCCCGGGCACCACGUCACGACACGGGCACACACGCACAUUCAACCCGUGCACGCAGCACAUCUCAAGGACACCUCCACACGUCACCUGCCCUUGUGCUUACCUACCACACCGCUCUCGGACAAAAACGCAGUCCAAGACUGCAACCCAACACCACCAAAACACCCGCGCGCGCAAUUCAUGGUGAUGCUGCCGCCGCAUAACAAUUUCGCGCUCCACCCAACCCAGCCCACAAGGUUUAGCUGCGCCAACCCCGCCGCUGCUCUGACCGCUCCUGUUGCCGCCCGCCUCCUUCGCUAGGCCGCUACCCGCGCCAGUAUCGCUUAGGCGCACGGGCCCGCGACGCCCAGGCGGGCCGCAUCCGCCGCCGGCCACGCCUCCCGCCACUAGGCAUGGAACGAACUUACGCCGACCCAGCCCGCCGCCGCGGCAGAGCUCGCGAGGGCCUGCGCGCUCGCCACCUCCUGCAGCUUGUCCACGAUGCGGCGGAAGGAGGGCCGCUGCUUGGGGUUGCCGGCCCAGCACCGGCUGGCCAUUGACAUGUACCAGCCCGGCACGCCGUCGGGCCAGGGCGGCCGCACGCCGUCGGCGAUCACGGUCUGCAGCAGCUUGAUGGGCGUGCCGGUCAGGUUGGAGAAGGCCACGCCGCCCGUGUACAGCUCCCACCUGGGCGGACGGGGGUUCCAGGCAUGAGUAGUCAGAAUAAGGCGAGGUUGAAGGUGCGGUCGGGAGUCAGCGGGUAGGGCGUGCAUCGGAGGCUGGCGAGGCCCAAGGGUUCGGCGGUGUCAGGUCCCGCGGUGCAGCGUCACUUGACAAACAACACUGCGCAAGGUAGCUAAAGACACCCGACACUUCUGAUCUACGGCAAGACAGACGUAGCCGUUGCUCGCUGCGCAGCUCGCUAAUUGCCGUCCCCAAGCACCACCUGCACCACCACUGCCGCCACCUCAAACCCCACGCUCAACCUCGCACUCACAUGAGCAGUCCGAACAUGUACACGUCGGCGCUGCGGCCGAAGCGUUCGCCGCGGUGUACCUCGGGCGGCAGGAAGGGCAGCAGCGUGGAGCGGUUGCGCUGCAGCAGCUUGCGAACCGACUGCGCGCCCUUGCUGAAGCCCACCACAGUCAUGCCUGCAGCCGCAACGGCGGGUUGUCGGGUAAGGAGAAGGAGCGCACCAGGCACAGCCGCUUAGGGGGUAGCCGUCCAUGAAAAGGACGGCAGGCUAAUCACGAGGGACAAGAAUGUGAAGGAGGACGAGGGGGCAUGCAGCUGCGGCUCAUGCGCGGGAGCCCUCAGCCUGUGUGCAUCCGCAUAGGCUACAACCCGCCACCGCUACUGCCACGAAGUAACACAGCACCAGUACCUGCGACGACCCCACUCACGGCAGCUACCUUCCCCGCACGCACGGUCCCGCCCGCCCGCCCGCCCACGCGCACACCUGCGUCUUUGAUCUUGACGAUCACCUCCGGGCCUAUGGACCGCCCCUGCAUCGGCCGCUCGGCCGUGUAGCGCUCCGUCUGCACCACCGACAUGUUGCCGCCGCGACCGCUGGAGUACGACACACGCGCGCCCGCGCGCCGCCCGUUGCCGCUGUUGCCGCUCGGGAUCAAGUUGGCGCCGCUGACGUGCGUGCGCGGCGUCGGCGGCGUCACGCGCGGCGUGCCGCCGUCGCCGCCGUGGCCUGUUCCUACCCCGCCGCCGCCGCCGCCGAACAUGCCGGCGGCGCUGCCUGGCGGCAGCGCCAGCAGCACGUUCUCCGGCCGCAGCUCGCCGUGCGCCAUGCCGGCGGCGUGUAGCGCCGCCAUGCCCGCCGCCACCUGCUGCAGGAUGGACAGCAGCACGGACAUGUGCGGCGUGCUGCCACCGCCACCGCCGCCGCCGCCGCCACCGCUGAUCCCGACCAGCGCAUGGUGGCCGCUGCCGCCGCCGCUGUUGUUGUUGGAGGCCAGGGUGGUGAUGGUGGUGGUGCCAAAGGCGGGCGCGGUGUCGGUGUUGCUGACCGGAAAGCCGCUGCCCGCCACCAGCGCCGCAUGCGGCACGGCGUGGCCCGCGGCGCUGAAGGGCCCGGUGCCGGGCCCGGCGUCAUCGCGCGACACGCGCGUUUCCGGCAGCGUCGGCAGGAAGCCGUGUGGCUGCAGGAAGCCGGCGGCGGAGGCGUGGUGCGGCGACACCAGCGACGGCACGCCGCCGCCGCCGCCGCCGCUGGGCGGCGGCGGCCCGGUGCUGCCCAGCCCGCCGGAGGCGGCGGCGCCCGGCGCGCCCAAGCCCGCGCCCAGGAAGUAGGGCUGUGGGCCACUGGCGGCGGGGGUGGUGGGGUAGCCCGCCUCGCUGAGCGCCGAAGCGCCGUACGGCGGCCCGCCCAGGGAGUCGGCGGUGCUGACGCCGCCGCCGCCGCCGUAGCCCAUGACGGUGCUGUUGGUGCCGUCCUGCGGCGCGGAGGUGGCGGCGGCGUUCAGCAGCAGCAUGCGCCGCUGCAGCGCCUCGCGCAGGCUCAGCGAGGGGAACAGCUCCAGCAUCAGCGCCAGGCCGCGCUUAAACUUCUCGCGCCGCGGCAGCACCGCCGUCAAGUACACGCCGCCGGCCGGCAGGUCUGCGCCCGCCGCGCCCGCCAGCAGGUCCGCCAGCGCGUGCGCCUGCACGCUCAGGCCGCCGCCGGCGCCGCCGCUGCCGUACAGGUGCGGCUGCGCCGCCGCCAGGUGCAGGGCCCGGCCGCCGGCGCCCAGGGAGCCGCCGGCGGCGAAGGCGGCGGCGGCUCCACCGCCGCCGUGGUGGGUGUUGAAGCUGCCGCUGGGGAUGGGCGGUCCGGAGCCGUGACGGCCUGCGGCGCCUGCGGCGCCCUUGGCGCUGCCUGCCACUACCUCGUAGACGAGCGGGUACACCAUGAGCACCCGCAGGAUGUUGGGGUGCCGCACCGUGCUGAGCAGCUGCUGCGCGGCGAUGGUCAUGGCCUCAGACUCCAGGUGCCCUGCGGCACGCACGACAUGGCAAGACGCGGUGGGCCCCGGGGUAAGUCGGUAUUAUUACAUGAUUACAUUACCGAUUCCGGCCUCAGCGCACUGCGCCCCGGCCCCAUCCUGCCUCCCCCUCCCCAUCCGGCCCCUGCCCCCCUCCGCCCCCCCGGACCGCCCUCACCCGGCCGGCCGUCCAUGGACAUGUGGCUGCGCAUCAUCUUGACCGCCACCGCCCGGCCGCGGUAGGCCGCCAGGUACACCGACACGUUGCGGGUGCGGUUCAUGUCGUACAGGAUGUCCACCAGCUCCGGCCAGCCCUGCGCGCACGCAUGCGUACAGAGGAGGUUGUGUUGCCACCGUGGCACCUCGGCACCGCUCCCAUGCAAAUGAAGCAGUAAGAAGCAGAGCAACGCGGAGGGCAGGAGAGACGAGGUGGGGUUGAUUCACUGCAUCGCAACGCAGCGGGGCCGAACUUUAAAAGGACGCACGACGGCGGCGGCCGCGGCGUGUGCCCUCCCGCCCGAACGCCCACACCCAGACGACGCCUCCACGCGACCAAUCACCAACGAACCCAGAACCCAAAGAAACAACAUAGCCCUGACACCCCUCGCACCUGCAGCUCCCGGCUGCUGCCUGUGAGGUCCCCGUCCUCCCCAAGUUCGCCUCCCUCCAUGGGCGGCGCCGAGCCGUGGCCGGGCCCCGGGGUGUCCGCUGACACCCCCGACGCGCCGCUAGUCCCCGCCAACGCCGCCGCCGCCUCCGAAGCGAUGCUGGACGGCAACGUGUCUAGCACGCGGACGCGGACCUUGGCGCUGCCGUGCGCGGUGCGGGCGCCCGGCCCGUCCUGAGACCCCAACACGUGCGAGCCGCCGCCGCUGAGGCUGGCAGUCAGUGCGCUCAUGGGGUGCUCCAGGCCCGGCGACAGCUCCGGAAUCACCGCCGCCGCCACGCGCAGCCGCGGCGGGCUGGACUUGCGGCCGUCAUCGGGUUGCGCCGCCGCCGCAGCCGCCGCUGCCGCAGCGCUUAAAGCCACCUCCUGCAGCGUACCCACCACGCCGCCGCCGCCCGACCCGCUCGGCGCGGGCAUCUGCAGCGACAGCUCAAUGUUCUCCGUCGUCAGCAUGUCUGCGGCCGCCUGCGCCGAAGCCGCAUUCGCCUGGGCCAACCGCAGCGCGCCCGAGCCUGACCCUCGCCCGCCGGCCGCCAGCGCCGCCGCCGAGCCGAACGGCGACGCCGACGCCAGCACCCGCGGCAUGGCUACAUCUGGCAACAGCGGCAUCCCGCCGCCGUCGAUGCCGGGCGGGAGCGUGAAGCUGAGGCUGCCCGGCGUGGGGCUAAGUGCGUCCCGGCCGGGGCCAGUCGACGUGGGCGACGAAACCAUGGGCACCGCCGCCGCGGCGCCCUCCAUGCCGUCCAGCAGCGAGGCCUGUGUGGCCUGGCUGACCUCGCCGUCCGGCCCCACCGGCGGCUGGGCUGCGUCCUGGGGCGGCUCCGCCUGAGGCCGCUGCCCCUGGCCCUGCGGCGACUGGCCUGCGUCCGACUGGCCAGGGUCCGACAGGUCCGGCUGCGCCGUCAGUGGAAAGGAGCCGGGGUCCGGCUGCGUUGCUGGCGCCGCGGGCUCCUCGCCAGAGGACCGCUGCUGUGCGGCCGGGUCCUGCGACAGCGUCGCCGAGGUGGGCGCCUGCCCCAGCGACGACUGCUGCUCGUCCGAGCUCGCCGCGAAGCCGCCGCCACUGCUUGCUGCGUGCUCCGGCGGGAUGCGGUGCCGGCCCUUGCCUCCUGGCGGCGUCCCGGCUGACGAGGGCCCGCUGGUGGACCCCCGCGCCGACAGCACCAUCGCGUUCACGGCGGCAGUGGCGCCAGCCACCGUGAGCGAGGGUGUGUUGCCGGUGGAGGCGGCCGGCGGUGGCGGCGGCACGCCCCCUGAUAUCGGCGCCAGCACUGCCGCCGCGCCGGCAACCGCGGCCGCGCUCAGCGGCGGCUCGUCGGACGCGGGCAUCAUAAGCCCGGCAUACGCGAGCGCCUCUGCCGCCGCCGCCAGCGCCUCCGCUGCGUGCUGAUUGCCCGCGGCGGUGGUCCCCCCGGGGUCCAUGCUGCGCCCUGCGAUCUCGAAGGACGGUCUCAGCGAGGAGGCAUUGGAGCACAGGCUGUUGCCGGUGAUGGUGCGCCGUACGCGGCCGCGCUGCUCCACCGGCCGCGGCGCCUGCUGCGGGUCCUCUGACAGCACCGCAUACCUGCGCGCGUUCCGUGGUACGGAGAGUGAGCGCGAGGCUGCAGUGCGAGGCUGCAGCCGGCUGUGCUUUACUAUGCGGUUGACUCCGCUUCGUGCGGCCGUUCCGACCUACUUGCUUGCAAUCGCAGUCAGCUGCAAAUUAUGACCUUUGAUAUUCUAUGACCUCUCCGCCGCCAACCAAUCCUUACCAGCAGCCGGCGAGCCCCGACUGUCAUACGACAUCUAAUCCUGCCCCCGCGCCCACAUACGGAACAACACAAAGGAGCCCGUGCACGCACCAUUCGUGCCGCAGCUUGCCCACCAGCUGCCCGAACACCGCCCGCGACAGCAUGGCUGCCAGGUCCGCCCAGGCGGCGCGGCUGAAGGACAGGUUGAACUCGUUCCUGCAGCACACACGUGGCGAGCAGGCACACGACCACCACAGGCACAUGAGGAACCAGGUCACCAGCCGGCGUGCAGACCACGUACGGUAGCGGCCAGGCCAUGCGCCCCAGUCGGGCCAAGCCCCAAGCAGCCCCCCCCCCUGUACCGCACCCCUUGCACACGCCCCCCGACGGCCGCCCCACGCACCGUGCGAACACGUACACGCAUCCCAGCGAGCGGCAGCGGUGCACCAGCGGCAGAAUGACCAGUGUGCCGGCGGUGGCGGGCCGGCUGUUGUUAAGCGCCAGGUCUCGCGCCACCAUGCGGCCGCCGCCAAAGUACUGCAGCGCGUCCUUGAUGAUCAUGAUGUCGCCAGCCUGGCACCGUGGCAAACCCAGACACGAAGACAAAACGCGUAAGCACGAGAACACGAGCGCGCUGCUUCUGAUUUUCCCCCCUCUGAAGCCCCAAAACGCGCCGUGACAGCGUUGCGUCUGUAGCGCGGCCGUGUGCCCCUGCCUAGGCCCGACUGCAUGGCCACCCUAACCCCAGCGUAUGAAUCUCCUUCGCCCGCAGUCCCUUUCCCCUGUGCCCACUUCCCCAUGGCCCACCUCCAGCACGCUCAUCAGCAGUGUGCUGUCCGUGCCUAUCUUGAUGCACUCCACCGGCACGUGCUCCACUGGCGGCGCGGCGUUGCGGCCGCCGCCGCGCGCGCCGCCGCUGCGGAGCAUGGCCCUGACGCUGCCCUGCGCCGACAGCGCCUGGCCCCGCUGGCCGCUGUUGCUGCUGCUGUCGCCCGACACCAUGCCGUCCUCGCCGUCCAUCGCCGACCCCAGGACCAUGCAGUCCAUGGUGUCGUACCCCAUCGGCGAGCUGCCGUUGCCGUUGCCGCUAUUCCGCCCCACCACUAUCCCCGUGCCGGCGCCACCGCCCCCGCCCCCGCCUACAGCACCAUUGGCUGCAGCGGUGCCUCGACCCCCACCUCCGCCUCCUCCUGCCCCGCCCGCGGGCACGAGCACCAGGCCACCCAUGGAGGAGCUCGAGCUACUGGCCGCCGACGGCUGCACGCCCAUAGGCGACGCCUGAGAGCCGCCGCCCAUCACGAUGCCGCCCAUCCCUAGAGCCAGCACGCCAGGGCCCCCACCUCCACCUCCGCCUGUCCCGUAGCCGCCGUAGCCGCCGUACCCGCCGUACCCGCCAGCACUGCCCGCCGCGCCCACGCCGCUCCAGGGUGGCAGGCCCAGCCGCCCUGACACCUGCAGCAGCGGCGCCGCGUACACGACCGCGUGCUGCAGGCGGCUGGACACCAGCGCCAGCCGCACCUCGGGCAGCGCCGUCCCGGGGCCCGCCGCGCCGUCGGCCAGGAACACAGGCAUGUCAUAGGCAAACGCCCGCGCCAGCCCGUCCAGGUCCGUGGCGCCCAGCAGCCGCGAGUAAAAGGAGGCGCGCGCGGUGGCCCGCGUGGUGGUGAUGGCGCCCGCCGCCCAGCCUGUGAUGAGCUUGGUGGAUGCGUGCCAGAACUGCUUGGUCCAGUCGAUGGGCUCCACACUGCCCAGCGACAGGCAGCCCACCACCGUGUCGCUGCCGUUGGUGGCGGUGACGGGUAGGCAGGCGAAGGCGCGCAGGCCCUUCUCCCGGCACAGCAGCUGCCAGUCCAGGGGCCAGGCUGCGAAGGGCGGCGUCAUCUCCGUCGCCUGCGAGGUGCUGUUGCUGACGUCGCGCGACAACAGCGAGGGGCCGCGGCUGGUGCCGCCGGUGAUCGUGGCCGUGCCCGUCAUACCGUCCAUCGACACGUUGCCCGCCGAGCCGGUGGUGGCGCCGGGCAAGGCGCCGGCCCCGUCGUGCGCCUGGUGCUGGUGCGGAUGCGGCUGCGACAACGACUGCUGCAAGCCCCGUUGACCUACGGCAGCAGCCACGAACUGCGCGCCCGGGUUGAUGUCCAUGCUGGGCGGGGGCAUGGGCAAGUUGCCAGGGCUUGCGGGCGUGGGCCGGCCCCACGGCGGCGGCACGCCGCCUGGCUGCGCCGCCGGUGAGGCCGCCAUCGCCACAACACCCGGGUCACUGAGGUACAGUGGCUGGCCCGAGCAUGCGGCCGUCUCCACGCUGGUGUCGCUGCCGCGCAGCACGUGCGGGUCCGACAUGCCCACCUGCAAGGGGCGAGGGGCGCAGCCAUAGAGCGUGAGACUAGGGGCAGCAGCCUUGCAAAGGGCCAUGCAGCGGGCACAUCGCGGGAUGACAAUCCACUAACGCGCAACGCCCCAACACACACACACACACACACACACACACACACACACACACACACACACACACACACACACACACACCUCCACCGUCGUCGCUGCUGCCAGGCUGUUGGUGGAGCUAGUGCGGGAGGGCGGCCCGCGCCCCCGGUCGCCGCCACCAACCCCCAGCCCAGGGCCCUGAUUGAGGAACUGCACGCCGCUGUUGGUGCGGCAGGAGGAGAAGGACGCUCCCGUCGUGAGUUUAUUAUACUCCAAGUGAUACGCCGCGCCUGUGGCACAUAGUAUACGGUACAUCAGCCGGGAUGAUGUGCCUGACACACUUAUGCCAGGCUCUGAAUGCGUGGUGACUGGCGGCCGAAGUUGAAGGACCUGGUCCCGAAUGCCAAGCCUCCGCCACCAGCCCUGCACACCCUGAGCCCCACAUAAUAAUCUACAACCCGCAUGAUACUCACCCAGAUGCUGGAAGACCUCCCCAUCAGAGGACAGCGCCGUGAGGCAGGCCCACGAGACUGAGAGCCGCUGGCAUAGCAACGCCAUGAUGCGGCUGACCUGCAGGGCCCCAACCCCGGCCGGCCGCAGGUGCAGGUGUAUAUAUCGUGAACUCCAGAAGAAUCAACCAGGCAGGCAGUAAGGACUCUCUCCCUUCGUGUCAAACGUGUGAUGGUGGGGUGUCGCAGCACAAAAGCUGCCCGCCGGGACACCCGCCCAGGGCGUUCCAGUACCAUACACGCCACCCCCCAGACGGUUUGCAGCUCGUUGAACACGGUGGCCGCCUUCAACACACGUGCCGUGCCGCUAAGCCAGUCAGGAUUAUGCGCGAGGGCGCUUGCAUAAACCGCGGCCGUGCCUGAUGGAGUGCUACUCAGUCUCACGCUACCAGCGCACCUGCAUGCGCUCUGACGUAUGUCCAAGCAGCUCCUGGAGCAAUGCGACAACGCGCAUAACGCCAUCCUGCGCCGCUGGCAGCGAAACGUUUUGUUGCCGAUGCCCAAAUUGCUGCCGCUGGCCCUCAGCGUAAGCUUCUGAUGCAUUUUGCUGUUUUACUGCUUCUUCCUGCGAAAGCGCUGUGCCGCUCGGCACGGUCGACCCAGCCGGAGCAGCCCCGUCACCCGGCUUCGGUCGUGCCGAGCCCGCAGCUGUGGAAUGUCCAUCCACAGCCUGAGACUUGAAGCAGCAGAACAUUUGGCCUGCUGAAGCCUACGUAGGUCCCCUCAGAGCAUCUACCCCGGCGUAAGCGCUGGCGCUUGACCAUGGGGAUUCGCUAGCACAAUGUAAUAAUAUCUCCAUGCUAACAAUACUUGGAACAAGGCAUCGGUCCGCUGAGAGGUUUGCAAAAUCGGACGCAGGCUAAAACCCGUAAGCGUGAAGCUAUAGUGUCAUAUUACAGUGUAAAAGCGUCAGUUUUGCAGGUGUCCAACACCCCGUCCGAUACACCGCUAAGGCGAAGGGGGGGCACACCCUGCUCAUCUCAAGCGCCUCCCUCCAUCCACUCCAGGUGACCCGCACGGUCCCGCUGGAUAUGCUAUGCGAUCUGCGAGCCCGUGUUUCGAGGCGUUACCGUGGCCCAGUAUGGCCGAUGGUUGCAGACAACCCCCCUCCCCCAAAUUCGCUAUGGGCCAACAGCUUCAAAUGUUCAACCCCGGCACGAACCCGACACAUCAGGCCUGUCACAGCCACCCACGCGGUGCUGUGCACGGGUGCGUUGGCAUGCCCAUGCCUCACAUGCAAUACUUGACCCUCUGAUGCGCAUAGAUAGCCAGCUUACCCGCUACCACGCCGCUGUCUCGCUGUCCAUUGGCUUCCUCGCCAAGGGCCAACAACGAACCCCGGAAAAUGCCCAAGGUGUCAUCCCAGAUUCUAGUUGAUAACCGGCACCCCCAACCACGCAGGGGGACGGCCUUGCAGGCUGACCGCGAUGAGGCCCCAGCCCCGGCGUUACCUUCGAGGCGGUCCUGCAGCAGGCGCUGUGGAAUGCGUGUGUUCAGUACGCGGUGUGCUGUCGUGGCACUGGGCGUGCUCUGAUCCUGAGGUCCCACCGUGGUGACGUCUGCGCCUGGGAGCGGGACUGGGUGUGCGAUGGGACAGGGUUUAGGCAGGUUGGCGAGGUCCCGUAGGGUGUGGGACUGGGUGGCGGACGGUGGCCCUCCCGUGUGCCCACGGGUCCUUGUGCCGCAGCUGCUAAAGGUCGCGGCGCGCGCGGACGCGGAGUUGCUGCGGGCGCUCUGGGAGCGGCCCUUCUAGUGUGCUGACCCGCUUUGGCGGCGUGUGUUGGUGCGUGCGUGCCUGGGUUUGGUCGUGCGCCGGCGGUGCUUCCCGUGCGGUAGCCGGUCUUAUUUGUUGUCGAGUCUAUGCGCGCGGCCGCUUAGUCCGGUGCGCGGGUGUAGCGGUCGGUAAGCUGCUGCCUGUGUGCCCUGGCUUGCGUGGGGCCCGUGACCCGGUUGGCUGCGAGUUGGUGCGUGUGUGCCUGCGCGUUGCUUGUGCGCGUGCGGUGGUUCCCGUGCGGUCGCUGGUCUGCUUUGUUGCUGGGUAAGUGCGCGCGGCCGCUUGGAUCGGCGGGCGUGCAUGGCGGUCGGGUUGCAGCUACCUCUGUUCCCUGGCCUGCAUGGGGCCCGGGGCCCGGUUUGCGGUGUGUUGGUGCGGCGCUCUGUUGUGUACCGUAUGCGCCUGCGGUAGUUCCCGUGCGCGCGGGGUUUUUGCGCUUGGGUGCUGGGGUUCCGUGUUUCUCCUUUCUUGUAUUUUUAAUGGUUAUUUCGCCUUUUUUUGGGUCUGGAGGGGUACCCUUGGGAUUCGGUUGCUGGUGCGGGGGUCCCUGGCGUUCUGCUUGCUCACAUUGCAGGUUGCGUGCCAGUGUGGUGCUGUGCCUUUCCCCUUCCUUCUCCUUUGUAACCACUCAGAAGAAGGUAACUCUUUGUAACGUGUUGAUGCCUGUCGCGGUCAUGGCGUGGAUGCUGCUGGACAAGAUGUUGAUGCCUCUCUCUACCUCUUGUCACACGAUCCUAUGUGCUGACGCUUUCCCCGCGUGCCCCGUUGGUUCUAGCUCUUCCGCCUUGCAGUCUGAUUAGCGUUUACAGAGUCAUAGACCAACGGCAAUAACAUCAGCAGACAACUGUACCAUUCUGUUUGGGUGAAUCGUAUUAUCUCACCCGCACGCCUGUCUGCGUGUCUGUGCAGCAAGAGACAGCGCACCACUCAGCUCAAGUCAAGACAGGCUUGCUUGAGCCUUCGGAACGCACUACGGAUGCCGGAAUGGACCCGCGCAUACUCGCGCACAGUCACCGGCACCUGCACAGGUGCUCUAUAAACGAAGAUAUGCUCGCUUAGUAGGCCACUGGGCGACCGAUUCCCACACAGCUGAUGUGACUGCCUACCCAUAACUUGACACGUGGUUACGGCACGGCAGCAAAACCCUGGCACUGACACGCGCCCUGUCUGGUCACUUGCCAACGCGUGACACUCUGAUCCGGGCCUGACACGCGGUCAGGUACGGCCGCCCCAGCCUGCCGGUCUUCCACCAGAAUGUUAUCGACGAUGCUAUAAGGAAACAGAAUGCGUACUGGCGGCACUCGCACAUCCCCACGGGCACCCCUGGUGUGCGCGUGCGUGUGCGUGCGUUUGCGUGCUCGUGGGUCCGUGCGUGUGCGUGUGUGUUGGUCCCAUCGGCGCACGGCCUGUGCUGAUGACGGGGUUCCGCCAUGGCGAUGCCCGGUUCUGAACAUGGCCAACCCGCCUUCGCAUCGCCCCCAUCGCAUUCACGCAUCCAUGCCCCAGUGGGCGCGCACUCAUGCGUGUGCGCGUCCUCGCCGGCAGGGUAGCGAGGGAGCCGUUCGGCGGCCCGCGCCCUGCUCGCACCCACCCACCCAUCCCGCCGCUUCGUCUCCCCGCCCAUGCCGCGGCCGCCCCGUCUCACGCCGAGCCCAUGCACUCUUGCCACUUAACACUGCCGCCCUCCCUCCUUUCUCCCUCUUUCUUCCUUUGUCAAGCCGCGCGCGGGAUCCCAUAGCCUUGUACUGCCCUGCUACGCUACUUCCACGACUUCUACUCGUACUCGCCGCCUUGCCAUCCCCCACAUGUCCGUCGCGCCCGGCUGCUGGACGCUUCUACCUGGCGCUUCCUCGUUCACAUCCAGGUGAGUAUGUUAGUAUAACCUUGCAACUAGUUGGGCGACGGGGUCCGCGCGCGGCUCGCACUGUUGACAUGACUUCGGAGCUGCUCUGGACUGCUCCUUCCACCUGCCGCUACACUGCCCAAGCCCGCCCGACUACAUACGGUGAUGUACAACGACGCGCUUUUGCAGCUGCAGGUCGCCUUGCCGCGCGACUGUUUCCUUACGGGAUUGGUUCAACGUUAACCCCCACGGGCACCCCUGGUGAUGGCAGGGUGUCUGCUUGCCUGGCGAUGGAGGUGGAGGGCCAGGGGCACCCUGUGGAGGGCCCGGUGGCGGGGGCACAUGCCUCAGCAGGCGGCGCGCAGACCUUGGUAACUGGGUCAAAGCCGCGCGGACUGCGUGGCGGCAUGCAUGUGAUUGGGGUAGCGGGGGGGGCGAGUCCCCCUUCGCACGUCUCCGCCCCAGCUCCGCCACCCGGCCACCGGUCACCGGUCACAUCACCGGCUACCAAUCCCACACCGGUGCAAGAUUUGAUGUACAUCGCGCGCAGGCUGCCUUAAUAGCGCACCCGGGACUGCGACCGGGCAUGGCGACGGCUGCUGUAGGCCUGGGCCUGCCAGACCUAGCGCUGGGUUCCCCCACGUUAGACCUUGUGUUACGGUAGGCAUCGCAUAAGGUGCCAGAUGAGGCACUGUGGGCGAUGCGUUCAACUCAUGUGGAAGGAUGGCGAGCGAACCAGCUAGCCCGGACGCGCACCUACGCGCACGCCUCGGUUACACACAGGGUGCCAUGGGACAGGGCAAGGGGCCGGUUACACACCACGGGGUUACACAGUAACUCUGGCGGAUCCCACACAGGCGGAUCCCCCUGUCCCCUAUCGCCCCGUUACCCCGUUGCCUCAAUCGUCUCCAUCGCCCACGCAUGAAAUGAAACGCUAUGCGCUUGUACUGUGCUGUAUGUGACAUCGGAUGCUUUGGCAUCCUCGUGCGCCCAGGUGCGCAAGCGGGUCCUUCCUAAAUGUCAUACAGUACAUCAAUACCGUAGUAUUUGUGUAGUAAGAUAUGUACAAAAACAGGAAUGCCUUAUGCUUAAGGUCGGCCCUUGCAUGGGGGCCCUUCGAAGUUUUCGGAUUGAAGUUCUCUUGCCUCUUGUGAUUCCUCACUUAACCUAUCAACGACAACACAUACACUGAUAUACAUUGAGCACAAGUAACACAUCAAGCAUAAACGCGUUAAUCACUCGCUUACAGUUCGUCCGCUGCACCCCCAUAGGACCCGCUCACCUCGCGCAGUCACUGGUGUAGGUGCAUAGCGCACUCAGAUAUAGGUUUUGGCAUAGCAGCAGCGUCAAGGGCAGCCGCUCAGACGCUUAGCGAAAAUGAACGGAGACGUGGCGGGCAGCCUCUUCACGUCCACGUACCGCAACGUAAAACUUGCGGGGAAAGCUCCACCUGCAGCUAACCUAUCCGGGACAGGCUCGGUAAGGCUCUCGCGCGCAUCAUCGAAGUCACAAGGCUCUUGAAUGAGCAGAGCUUUCUAUAACGACACUUGUUGCUAUACCUUGCAGUGCUUUGACACGACAUCGCUAUCGCCGGCGCGAGCUGGUGCGCAUAAGGCGCUCGAUGUGCAGAAGGAUGAGCUGCCGGUGUGGUCCAAGUCCACAUUGUCCUACAAGUAAGUUAUCUGCACGAAUCCUGCCUGAAUGAGGCACCUGCUGAUCACUCCGGCGAUGGUGCACAGGUACCCCGCUGGCAGGCCCAACCCCACUGGGUUUCUGAAGAAGGGCGACGGCGAGAUGAUUAAGACGAAGACGGGAGGGUUUGAGGAACGGAAGCCGUCCCCACCUCAAGCGGGCGCGUACAAGCGCCGGGAAAACCCGCCGAACACGGCGUUUCGGCGCUUCUACGAGCGUGGCGACUUGCCCAUCGCUGUGGACCACCGCGGCUCAAAGAACAUGAUUGCGUGGAAGGUGCGUUUGAUUGGGGGGAGGCGCGGGGGCCCCACGGCUGCAGACACACCGUAAUGGGGUGCGGAUAUGCACACAUGUGGGCAUACCGUAUGUCCCCGCGCAGCGUGUGCCCUCCACUCACUAGACUGCAGUACAUGCGCCACAUUACCGGCCCAGACCCCCGUAGCUACGUCCACAGUAUACCCCAGCGGCGCUGCCCAGCCACGCAACAAAGCCGUGUGCGCCAAACGCCCAGCCCUACACUUCACUGACCCGCCCCCAAUCCACUCCAACCACACACUGGCUGUUGCCCUGGUAGGUGGAUAUUGAGAAGCUGGACUACCACCACUACCUGCCCAUCUUCUUCGACGGCAUCCGCGAGACGCAGGAGCCGUACCGCUUCCUGGCGGUGAAGGGCGUGGAGGACAUGCUGCGCGUGGGUGGGUCCAAAAUCCUGCCCGUCAUCCCGCAGCUCAUCAUCCCCAUCAAGACGGCGCUCAACACGCGCGACCACAGCGUCAUGUGCAUCACGCUGCAGCUCCUACAGAAGCUGGUGCUGUCGGCGGACCUGGUGGGUGAGGCGCUGGUGCCCUACUACCGCCAGAUUCUGCCCAUUUUCAAUCUGUAUAAGAACAAGAACAAGAACCUGGGCGACGGCAUUGACUAUGGCCAGCGCAACUACGACUGCCUGGGGGAGCUCAUUGCGGACACGCUCGCGCUGUUCGAGCAAAAGGGCGGUGACGACGCCUUCAUCAACAUCAAGGUGAGGCUUGCUUCCGUCAUGGAUUAAGAGGGUGAUGCUCGCCAGUUCAGUUCAACGGCGCUUGACUGCAACAUUCGGAGAUUGCAUGGGGGAUGCCGGGUUCGCAUGCGGACGGUGGAAUGCGCCAGAGAGCCAGCCACGGCCCCGUGCCCCACCUCCGCAUCCGACGCUACUAAUUUAGGCACUUGGCUUCUGCUGCUCCUGUGUCAUGCCUGCAUUUGAGGCUGGUCUGACAUGUGGUUGUGUUCCGCCAUCCCCCCUGCAGUACAUGGUGCCCACCUACGAGUCCAGCGUGAACUACGCAUAAAGCCGCCGACAGCCAGUACAGGCGGAGCGGUUCGCGCGGCAGGAGGAGCGGCUAGCUAAAGAGGUCGAAAGUUGCUUUGGGCACUUCAGCUUGGCGGUGCGCAUUGGAUGUGGCCGAUGGGCUACGCACCCCUUGGCUCUGGCGGCAGCGACCGCGUGCGGGGCAGGGGAAUGUCGUGUUUCCUUUAUUGCUAUGCCAGGGUACGUAAAUGGGUGGCAGAGCGCUGACUGAUUCGGUCUUGACGAUGCAUCGUUCGCAUCCUGCAGGUUUCAGCUGACCGUUUACUGACUAACAACAUAGGCAGGCCUUGACAUUACGUGUUCAUUGCAAUGGCAAGGGGGCCAGCUGACACGAGGUACCGCUAGGUACCGCUUUCAUAGAUGUUAGGUUUCCUUCGUAUGCAACUCUGCAGCCAGCCACACAGGGGGGCGGCAAGUCGGAUCUGAGGGCACUGUGGUGUCAAAAGAAGUUAAGAAGAGUAGGUGGGUAGCUUCAGUUGGAGAUGUACAUUGUUGGGCUGAGCCCCCGGAGUGCAGCAAUUCAGGGGGGCUGAAGCCCCCCAAAGUAACACCCCUAUCCGUGUCGUUAACGUAAGUCGAAGCAUGGCUCCGUGGUGGGCCGCGUGCCCACAGCAUGUCAGCCUCUCUCAUGCCUCUCUGAUCUCGGCAGUCAUGCAUGCCAGACGGGCUGUUGUUGGACAUGUUCGUGUGGUUAAGAUCAGACAUCUAAGGAGUCCCGUUGCUCCUUAAGUUCAUGGCAAGACACGGCAAGUCUCCGCGGUCCAACGAUGUACGGUGCGGUAGUUGCCACCUGCGAGAAUGAUCGCCCCUGUCCAGCAGCCAACAGUCCACAGCGGAGGAAUGGCUGAAUGGUUCCCUGGGAUCCAGCCUGUCGCUUUAUUCUAUCUCCUAAUCAAGCAGGGGUGUUAUCCGAACGGCAGCAGCAGCAGCAGCAGCAGCAGCAGCAGCCUCAAUCAGCCGUCAACUUGGCCGUCCCCCAGGGUGCAUGCCCCGGGUUCACUCCUGGGGUUCGCGUUGUCACGACGCAUCGCAACCUCGUCUUUGGCUCGCCCGCGCCAGCCCAGCAACCCGGCGGCGGCAGCAGCGCUAGCGCUGGCGGCGGUGCGGGCGGUGCCGUUGCGCAGCAGCAGGUGAGAGGAGGGUUGCGUUUCGGUGGUGUUAAUGCGGCGAGGUGGCUGUGCCGCCUGUGCGGCAGUGGUGGAGGGGAGAGGAGUGGAGGUGCUUGGUAUUUUGAGUGUGAUGAUGCCAGGGGCAACAUGCAAACUUGCCAGUACUAUCCACAUGUGUGGCUGCUAGGGCUGCUGGCCUGUCCUCGCAGGCUGACUAGGGAAACAGGGACAGGACCCCGGCAUCAUCGCCCGGCAUAAGUUUCGGUGCUGCUCAGUUUCGGCGUUUCCCGGCACCGCAGAAGGCCGCCGAAGUGAGUUUGGGGCUUGUGUUACCAGGUAUCGCGAUCUUGAGUGCGCAACUCCGAGCUUAUCAGCGGGCCAAAUCGCAGCAUACGGGAUCGCGAACCAGCCCGUGCCCUUGCGGCCGCGACAACCCCUACGGCGGGCUGCGGGCAGCGGGCUGUUACUGCUCAUGCUACAGCGAUACAGUAUUCUCGUGAUGAGCCACCAUGGCAUGCCUCUUUAUGGCAAGACAUUUGCGCAAAGUUUGGUAGAGUUCACGACCGAACAAGCUUCACGUUGACGAUGUGAUCGUUGACAAGGGAUACAUUUAUUACUGUAUGGAAGGAUCCAUAAAAAAGACUAAGGACCACGCAUGAAAAAAAGGGCAGCACUUGGAAAACCUCAUUGUCUCGUUUUGCGUACUGAAGGACCACAAACGCUCAGACGAUUUCGACAUAGAAUGCCGUUUAUGACGGGUUACCUUACUAUAUUCAACUCUAAUAACGGCGCGUGACGGUCCAAAACUCAGUUCUAAAACGCCUCACGCGCCUUCGCCAUGCUAGGAUCCCUGGCUGCGAAGGAGUCUUCGCCCGUCCAACCUACAAAUUCUGCCGACUGGGAUGUCGACACGGGCGAGGACGAGGUCACAGAGGAGGACUCUGAAGACCCCGAGUCUGGCUCAAACCGCCGGGGCAAUGGCCACGGGGCUACUCGCCGUCGCAGCAGGAGACCUCCGUGGUCUCGAGAGGAGGAGGCAGUUUUGUGUCGGCUGCACGCACAAUGGGGCUGUUCAUGGAGUCGCAUCGCUAAGGAGCUGCCUGGGAGGACCAGCUCCGAGGUCAAGGUUAGUAUUGCUGGAGAGCCUUUGCAUAUACGUGUUGCGAGGGCAGUCCUAGAGGCUUCAGGGCAUUUGGGAGGCUUCAUGCUCUUUUGGGGACACCGAGACUCCCGCGGCACCUGGCCGCCUUGCUUCGUGUAUAUUAUGACACAUACUAUGCAUAUAUGCCCAAGCGGCGACAUCUGCCGUCGGUUUUGCCAGCGGGUUGAGCGGGCGACGGCAAAAUCGUUGGUUCGCAGAGAGGUUGCCGCUGUAACCUGCCUGCAAGCGCGACAUUCUUUUUUCCGCGCUGGAUAUAUGAUGCCAUCAGGGUCUCGACCCGGCUUAGAGUCUUCCUUGACAUUAGCCAACAGUGCUGUCGCCCACUCCUUCUAGACUGAGACUUGCGUAAUCACUGCGGCGUGUCCUGAGCAUUUGCGAGCCCUGAGGGAAGCCGCCAGUGGGGUCGAGCAAAGCCUUUGAAACCGGCGACCGCGACAACUGCGCGGUUUUUCCUACAGCCCACGAGGGUCUUCAACAAACGAUGUACUUACCUGCAGCUAAAAUCCGGUUGCCACUUGUCACCUUGCUGUCCUGCAGAACAUUUGGUGAGCAAGAUACGGACCAAGGCAAAGCGGCCGCAAUGCGCAGGGUGGCCUCUGCAACGCUGCUCAGGCUCAGGCGUUGCAAGACAUACAGCAUGUAGACUGUGGGCCGUAUGCGUACUGUUCAGGGCCUUUUACACAUGUAUUGUACUGACUACAACGCGCCCCCACGCACACCCGCCCUCUCUGUUUUCGCUUGCUCGGUUGCUCCCAUCCUUAGGCACUCCACGCUCCGGUAAGCCACAAACCGCGUUUAUACUGUGCCCAUUGGACCAAUGUAGGGUUUUGUGGGCCCAUUGCCGCCUGGAACGCCCGGCAUGCAUGCGUGUAUUACGGUAAACCCCCUGACUAACAUACGUUUGCCUCCAUGCUCGCACGUGACACACCCACCACUGGCGCUCGCGACAAUGGAACAGGAGGUAAGCUUGCUACCGUGCCGCCACCAGCAGCACUACUCAGUAGCACUAGGUGGGGCUGCAACAACCACGGCGCCGCUGCUGUAUUCAAGGGCACGGUUGCAUCAUCCUUGCAUUCCCAUCGUCCACGCUGGCUUCCCACCUUCAAUCCGCCGCCCUCCCUCAUCCUGUUCUUUUUCCUGCGCACAGCAAAAAGCUGAAGGCGCGCAGCCUGCUACGUGCCUACGCCCGCGCCCUGAGCUCGCGCGGCGACCGCAGUGACGACGCCGCCGCGCGCAUGGAGGCCUUUCGCAUCGCAGUGCGCAUGACCAACGACGCCGGCCGCGACUCGGACGGCGGCGGGCCCGAGGACGCGCCGGACGGACUGCCGGCGCUGGCCCUGGCGGGAACGGGCGGCAGCGGCGGGGGGUUGGGACCAGGCGGCCUGGGUGCUGGGGAGCUGCAGGGCGUGGGCGCGGGCGGCACUGGGCUGGAGGCGGGGCCGCUGGGCGGCGGCGCAGGCCCACUGGCGCUCGCGCUGCCGGGGCUGUCGGGUGGGGCCGGCGGCGGCCGCGGCGCGCUGUCCGGGCUGGGGCUUGCAGGCGGCAGCGGCGGGCCGCUGGAUGCGGGGCUGGCGGCACGCCUGGCGGGCGCGGGCCUGCUGUCUGGGAACGGGCCGUGUCGGACAGGUAAGCGGGGAUAUGAAGGCACGUGCCGCGAUGCCCCUGUGCCCUGCACGUAGGGCAGUGCGCGUUUCCGACACAGGAUGCCCUUUCUUACGCGCGUGCCUCCGCACCCCGCAGGCUCGUCCGGCGACCCCUGCAACAACGGCCCCAACCCCACCACGCACCCCAGCUCCCCGGACCGCUCCAACCCGCACGCAGACAAUGCUGCCGCCGCCGCCGCGGUGGCGCAGCUCAACGAGCUGCACGACGGCAUCUACAGCUCGCGUGCCAGCGGCGGCAACGGCAACGGCACAAUCACGGCGGCGGCGCGAGGGGGCGGCGCCGACAAAAACGGCGGCGCGCCGCAGCUGCCGCCGGCCGACCGCCUCGUAGCCGCGUUGAUGCAGGGAACGGGUCUGGAGGGCGCAGGCGGGCAGGGCGAGGGCGGCUCUGCCGGGGUCAAGCUGGAGGGCGGCCUGAACGGCGCUAGCGUAGAUGGAGCCGUCGGCGGAGCCGGCCCAGAUGACGGCUGGGCGCCAAACGGUCGCGCCGGCGGCAGCGCGCCGGCGGGCGGCAGCGGAGGCAACGGGCAGAUGCCCGAGGAUGUAGUUGAGGAGCUGCAGCAGUUGCGGGGCCUACCGCCUCAGGUGCUGCAGCAGCUGCUAGCCAAGGGCGUGUCGCCGGCAGCGCUGCAGGUGAUGCUGCUGCAGACGCGGCUGGAGCACGGCGGGGGGCCACUGGAGCCAGGGCCAGGACCUGGGCCGCGGCAGGCGCUGGAGGGCAGCGCCAGCGACUCACAACGGGGCCUCGAGCAGCAGCAGGCUCAGCAGCAGUCGUGGGAUGGCGCUAGGGCGACGCCGCCGCCGCCACAGCGGCAGCUGAAGCUGGAAGAGCGUGAGGCCCAUUCCCGGCACGACGAGGCGCAGCGGGCGGCGGACUGUGCGGAGCCGCGCGUGCGGGUCAAGGCGGAGGCGGAGGACCUCGGUGGUCGGGCGGGUAUCGAUGACGCCGCCAGGAGACAGCCAUCGGACAACAAUGACAGCAGAGCGGACUCUGGCGCGAGGACUUCGCACCAGCAAACGUCGACUAGGGGUCAGGAGGGCCUGCGUGCGCAGGGUCGGGCGGCCAAGACCCAGCUUCAGGCGUCGCAAAGCCAUCGUGCCGGUCCUCAGCAGGACGAGGCGCCCGACAACGGCAGGCGCGGCGCGGGUGCUUCAAAGGCGCCGCAGCAGCCACAGCCGCUGCAGCUGCUGCCGACGCUGGCAGCCGGCUCCAUAGAGGCUGCGGUGCGCAGCAAUGGCGCCCUGGCGGCGGCGGUGGAGGGUGAGGCCAGCGGCAACAGCAACGGCAACGGCGCCGCCGCCGGCUCGCUGCCGGCGCGGCGGGAAAGCGACGACGAGCGGCUCGACGGCAGCCGUGGCGCGCGACCCGGGCUGCUGCAGGUGAGCCUGCGGCCGCAUCAGGGCGACCAGCCCAGUCCAAUGGCUGACGGUGAUGCGCGCGGCGACGGCGGCGCGGCCCUGCGGGCGCUGGCGGCCGGCAGCAUCGCCGGCGGCGGCGGCGGCCAUCCGCUGCAGGCCUUGGCGGCUGCCAUGGCAGCCAAUGGAGGAGCCGUUGGCGCCGGCGGCUUGGGCGGCGUGCUGGCGGGCAUUGCUGCCGCCAGGGAUGGCGGCGGAGGCCUCAGCAGGCUUGAGCAGCUCGCGGCGCUUAUAAACGGCGGCGGCGGCGGCGGGCCUGGUGGCGGCGGCGGCGAGCAGCAGCUAGGCCUACCGGGCGGACAAAAUUUUGCUAUGCUGAAUGGUGGCGGCGGCGGUGGCGGGGGCAUGCUUGGCGCGCUGCUGGCGGAGGCGCAGCGCGGCCGCGCGGCGGCAGCGGCGGCGGCUGGGCUGGGCCCGUUAGGGACGGAGGCGGAGGAAGGCGCGCUGAUGGAGCUGAUCCGGGUCAGCCUGGCAGAGGCGGAGGCAGCGGAGGCGGCGCGGGCGCGCGCCGCCAACCGGGCGCUGGAGGCGGCGGCGCGGCUGAUGCAGGCCAGGCAGGCGCGAGCAAGGGCUGGAGCGCAGCUGCCGCCAGGUGCGUGGGCAGGGCUGGAUUCUGUGAGACCUAACAGUCCCGCUUGUAUUGGGUACCGUAUACGGUAGAGUUACAGUGACUUGAGAACUCACUCAUGAACCUGGCGUGUCCUUUUCCACCGCAGAGUCCAUGAUCGCCAACGCGCUGGCCUCGGCACGUGCGCGCAUGGCGGGGUCAGCCGGGCCGCCGGGUGGCGACGAGCUCCUGUCGCGCCUGGCGCUGUUGCAAUCCCUGCAGGCCGGAGGCGGUGGGCCAGCGGCCGCGGAGCUAGCGGCGAUGCUGGGCGCGGCCCGCGGCGGCGGCAACGGCAGCGACAAUGGAAGUGGUAACGGUGGCGGCGGGUCCAAGCGGCACGCGCAGUCGGACGACGAGCGCGAGCAGCUGCCCCCGCGCAAGCGCCAGCAGGCCUACUUGGACAGCGACAACGGGCCGGCGUUGGGUGGCGGCCGUGGCGGCGGUGGCGGCGGCGGGCCGCUGCUGCCGCUGCACCACCUGCAGCUGGCGAACAUGGCCGGAGCCUGCGGGCUGGGGCCGGGGCCGGGCGGGCAAUGGGGCGGCGCGGUGCUUGACUCACAGCCUCAGCAGCAGCAACCUCAGCAGCAGCAGCAACAGCAGCAGCUGCUGGCUGACAUGCGGGGCCUCCUAAGCGGCCUCAACGGCGGCGGCGGCGGCCCUGGCGGGCGGGCACGGGAGCAGGACAUGCUCGACAUGCUGCGCCACCGUGCCGCCGCCGCCAUGGCCGGCGCAGGCAUGGGCGGCGGCGGCGGCGGCGGGCUGGGUCACCUGCGGGGGCCGGCGGGGGCGCGCGGGAUGCUGCAGGUUGAUGACGACGGGCCCGGGGCGGCGAUGGCGGCGAUGGCGGCGGAGGCGGUGAUGCGGCGGCAGGGCACUGGGCUGCUGGAGUCGCAGGACUCGAUGGGCGAGAUGGCGCAGACGUUGCUGGGGUUCAGUCAGAUGGCGGCGCAGACGUUGGGCGGCAGCGAGCCGGCUGUUGGCGGCGGAGGUGCAGGCAGCAGCGGCCGCAAGGGGCAGCGAUGGUGAGGGGGCGACGCAGGGCUCGUUGCGGAAAGGUUAUUCAUUUACGCAGUGUAUGUGGCUGCCUAGCGCAGCUUACAGCAGCCGGCUUGUCUCGCAAGCGUGAGGCAAAUAGCCCUGCUGGCGCUGUGCAGAUCAGUGCGGAUAGCGAGCACGAGUUGCUAUUCUUGGUGACAUCAUGGCACGCGUGGUGUCUCUUGCCUGUGCACAGCGGCGACCACAUGCUGGGGGGCGACGCAUGCGGGCUGGCGAGUGACUGGCGCACAACGCCGCUUGCACUCCGGCGAACUACGAAAUGAUACUGUGGGCCGUGUGGCUCUAACGUUGAGUACCGAGUGGUGGCAUUGCUUAAGAGAGUUAAAAGAUGCCCUUGAGGUCGCCAACCUUUAUUAAGCGGGAAGGCGCUUCGUCCAAUGGGAUGGUAUGGCAUACUAGCUGCGGUUCAUCGUACUACCCGUAUUACUGGAGUGGAGUGGUGGUGGGCAGUGGUGUGGCGGGUGGACAAGUGGGAUCACUUAGCUACUGCUGGUGUUGUGUGAGUUGUCAAGACCUUCCUCUUGGGCUGCAAAAGACGGAGACCGGUCGACACUUGCUGCCACCCAACCGGUGCUGGACAGCGUCAAAAGGCUGCAGUUGCAAGGGUAUGUCCUGCUGAGCAUGCUCGUGACAGCCUUGCCAGUAAUAACUAAGAUGCGAAUGUGAAGGGUUAACCCGGAGUAUGCACGGCCUGACAUCUUCGCAUGUGCACCAUGAUGCUUUGUGGCUAAAACUUCCGUGCGGCCGCUGCAGCGCGCACAGGGGUGUGGUGGCAGGAGGAUGUCAACGGAUAAAGCUCCGAAGGCGAUGUCGUGGCAGGAGCGUCCAGGUGCAUAACGUUAAAUGUUUGUGGCUCAACACAUUUGCACGCAUGUGCCCGGUGAUGAUGUGUAUGGUUUGCGCAAUCCCCAAUCGAGCAGGGCAGCGGUAUGUGCAUCCGGCUGUCCGAGCAUGAUGCUAAGCAGUAACUAAAGGCGGGUGGGCACGCGCCGUAGAUGAUGGGCGGUCGCAAUGUGGCGUCGGAGACACUGACUUGUGUUGUAGUCGUGACGAGGUCCCGGUCACAGAAAGGGUCGACCGGCAGUUCCGACGUGAACGUGCUUUGGCAAGCGUGUACCCGCGUGUAUUUGCACUGAUCUGCAACGUGUGAGGCUAGGGCUUAGAGGUUGGGUGCUUAUUAGCCCGGUUCUUGUUCCUGUCGCGGCGUGUGGGCUCCGGGUGCUGUAGCAUAGUUGGCAAGUCUUUGACGGUGCGGGUGCGGAUGCGUCAGGCAUGUCUGUGUCACGGAGCAGUUUAUAUUGUGGUAGGAAAGCUAUCCCUAAAUGCACGCCCUCUGUGCUUCGCACGUGCUUACGGUAUGUGCUGUGCAGCUCUAGAUUGCUCUAGUUGGUGAAAGCGCUGGCUCGGAACUGAGUGCUGGAGAGAACAUGGGAAGGAAAGCCGAACUGGGUCUUUGUGGCCUCCAAACUAGAAGUGGAUGGUGUGUGGGUUCUGCACUGCAUGGACUCAUGAGGCAUGGACACGGCUGCUGCGAAGCAGAGAAGCAUCAGGCGCGAGAUGUAGCCAGUUUGACAUAGUGUCAUGUGAAGGAGGUGCCACACGCCUCCGGGUUCUGUGAUUGUGGUUUACCUGUCACGGACCCUCGUCGGCCUUGACCGGCGUCACCCUGAGCCCUGCGGUAACAUCGCGUGGCCGUGCAUGUGAGUCCGUAUGAAAAUGUGGUUUCCAUGCAUUGCGUCAUGUUACAAGUUGUGAGGGCGGCUCCGCCGCCGGGGAGGGUACCUGCAAGCAGAGAACUGCGGUCUUCGUGCGGGGUUGGGAGGGCGAGCCCGAACCGCCGUGUGACCACGCAGACCGCGCAGUCAGGGACGACGGUAGUCAGUACUGACAGAAGGAAACUCGCAAAGUAGCGAGCGCGACCCCGCGCUCCGCUACUAAACCGGGCCCACCGCCCAUGCGGCGCAUGGGCCCCAAUGAACAAACACACACGCCACGCCCCUUCGGGGCCCACAACAACGUACACUCCGAACGCAGGAAACCUUGGUUUCCGACAACUCGCUGCGCUCGAGCGGAAACCAUCAGUAUACCGUGAUACCGCAAGCUGGUGACCAAAAUGCAGCCCAGAGUAAGUAUGAGCGUUGGCGCAGGGGGGGGGAGGGUAGAAAGCUCUGCUUCUUACCCAAUGAUCAAAUUUGCAAAGCUUUAGGAGAGCAUUACGCACGUGCUUGUAGUUUUGUAAGGGGGUGUCUAGGUGAGGAAGUUCUGGGCCGCCAAAGUUGGUGGGUCAGUCGUCGUCCUGGGUAAAAGGGGGAUCCAUUCUCGGGGUCAGCCGGGUUUCGGGAGCAGCACACUUCCCCACAUUCGACACAUGCGCACUGACACGGCUGGGCUCUCUAGCGCUGGUGCGCAUGAAUUCACGUCUAACGAGGCCGAUGCAUACUGUCCAACCGUCACGCGGCAGAGAGUUGAGCGCGGGGUAGGCUACAUCGAGGGGAUGUCAAUGGAUCCCGCGUGUGCCCGAAGUCUCAGAACAACGACACAGCGUGACAGUGCUCGUCAAGAGGAGUCGAUUGAAACCACUUUGGUAUUAAAUGGAGAGGGCCUAACCCUCAACAACAAGGUUUUGUCCGUGGGAGGGGUCGGUCGUCCCCGCAAGGGGGGUCCCGGGGGAUUUCGGGGCAUGGGGUCUAGCACUUUGUUUCCUACCCCCCCCCCCCUGCUUGGCGUGCCAGGCCGGUUGGAGGGCCUCGCUUUUUGCAAAGCCAAGUAACACUCGCUCAAAGGAUGAGUGAUGCUCGUGUUACUGGUGCCAUACACUCCGUCAUGCUCUCCUCCAUACUCUUCCACACGCCCAUACCGCACACCUAGCCAGCUCUCUAUGUUUUCCAACCCGGUGAGCUUGCAUUGCUACUUCUUUGUUUGCAUAGCAACGCCACCGCCUGCACCGGCCACCGCGCCGCUCGGAUCCACCAGCUCCCACUUGCCAGCUCCACCACCACCGCUCCCUGGCGCGCUCCCCCCCGCCUUGCCGCUGCCUUGGGCCGAUGUGCUCAGCUCUACAUACGGCUCCGCCGCAGCGCCCGCAGCUGCGGCACCGCCUGCGGGUGCCGCCGCUCCGGCGCGGCGCUGCAGCUCACGUGCCGUGGCCAAAUCCGUCGUGGCAACCACCGAGCUGCUUGGAGCCACCACAGUGCCUGCGCAUACGUGCGUGUCACAGGCCACAAGGCACAAGGAGCACAUCGCGUCGCAUUGACUCAUGGCCGGGCAGACGUCCGGUUACAAUCCGACUAUGCGUUGCGUCGUCGCCAGCCGAGCUCUAUCUAUCUAGAUGCAUAGCAGCGCAGGCAGACUGGCGGUGGCUCUGCGGUAGCAGUGUGGGCCGCGGCGGCCGGCGAGCAUCAGGACGCACCGGCUGGGAGGGUGAGAUUCGCGCCCGCCGCCGCGGCAGCUGCUGGCCUCAGCUGCCAGCCCGACAGGUCGACGGCUUCGGUGCCCUUGUUGCGAAGCCGCACAGUCACCGCGGGGGCAGGCGGGGCCGCCUCGCCCAACAGGGGCUCGACCGCGACAGCCACCUGUGCGUGUGUGCGCGUGUGUGUGUGUGUGUGUGUGUGUGCGUGUGCGCGUGUGCAUGUGUGUGUUCAUGUGUGUGACAACAAGGGGUAAAGCAGAAAUCGAGUCCAAUUGAGUGUGUUUGGGGCGCACAAAAUAGAAGGUUCACGCAGCGCAUGUACGGAGAAAAUCACAAGGGGGGCUUUGCAUCCACAUGUAUGCCACAAGAGCGGAGCAGCUGGGGGGACGCUUCCAGAUGCACGUGCUCAGACGCAAAAACGCCCAUCAUCGCCAACCACGCGCCCACCUGCUCCGGCUUCUGGCUUGUGGGCAACAGAGGCCGCCGCCCAGUCGGCCUGCGUUAUGGGUCGUGUGGUAGAAUGUGGGGCUCCGCUGUUUGUCGUGACAUGCAUGAAUGGGCCGCACCCCCGAUGCGCCGAGGUCUGCAAGGCUGCAAGCACAGUAGCAACCCCCCGCGAGGAUGCAAUGUCUCUUACCCGUACAGGGACCCAAGGAGUUGGUCGGUGCGAAUGGGCAGGAACUCCGUUGUGAUCUGCUGAUACCCCCUGUCUACGGAGAUGCCUGUUGGAGAACAUCGCCAGGACAGGACACGGGAAUCGCGAUUUUUAUCACGCGCUGCAGGGGAGUUCAGCCUAGCUUGGUUGCCACGUGCGUGGCGCCCAAAUGCAUGGCGGUGUAACGUCAGGAUGUGUCCGGUAGCGUUGGCCUGGUGACGGAUACCAGCAGCCCACCUGAGCUCCAUUUCUUUGCAUCCAGGUCUGCAAGUGGUUUGAUGCGCGUGUAGGUCGCAUUGGCCAUCUGUGUUGGGCGCACAAGGCAAGGAAACGCGCAGGGCGCGUCACACAUUGUGGCACAAGUGCGGCGUGCUGCGCACCGCUAAAUGCACGGGGCCCCAGCAGUCCGACCACGCAUGUGUGCACGAAGGCGCGGCCUUCAGAUACAAAGUCCUGCGUGUUUGCUCCCGUUGUGUCCUUGCAUACGCACGACACACCUGCGCGAUGCGACCUGACGCCAGGAAGGUGUCGGCCAGUGUGCGCAGCCGCCGCAGGUACAUGGCCCGUGUGGCGUUGGUGUCUGCGACGUGAACAACCAACACACACCAGCCAUGCCGGCCGAUCAAUGCCACACAAGGUAUGAACAUCAUGAUUCAUAAAGCCAAAAGAGACGUGUGGAGUGCAUGGACCUUGUUGAUUAGGGUCGGCGCCAGAGUACGGUAUUACGGUAUGCGGCACGCUCUUGCCGAAUGGCGCGAUUGGCACGUGCUCACCCAGUAUUGCGUCGUACAGGUGGUUGUAGGUGCCCGCGGGGCCGUUGGGCGACGUCUGCGUCAGCGUGACGCGGUCGGGGUUGUCCCAGCCCCGUGGCGGCGGGAACUGCGGCAAGCAGGUAGGCGGGGAGCGACAGCAGGUGUGUUGUGGCAGAUCUAGAGCCAAGUGCUAAUGGACGAUUGAUAUGUGGUGGUCUCAGUCUACAAGCACAAGCAAGCCCAGGCGAGCGAUGCAGUGGCUGCAGCCGUCGGCGUGUGGCUGCAAGAGCAGGAGUCUUGCGGCGGCACUAGCACAUCGCAGCUAAUGCAUAGCCACACACCUUGGUGAUGGUGGGGCCGGCGGCGUACAUGGGCGACUUGUUGAUGUUCGCAGCCGUGUCUUCCGCCCGGCGCCGAGCGCGGCGCGCCUCCAAGCUGCUACUGCUGCCGCUGCUGCUGCUAUCGCUGCCGCUGGCUGCGGCGCCAGCACCGGCAGCCUCGCCCUCGGGCGCCGCGGCACCUGCCUCCUGCUGCAGGAGUGCCCGGCUGCGGCGGCCAGCGGGGUUGGACGGCUUGCGCACGGCGGCUCCUUGGUAGGAGUUGUCGUUCAGCUUCACAGCCACUGUGCCCCAGGGAGUGACACGACUGAGAUCCUGCGGGCAUGGGGCGGCGGGUGAAGCAGUUACGUUUGAUCGCAGGGGCGGGUUGGUGGCUGUGGCGGUUGGUGGCUGUGGCGUACAGGACCUCGCAAGACAAGUUUGCAAACACAUCUAGUAAGCGGCCAUUGCAGCAGUAGAUACCGCAGUGGCAGCAGCCGGCGGCGAAGCACGCACGCGCACCGGCACACGUGCUGCCAAUCCGUCCAGCGCCCCCACGUGCCAUGUCGCACCAUGCCCUCGCCCACCUGCGGAUGCUCGCUGUCGCAGUAGAGCGGCGAGUUCCAUUGCUCACACGCCAGCACGCAGUAAUUGUCCAGAUCGGGUUUGCCGCCCAGACCGUUGUCCUGGCCUGAGUGUGAGGACCAGGAGGAGAUCGAGGACACGGUGUAUGUCAUUUGUGUCGUGCCGUAGCAACAGCAGAGUAGAGCAGGUGACUUGGUGGCGACGGAGCCGAGGGUACCGUAUGGUGAGAAACUAACGCGCCGUAUGGGGAUCAGGAGUGGGAUGAUGGGACAGCACACGGCACGGUCUUUGGGGUGGAGCUCAUGGACGGCUGCUAGGGAGGCGGCGCAUGAGGAGGGGGGGCAUGUGUACUCAGGGCUUCAGGAGGACGCACCGAAAGAGCCGUCCAUGUCCCAGGGCAGCCUGCAGGUGCAGGAGCAGGAGCAGGAGGAAGGGCAGGAGGAUGGACGGGAGCACAGCGUGGGGAGUGGUGGGCGCGCGUCAGGGAGUCAUGGCCGUGACCUCUGGGAAGCAAACAGAUUGCCACCCCAGCUGCUCCCAGUCUGUUUGCAAACGUGGGUGUGCCUUGCCGGCCUUGCCGAUCUAGUCAGUCUUGCGCGCACACUCACAUGUACCACUCGCGCGUGUGGGGGUGGAGGUACAUGAAGAAGUUCUGUUGGUUGGGUGGCGGGCGGCGUUGUGAGGGGUUGACCAUGAAAAGUUAAGGACCCAGGUAGACACAUAGAGUCAACCGCCCGUCGGCAGCUACCCCGGCUGCUCUGGGACUGGUGUGGCUGCCUUCCCGCCCGCCCGCCCGCGCGACCUACCUUGGUGCAGCGGUCCAUGUUGUUGACGAGCGUCUGUGCGGCCAUGUUGUUGAUCAUCUGUGUGGAUGCAUCCGGGAUGGGAAAACGGGCAUCCACUUGUGUACGUACAGACGUACGGUGUGCGCGGGGGCUCUCUGACACUGGCACUUGGUAUCCAUCGGCCGCUACACACCGCUGCCGCCGCAGCAGCACAUUUCACCGCGGGCUGGGCCAGCUUUACAGGCUAUCCCCUUAGCCGACGCUCACCGAGGGCAGGUUGACAGACUGCACCACAAACUCCGAUCGGGGCUCGGGGCCGCCGCCCGCCAGCCCGCGACUGAAGUUCCGCAGUGCGUCCCAGUCCGCGGCGACUUUGUCCCUGCGUGCGUGUGCGUACAGCACGGCGCACCAACAGCCAGGCGGGUUACGUGCCCGAGCCCAACGACACAGGUCCCAGUAAUCAAGGAAUCAUCGCCCAACCCUGGGGGGGGUAAUGCAGCGGUGGGGGAGCGGACGCGAUGCCCGGCACGCCAGUGCACGCCGUGCGUGCAUAUGCAAGGGCUUGCGCCAUGACCAAACCGCCAAGACAGCCCCCCACGUCAGUUUCAUUCACACACCCAAGCAUGCACGCGUGUGAAAUGCAUCCCCAUUACCUUCUGUUUCCCUUGAACACACCUGUUUUCCUUCUCCCAGAAGCUGGGGUAUUCCUUGAGCGGCAGGUCCCACCGCAGGUUGGACAGCUCGCCGCUGACACUCUUGAACAGCGGGCCGGAGGGCGGCAGCCCGUGGCGCUGGAGGUUGUGUUUUGGGGGAGGGGGGGGGGUCGGGGAGGAAGACAGAUAGGGUGGAGACACAGGGUGGUGCCGGAGAGGUGAGUGACAGUUGGUGAGCUGAGCUGACACAUGCGUAGCUGGACGAAGGAGGAGAGGUAUACACACGCACACAAAUCACUGCCCUCCCUUCACACACACACACACACACACACACACACACACACACACACACACACACACACACACACACACACACACACACACACACACACACACACACACACAUGCACACUCUGCGUCGCAUACACUGUCCUACGCGUAAUGUUUUCCUUGCGCUCUUUAACACACAUACACACACAUGCACACCUGCAGGUAUGUGUCAUCCAGGACCUCCACGAACGCAAACAGGCCGUAGAACUGGCCGUUGAGCCGCACGUGCACGUGGAAGGAGGUGGGCGCGAUCACACCCGCCUCGCGCAUGAACUGCGGGUGGGCGGCGGGGAGGGAGGGAGAAAGACGUGUACGUGGGGUGGAGUCGGGUGGGUGGUGGAGCUUCAGCCGACGCAGUAGGCCUGCAUGCAUCACGCAGCUCGCUGAUGCCAGGGGCUGUGGGGACCGGAUGCAAUGGGUUAGGUGCACAGUAGCAGCCCCCUGGCCGCUGCCCCUCACGCCGCCGCCCAGGAAAACCCCUGUCACCGCCCCUCCCUCCCUCACCUGCAGCGCCAGCGGUUCCUUCAUGUAGCUGCGCUCACCCAGCUCGUACCUGCAGGCGGCAUGGCGGUGGCAGGGGUGGUGGUGGUGGUGGUGGUGGUGGUGGUGGUGGUGGUGGUGGUGGUGGUGGUGGUGGUGGUGGUGGUGGUGGUGGUGGUGGUGGUGGUGGUGGUGGUAGUGGCAGGGGUGGUGGUGGUGGUGGUGAAGAUGGUGCGGGUGGCUUGCGGGCAGCCCGGCACCCCGGCCGCAAAGGGACAACAGCUGUGAGUAGUGCUGCAAGGUUCCCAGCCAGCCAUGAGUGCACCAGAUACUUAUGUCGACAGCGAUACCACUUGGCGGCACCUCAAACACAACAUGCAAUGCCCUGACCCGCAAGCCUUUUCGCCCCUAGGGGCCAGCACCUGAAAUGUGCACCUCAUCCUCCCGCCCACCUUCCCACCCCCCACCCCACCACAAACAUACCGGUUCGGUUUAGUUUGGGCUGGUAUCUACAACCCCCCCACCACCACCACCUCAAAACGUACCAAAAGGACUGGAGGCCGAACUCAGACACCUCCGGUGCCGUGUCCGAGUACCUGAAGUCCUGUAGCGGGGCCGACCAGUUGAGGCGGACAACGAAGGAAGUAUGUAUGUGAUCCAUAGGAGGUAUAAUGGUUGCAGCCAGGCAACCCCAAACGCGCUGGCCCUCACACGACGCUGCCCUCUCCCCCGACCCGUAACCGGCGGCUGUGCACCCACCCGGCUGGGCAGGAUGAACUUGAGUUUGGGCUUGGGCCAGGACAGUGCGGUGACUCCGCGCCGCCGCGCCGCCACGUUGUCAUGCAGGGUGCCGCCGUACACGAGCACCUGGCCCAGCGCGCCGUCCACAGAGGUGGCAGCCUCCGCGUUUGGGCUGAACCUGCGGGGUGGCGUGUGGGAGGUCUGCAGGUGUGAGUGAGAUAGAUAGAUAGAUAGAUAGAGUGUGUGUGUGUGUGUGUGUGUGUGUUAAGGAGCACAAGGAAGGUGUGUGUGCCUGUGUGACCAACGGGCAGGUCGUAAAGGGGCGAGGAAGACGCAAGGGAGCUCUGCGCAUAAUGAUGUUGGUGUUGUAGAUGUCGAUGCUGCCAUGUGAGAUAAAAUGCGCAUUGUGCGUGCUGCCGUGUGCACACUACACGGCGCGCUUACCACUCCAGGAUGGGGACAUCGGGGGUAAUGACCUGGUCCUCGAGCACCGCAAUCGCGGUGCCGUAGUAGUGCGGCUCCUGCUCCUGCCCCUCCCCGCCCUGUGCCUGGCCCAAGGCAGCAGCGGCCAUGGCCGGCGGCCACUCCUCAGCAGCAGCGGUGCCGGCCGAAGGCGGCGGGCGCGGGAGGGCGGAGCGGUAACCCGCGGUGUCGGCGGCACGGGCGCGCCAGCGGACCAUGUCGCCUGCCUUGAACGCCGCUGCCGGGAUGGCGGCCGUGUACAGGAGCUCCCCGUCUGCGUGGACACAAGGCGGCGGCGAAAGCGCCAUCAGCACGGCAAUGCCAAAGCGCCGAUGUCCCGCACCACACCACAUACACACAUCGCGACAGCAACACAGCCAGCACUGGCGAGUGCGCUGUCUGCAUAGCGGUGUGCCGCGGUCGCUCAAAGGCCGUCGUCGCCACGCACCUGCUCCCGCCGGCCCCUCUUGCGCCGCCGCCAGCUCCUGCUCCUGCCCCCAGUUCACGACGUACACCAGGCUGACGCCGGCGCCGUCCACUGGGUUCAGGUUGGGGCGCAGUGUGAUGUUGACGAGCAGGUCGGCGCCAGCGGGCGGGCGGUCCGGACCCGUGGGGCGUGACACGCUGUGGGGUUAUCAUCCAGAGCGGCAGGGCGGGACAGGUCAGGGCACAGCAGGGGCGCGGCAGGCCGGGGCAGUGGCGGCGGUAUACCUGGGUCGACUGGCAAGCAACAGCGGUACACAGGCGGCGCACAGGACAUGGACCGCGACUGGCUGACAGGGACUUUCCCGGGAUGUGGAUGGCCCCUGUGGGCCGGCGGUUUGUGGGUUCAGCCCAUCCACCCACCCACCUGGUGAUGAUGGGUCCAAUCGCCAGCGGCGCCGCGUUGUCCGCUCCCGGUGUGGCGGCGGAGAGGUAGGUGAGCGGUGCCGCCGUCGCCGCGUCCCGCUUGACACCGUCGGCGGCAGCCGGCACUCCAAAGGACACGUUGGCAUACUGCCUGCGGGAAGUGGUCAGAUUGUGGCUCGCAGGCGGACCUGCCAGCGGGGCCGCCUGACACGAGGAGCAGCGGGACGGACAGAAGGGGGGAUGCAAGCCCACAAGUGCAGGUAUGGCGGCAAGCUCGCAUGCGGUGAGGGGGGGCGCACGCACCUGCUGCAACCACACAAGCCUGCACAACACGCACGUACCGCACACACCUCCCCUGCAGACCUGAACACCUGCUGUGCCGCCUGCGCACCUGGGCAGCUGCACUCGUUCCACCACGACGCCGCCUGGCCCCAGCAGCUGCACACCCACACCGCCCGCCGCCGGCAGCUUGAAGCUCGCGUGCAGCGACGCCGGCGCAGCGGCUGACCCGGCGGUGGCGUUACCAGCUGAGACGUUCUUGCCUGUGGCAUGGACCCCCGUAACGAAGAGCAAGUUCCAAAGCUUGCUUGUACGCACGCACAGUACAGAGGUUGUAGCUUCAGGCUGGUCGAAAGCAGUAAGGGGUUUGCUGUGUUUGGUGGUUGGCGGACGCCCAGCUCUCUCGCACCUGAGGCGUAGAUGACCAGAUAGGCGUUGGGCGCAAUGGAGGUGUCGGGCGGGAAUGUCCAGGUGUUGCUGCUACGGCUGCUGUCGUUGCCGUCCUCCUCGUCGUGGUCAAGCAGCCGUAGCUCCCAGCCCUGCGGCGCACAGCACCCACAGGCUCUGUGGAGAUAGCAGUGCAUCGGUGAGCGCUUGCGGCCGUUUUACCUGCCCGCCCGCCCAUCCGUCCCCACGCCCCAUAACCUCGUCUCCCUUCCUCUUCUGUUCGUCCCACUCCCCGCCCCCGCACCUCUAGCGCCACGGCGCCGGCGCCCCGGUUGUGGAGCUCCAGCCAGUCAGGACUACUGCCGCCGCCCCCGCCGCCGCCGCCACCCGUGCUGCUGGCCGCCGCCGGCAGCUGCAGCGCCCCCUGGUUACUGGCCAUGACCUCACUGAUGUACACCUCACUGCCGGGGCCAGGAGGGCCAGGAGCAGGGGCAGGGGCAGGGGCAGGGCUGCCGCUCGUGGCCGACGACGGCGUAGGUGGCUGCGGCGCCGGCGCCGGCUCCUGCUGGCAGAGCGCGGGCAGCGUGCCUGCCAGCAGUAGCAGGCUGCACACCACCGCUGCGGCUGAGGCCGCGCCGAGCAAGGCGCUGCUGCUGCUGCUGCUACUGCCGCUACUGCCACCGCGGUGCUGCCGCUGCAGCCAGUCGGCUGUCGUGGGCCCGGCCGUGCCCCUGGGUCGCGCCGGACGACGCCCUCUGCUGCGAGGGAGUGCCUGUGCCUGGGGGGUUUGCGAGCUGGAGGCUGGCGUGUCCUGUAGCGGCGGUGCGGCUCGUUGGGUCGCAGCCCGUUGCCGACACGCUGGGUCGUGUGGGGAUGCCAUGAUGACCUGCUCAAGUACGUGUUGCUUGACGCUCUUGUGGCGACAGCGCGUAAAAACAGUAAAGCAGCGAAAUGCCAGCCUCCAGUGUGUGGUCUGCCAUGGCGUUACGGGCAGGCUGCAAGUGACAGGUCAGAUUGACAUGGGCCGCGGUCAACCUCCUCCAGCUGCAGCUUCCCACUCCCUCCCUCCAGUUCUCCUUCCCCGCGAUCCAUGGUCCAAGGCGUUACUGAGCCCGAGCUCUAAUGAGGAACCCGUGUCAACUUACCGCGACCGCACAAGAGGCUGCCGGGAAGUUCGCGGAUGCAACAGCCAGCAGGGGCCCAUCGGUUGUUCGCAGGCAUCGGGUCGAUAGGCUCGUGGCGUGUUACAAUCAGCGCGGACGCUGAUGGCACGAGUAUCUGCUAGCGGGACAUUGCUCUGGGAGAAGUAACCACCCAUUUCAGCAUCAGCAGUCAGGACACCGUCAGGAUCACUAUUUCUCCGCAUUCUCAUCUUCCUCCGCUCACUAGCGCGUCGUUCCGUACGUCCGCGCACUCACCCUCUCUCCCUUGUGCCUGUCCUGUUUGCCUUCCAGCAGCUUGCAGGCCAGUCCAGCGCACAUUGGCAGUGGCUUCCGGCCGUGGUUUCCGACGUUUACUUCCCCUCGCCCCAGCUGCCUUCAAGCCGCACGCCCACAUGAACAACAGCAAGAGCCACACCAAUGAAACCGUCACUCUGCCCGCCCGACCGCACUCCCAAGACAGCGCUGCUCCUCACCCCAAACAGCCAGACUUCCAAAUCUGGACCCCCCCCUGGCGCUGCUCACACCCGCACUUCACACAGCCCUACUGUAGCCCUCCCCUCUCCUGCCUCGUGCGCGCCUGCGCCCGCUCGCUCAUCACGCGGCCAGCACCCAGGUCUCCUCGAUGCCGGACGAGUUGGUGCUCAGCUCAUAGCGAGCGCCCGGGCGGCCGCUGGCGCGCAGGAAGGCGUCAAUCAGCAUGGCGUCUGCAAGGGACACACGCACACACACACACACACACACACAUACAUGCACAUGUGAGUGGGGCGCGCUUGUCGUUUCCCAUUCACACACGAGACUAUCACCAAUAUGCCCUUCACACACAUAUGUCAGCAGCAGGCGAGGAGCAUGGACGGUGCUCGGCAGGACUGCAGACAACAGACAGCAGGCAGCAUCGGACUCACCGUAGCAGUUGGUCACCACCGCCCGCCGGUAGUUGAGCGAGGUCAGGCCUGUGUGCAGGGUGCGCGGAGAGGGGUAGAGAAGCCCGUGGUACCGUCAGUGGCAAGGGGUUUGCGGCGCGCGGCCAGUGCUCUGGCAGGCAUGACGCUGACUCGCAUGCACCCGGGCCGCGUGACCUCCUAGCCGACAUCCGGGUGUUGUCAUCCCACAGGCUGUAGCUGGGCUCCGCACGCCGUCGCCCUUUGUCCCGCGACUCACCCCACAGGUUUGCGGGCCCCAGGAUCUUGACUUUGAACGAGCGCGCCGCCUCGUCCACGUCCGACACCUCGGCCUGCAGCCGCACACAGGCGCAGCACCAACACGGGCAGACCGCGUCAGCGACAAAUCACAGCAGCAAGAGGUUAGGAAGGAGCUCCGGGCAGGAAGCGGCUGGGCAGCGAGUCGUGACGCAGCAAGCUGCCGCCCCAUCCCAACCCCCAGGCAGCAGGCAUUAAUCAAGACUUUGGUCAGACAUCCUUCCCCCCAGAGCUGCUUCCGGUUUGGCGGCGCGUACCUUGAGCGCGUAUCCGUUCUUCACGCACACGUCCAGCAGCGCCUGCACGUGGAGUUGUGGGGUCGAGGUUGUGUGUUUGGGGGGCUCCAGCUCCAGCUGCAUGGCUGGCUUGCUCAGCAGCAAGCCGCUUAUAACCGUCGGCCAGACGCUGCAUGCCACGUUGCACCACACACACAUAUACACAUACACACACAUGCACGCGUGCAACCCUUCUGUUGUCCUGUCAGACAUGCACUUGCGCGCACCUGGAUGUCGGCCGUCACUUGAGUAAACGACGCGCUGGCCGGCAGCGGCUGCGGCGCGCCGAACUGCGUGUUCUGCACAUGUGACGUGGGCGCGGGCGAGUGGGCAGGGCUAGGUGUUGGCACGCGCGACUCGCCCUGACAUCACGUGCACGAUCACACGCCGCAGCGCCACCUCUACGCUCGCACGCGGUCCCGCAGCCCUCCUUGUUGCGUAGGCAGGCCUUACCCGGAACCCGUCCUUCAGGCCCGUGUAUAUCCGGUCGCCGGUCCUGCAGGCAGAGAUGGCAUGGCGACAGUGGAACUAUGUGACUCAGUUGGGCGGAGAGGAGGGGCUAGAACGUGUGGUCGUUCAGACUGCCGAUGAAAGCCAGCCCAGUGUCCCUCUUUCGGCGCGACACCACAGCACACGAGGCAUUGCCUAGCUACGUGCGGUUGCGUGCGUCCUAGCUCCCUGGACAGUGAACACCCGACUGGCUGAGUUCGCUACCCGCUCAGUCCUCCACGCAACCUCCAGCUGGCUCCUGCUCUUUGUCCCUCCGCUCUCUCUCAACCACACUCACAUGGAGAAGAACAGCCCAGGCAGGACGUUGUUGUCGGCGAUGGCGGCGUCGCGCCGCACCACACGGAACCGGUCCUGGCACGUCUUGUUCUCCUCCUCCUCGCAGUACUCCUGCAGGUGGGCAUAAGGACAUUGCAAGUUGGUGGGCAUGAGGACAUUGCAAGUCACGGGGCCGUGCCCUGUGACGUAAUGCCGUGUGCGGCAGCACAAGCUGCAGAGCAAGCAUGGACAGACAGCAGGACAUGCGUUCGCAGCAUAGCACUCAAUGUGCCCCCAACGGCAGCGCGCUGUUGCAGGUGUGAUGCGGUCUCUAGGCCGGCUCACCCGGAAGACCUGGAGUCCCUUGGGCAUUUCCCGCGCGAUCGUGGCAAAUUGCCUGUGUACACAGUGCGCGGCGGCGGCGCCAAGUCAGGCACCGAAACAACCUAAACGACGCAGCUGAGGGCCAAUCAAACACCUACCCGUGUCAAAAGCCAGCCUGCAAACUGUAUCGUACGCUUUUGCUUACUGUACCGGUAGUGUGUAACCCCUCAGCGCAACACUCACGAGUAGGAGAUGAAGUCAAAGUAGAGCGAGUCAGAGAUGUCGCCCUGUACCGCAUCCACACACAUGCACAGGCGUACACACGCUCGUUUGUUGGGCUCAACCACGGCCCCACACGUGCAUAACCAACCCAGCACUGCGGCCAAACACCGUUAUCGGGCGCACUUUGACCAUAUGCCAACGCCGUUUGAUGCCACAAUGUACCGUAGGUUAGUGCUGACUAGGCCACAACUCCAAUACAAUAACACACAUGACAGGAUAUGCCUGCCUGCCAGCAAUGACGUACAGGUCAGCCAUGCGGACUCACAAUCUUGGGUUUGAGCGGGUCGUACUGAAGGUUGUAUGCCUCCUGCUCGCUGGCGCGGAGCCGCCAAAACUGCUUCUGGAAAUCGUUCUGCGAGGCCGAGUUAAAUCGUAUGCUUAGCGUUGCAGUGGCGCUUGCCAGGGGCGGCGUGCAGCGAGCAAGCUCCGAGCGGGUUCCUACUACCCCCGCCGUCCCACGCCGACUGCCGUGUGUGCUACCUCAGUCCUAACCCACUCCUCAGACCGCACCCACGUACAGCGCCCACCCACGCGCCCACGGGUGAAGCCGCAAGGCACACGCCUAACCUCGCAUUCAACGCACACGCAGCCGCUCCUUCCCGCCACGCACGAACCCCCAUGCCCCCGUGCCAUGCCCUCCUAAACCUCCCCCUCUCCCUCCCCACCCCCAAUGCCCUCCGACCAUUCCCAUCUCACCCCCUCCCCACCAUAGCGAUGAAGUCCAGAUCAUCUACGGCCUCGUAUGCCGAGCGCAUCAGCAGCACAGCGAACGGCUGAGUCAGCUUGUUGCGCGGAAACCUGCCGGCGGGAGUGCAACGACCGAGCAGGCACGGACGGGCGUCGACACUCUUUCCAUGCAGCGGAAGGUCGAGACCUCACAAGUGUGGGUACCUCUACAGGCCCCCGUGGGCAUUGACUAGCCUGGGCAGCGCCCGGAGGCAUCGCCGGCGUUUCCUCACAUGACUGGCUCGGGCGGUGGUGGGAAUGCGCGGCUCAGGUACUCCGCGAGGUCAGCUCCCGUCGCCUGAGGCGUCGGCAGCGCGAGGCUGAGGGCGCCGAGUGCCUGCGCGCGCAUUCCAGGUGAGGACUGGCCCGUUUCGCAUGCCAGUGUGCAGAAGUCGCACCGUGCUUAGCAGCGCGCCUCGGCGCGAGGUCCGAUGGCGAUGAUGGAGGUCCUCCAUAGCAUCUCGCCUUUCGUAGCUUGUGCUGCAUCCUUCUGCGCUGUCACCCACAAUGCUAGCGCGCACUAGCAAGCGUCGUCGUUGUAUUGAAGCUUUGCAGUGGUCAUUGCGAUGGGCCGUGCGGGCAGGGCGCCGAGCCAGCAUUCUUAAUGAAUGCGAAAACACUGUAAAUAUAUAUGAACUAAAUGAGGCCCAACAUGAUGCUGGCUCAAGGGCCCGCAGACCAUCUGCUGACACACGAGGUGUGGUUGACAGCCACGACGCCUGCCCACGCCGGCUCAAAGGCUGCCAUACCCCCACCCGAAGGCACAAGGCACGGUACCGUCCUAUUGCGGUGCCGUCCUAUUGCCGACUUCCAAAGUAACCCCAUCUGUUACAGUGCACAUUUCGAGGAGGAACCUCCAACCAGACUAUCGUACGUGCCCAAGGUGACAAUGCUUGUUGCGGCGGGCUAUGGGACCAACGCGACGCCAGCCAGGCGUGCGCAUGAAUGCAUAAAAGCGCAGAUUGAGCACGUCUGCCUCCAACUGCUACAGUGCAAAGUACGGGAAGUAUAAACGCCCACCCUAACCUCGCGGUGUGCGAAAACACAGGGGUGCAGGCGGGUCUAACUGUCACAGUAGACAGGGUACAACCAUGCCAUGUCUCACCCAAGUCCUCCCUUCGAAAUGAAGAACGCACACGCCUGUACAAAGCAAUUCCUAGGCACGAUAUAUCCAGAAAUGUCAUCAAAGUUGUUGUGUCAGUCACUCAGUCUGCUCCUUUCGCAGCCGACCUGCGAAAUCUCCGCGUCCGCCCGUCAUAUGCGCCGCCCAGGAAACUCCCCCACCGCCCGCAUUCCACCGCCUUGUGCCAUGGGAAACCGCAUAUGGCUCAACCGUCCGCAUCGGAGGUACUGGCCGCCACACACAGGACCCACCUCCAUGGUCAAGCCAGGAAGGCCCAGCCACACGCGCUACACAAGCAGAAAAGCACAGAAAGACACACAUUACGCACGCCUCGAUGUGGACAAGCUAAGGUGGCGACACUGCAAUCGCACUGAUACGCACGAACCCGACCGAGCCGGCGACGCAGACCCAUGUGUACGACGCUACCCGUUUCAGCAGUGCUGUGAGCUGUCGCCUCCUGCAAUGCCGUAGCGCGCCCGUCUAGGACCCUCACAAUCUCAGCCCACACGACUUGAGCCGGCUAUCAAUGCCAGUCGCUGCCUGCCGUGACAAUCUGCCCUCCGCCUCCUCACCUCGUUCGAACACGCGCGCUUCCGGCUGCCAAUCGUCAAGUAGUGUGGGACAUGCGCAGCACUUCGAUCCUUCGACCGCCCUCCUCACACCUCUACGGCCACCACCCUCAACAUGCCAAGCCGCAUACGCCUCACGUUUGUAGUUGUGUUCCCACACGAAAGUAAACAGGCGCUAGUUUCGCGCACGCCGUUAACAAACUGCACAGUGUCAGCAUCGUCGCACGCUGUCGCGCCUUCCGCACACAAGAGCUCCCACGCAGUCUCACCCUCACCAGUCCAUGCCCCACCCGCCGCCAGACCUUCCGCACGUCCAGUCCCGUGCCCUGCAUGCAGUCCCUCAUGAAGCCCUUACUCCACCCGGCAGUCCCCGCCCCCCCCACCCGCCAUCCUUGCCACCGCUGCCCGCCUCGCUUCUGCUGCUUGCGCCGCAGUCGCUUGCGCCGCAGUCGCUCCUCACCUCCGCUCAGAUGCGCAGCGGAUGCACCUGCUGCAUGAGCACCUCCUGGCCCGGAGAGCGGUGGGACUCGCUCUUCGCGAUGGCCUGCGCCUUCGCCACCUGCAGAUCAGUCAGGGGAGGAGCCGGAGGCUUAGGCCACCGUAUGCAUGUCGUAUGUCUCAUUUCAAGUAUCCUGAGCCCCAGGCCCCCGGCAAUUAUUGGCCAGGCAUUGUACGACGUAGGUACGGUAAUGUGGACAUCUUGCGUACACGCUGGAGGGCUGACUCACCUGCAGCUUGGUGAUCAUGUGCUCGAUCUCAUCGGGCGUCAUCUCACUGACGUCGCCCACGUCCGUCUCUGCAAAACAUGCACCGCGACAAACAGCACACAGUUUAACGUCCUGGUCCAGUACGGUACCUCAGCGCCCCGUGGGCCACGCGCGCGUUCUGUCAUGCGCGGCCCCUGCACAGAAGCUUUCAUCCCCCGCCCCCCAGGCCUGCCGCUGCUCACCCAUGGGUACGGCAACAUCGGUGCCCUCCUCCGCCGCCUCCUGCGGCGGCGUGUACGCCUCGUGUGCGGCGCCGGGCGCGUGCGCCAGCGAGCCGGGGUUGUACACGAGGCUGCUGCGGCGGCGCGGCAUGGCGGUGAUGCGCAUGGAGGUGCGGCGCUGGAAGGUGCGCACCCAGGGGUGGUGCAGCAGCUCCAUGACCGUGGGCCGGUCGCCCGGGUGCUUGCGCAGGCAUUGGCAGAUGAAGUCCUUGGCGAACUCGCUGAUCUUGGCGGGGAACUCCGGCACCGAGUGCAUGAUGCGGUCCACGCUGUCCAGCUGCGUCUCGCCUGCGCAGCGUGCAGGCAGGUGCGAGGUGAUGCGGUGUCGGUGUUUGAUGUGCGGCCCGCAUACGGUAUGCGCGACUGUUUACAGUGUUUCAAGUGAUAAUGACACCGCUUUGUGGGGACCGGAGUGAGACAAGGGGCCCGCGUGGAUUCGCCCCGCCCAUUUUCACGCGCCGCCUCUACCCCGUCCCCGAUGCACUCAUGUCGCAUCGUGCUACUCACCCGCAAAGGGCGGGAAGCCCACCACGAGCUCGUACGCAAACACGCCCACCGCCCAGGCGUCCACCGAGUUGUUGUAGUGCAGGUACGGGUUGUUCUUGUUCUCCUGGGGCAGGUUCUUGGGCGGGCAGCGCAGCACCUCGGGCGCCAUGUAGUCCAGCGUGCCUGUGCAGGUGGUCGGUGUGUGUGGAUGGUAUGGGUGGCAUGGAUGGUGUGUAUGCCGCAGUGACGUGCGUGAGCGUGUCGCCAUCGACGUCGCCUGACCCACGUUCGCCUCGAACACAUACACUCUGUGGUGGCGCGUGGUCUGGACCUGCACACAAUCUACGGUAACCCUCCUCCAAGUCCCUUCCAGCCGCCCCGCUGCCUCACCCGCGCGCGUCACGGCGCGCUCCUCCGUCAGGUCGAUGGCCAGUCCAAAGUCCGCCAGCUUCAGCACCCGGUGCUCCGUGAAUAGCACGUUCUCCGGCUUGAUGUCUCUGCAGACAACAGGAAACACAAGCACCAGGCGCGUCACACAAUCACCCAAUGCAGCUUUCUCAACGCGAGCGUUUCGCCUCCCCUAGCAGCGCCCUUUCCUGAUGCUGGUGAUGGCAGGGCCGCUCCAAGAGCCCGAAGCCGCAGGCCCGCGCCCCCACCUGUGCAUGAUACCGCGCGUGUGCAGGUAGUGCAGCGCUAGCAGGAAGGGGUGCAGCACCAUCUCCACCGCCUGGCGCUCGCUGAGGCGGCCGCCGUUCUUGUGCAGCAGGCGGUACAGGUCGCCGCCCUCCGCGUACUCCUGCACCAGCACCACGUCCGUGCCCUCCUGCGGGUGGCAUGUGCGGGUGAGGGCGGCAGCAGCGCGAGAGGCAUCUUGGCGGAGCAUGCAAGCGUGCUGUAGCUUCAUGGGAAGCUGCUUACUCAAGGCUGCUUGAGUAAGACAUGGGAGGUUGAACGUUCGUAAACGGUCAAACGCCUCGUCAGCGCCUGGUCAACGCCGGGACCGGGGUUACUUCAUGUGUACAAACCACCGUGACACUUCUCCUCUCUUGCCGGCAAACGUGCUUGCCCGCGCCGAAAAUCCGACACGCAUCAUCCAACUCCUUCCCAAUACAAGCGCAGCCCUGGUCCUGUAUACCCGCGCCGCCAGCACGUCCGCCGCACCUGGAACGCCGCGAUGAGGUGGAUGAUGUUCUGGUGCUGCAGGCUGCUGUGCACGCGGAUCUCGCGGAACACCUGGUAGUGGUUGAGCUCGCACAGGUUCUGCAUAUGGUACACUUUGAGCGCCACCAUCUCCAACGACUUCUUGCACAUCGCCUGCGCCAUGGGCAACAAGUGCAGGAGAGGUUGCUCAGCUGAAUGACUCACGCAAACCCUGGCAAACCUGCCGCUGGAACCACUGGUGACGCCCAGCAAGCACGCACGUGGCACGGCGCGCCAGCUUUUUUGCGCUACACACGGCUGCGCCCACCCUCGUCUCCACCGUUGCUACGACUGACUCAACCCCGCCGCCCAACCUCUUCUCUGUCUGACCACGCACCUGGUACACCGUGGACGCAUAGCCCGUGUACAUCUUUCGGAUGAUAUUGUAAUCCGACAGCGUCCAGUACUUGCGCUGCAUGGCCGCCGGCAGCUGCGGCGACAGAGAAACCAGUUUGCUGGCGGGCCGCUGGGAACCGGAUGCCUCCUCCGCCGGCGCCUGCUGCGCCUGCGGCGACCGCGCCGGCGAGGCCACAGGCUGCGCCUGCUGCUGCGGCUGUUGUGGCUGCUGCAGCUGCUGCGCCUGCGGCGGCGGAAGUUGCUGCUGCAGCGGCUGGGGCGGCGGCAGCUGCUGCUGCUGCUGCUGCAGGUGUGGCAGCGGCGGCAUGGCCGGCGGUGGCGGCAGGUUCGCAACCGCCUGCGUCGCCUGCGCCAGCGUCUGCGGCGCGUGCUGCUGCGGGUAGGCCUGCUGCUGCUGCUGCUGCUGCUGUGGGGGUGCGUGUGGCGUGUGCGUACGGGGUGACUGCGGCAUAGCGGAGGGCCCGGCCGCCUGCUGCUGAAGGUGCUGCUGUAGCUGCAGUGGCGGCGGCUGGAAAUGAUGCAUUUUUGGCGUGCCACCCGAUGGUGACGCCGGCGGGUAGCCCUGCACGCUGCUGCCGUCCGCCGCAUGCUUCUUGGAGUUGCUGGGCGUGGCGUGCGUGUGCACCGCGUCCUCCAUCGCCACGUCCUCAGGCACGGUGGCCAUGGAAUCGUUCAGGUGCACCUGAGACAGGCUGCUCAUUUUAUGCGGCGGCGGCGGCAUGGUGGGCGGCAGUCCUGGAGGGGGCCGUGGCACCAGCCCCGGCGCCUGCGCGGCCCCUGCUGGCCCUGCGGUGGCCUUGGCGCGCUGCGCCUUCUCUGCUGCCGCGACCGCUGCGGCUUGGUCCCGAGCAGCCGCGCUCGUCCCGGCGAAGUAGUUGCCGAAUACCAGUUUGUUUUGCCCGGGCUGCAGCAGCUGCUCCACCGCCGCCUUGCCCUCGGCUGUGCGCAGUACCAUAUCAAGCGCGGCGGGCGUCGACUUGCGACGGCCCGAUGAAGGGCUGAACAUGUUUGCCAGAGGUGGGGGCUGAGCUUUGGACGAGAAGCUGUUGUUGCUACUUCCAAUCUGUACAGGCGGCAGCACGGUUCCGCCGUUGCCUGGGGACGCAUGGUCGGUCAGCAUGGGCGCUUCUUUGAGCGUGAUAGUGGAGUGCGCCGCGGACGCGUUGCUGCGCAUGCUGCUGGUCGCAACGAGCUCUGGAGCACCCCGCUCGCCAUAGCUGCUGUUCUUGCUCUUUAUCGAGCUGAAUUUGCGGGGCGAGUUGGCACCCACGUUGCCAGGGCUCUCUGGCCCCUCGCUGUAGUCUGUUCCGGAGAGGCUUCCUUCUGCAAGCGCGUAAACACACACAGGAGCAACGCUCAACCCGCAUGACCCGCGCAGGCAGGCCCGGAACCGCGCCCGAGCGCCCGACGAAGGAAUUCGGAGCAAGGCCAAAACAGUUCCAACGCCUUGCUCGCAGCCCACCUUUCCGCGAAGCGCUAAAUAUCCUGUCCUUGAACCUGCUCGUGCCAAGGGGAGGUCGCGCAGACAGAAAUUGGAGCCCGGUCAGCAAUGCCUACGAAGGGUCACCCUGUGUUCGCGGCAUGGACUUACUUUUUAAGACCCUUGCUCAGCAUCCUUCAACGAGGGUCCAGAACUGCCAGAGCGUGGCCCCCCACGACCCAGGCUGGUUUUCUCACGUUAUGUAAAAGCUGUCAAAAGGAUACAGACUGACACUCUACUUAUUUUUCCCUUCUCACUAACGUUCACCGAAUACUCCGGCGCUCAGUGAACAAGUCGCAGCUCUUGCGCUCAGUUCUAAGUCUACUUCCUAUCUAGUCCAGCGUCUCUGAAUUGUUGGUGGUGUGUCGCGGGGAAACCUGGGCAAAUGAGGGAUUCUUGAUGCCGCAAUGCGGGGCGACCCCAUCGAGUGCCCCCGGCGACCCUUUCCACGCGAUUUAACCUAUUCGUCUAUCUCCGUUAUACGCUCAAGAGCUUGGGGCCCGCCACUUGCUAACUCGUGCAAGCAAUCCCACUUCUUUCGCGCACCGGACUUGUCCGCACCGAACUUGUCCACAACCCAAUAAUCCUACUGAUUAGAGUUGCAUCGCAUAGCUAGAUCCCGAUGCUGCGUGGAGAUGUGUGCGGGCGUGGCGCCUCGGCGCGAACUCGCUCGCGACUGCCGUUCAGCGCUGGUUUUCCCAAGGCCCCACGGCGCGGGGGCUUGAGCCGUGGGAUAUGCCGUAGCGCGACAACGCCGAGUUCGUCUGUGGUGGCGGAUGAGGUAGGUGCGGGGCGCCCAGCCACACAUGACCUCGGUGCCUAGUGUGCGUGGCCGGUGCCUACUGCGCAGCCACUCCCCGCCCAGGCCCGCGGUAGGCCGCCUCACCCCACACCGAUAAUCGACAUGCGGCCACAAGUGUGAUGUCUCAAGCACUGUAGCGCGCACACGCCCUCGCACCAUGCCGUUCACCGCACGUCGCCUGUCAGUUGUCGUUCCUAACAGCGAUGAGUCAUACGCACAAACACACACGCUGCAGGCGGGAUCUCCAGCCAAGUCAGGCGAGGGCAAGGUGACGCAGCCCGUGGAGCGGAAGGGCAUGAUUGACACGCAGCCGCCUCGCGGUAAGACCCCCGGCACGUUCGAAGAUUGUGUAUCACACGGCAACCGCCGAACCGCAUCGGCAGGCCGACCCCUGCCACGUAUAGCUCGGGUCAGCUGCAGCCACUGCAGGGCUGUGGGCUGGGACGCCAUGCUAUACACACGGGCACACUGAGGGGGCUUUGUUUUGUUCCUUGUCCUCACACAUGGGCACACACGCACCCUGCGGGUGUCGCUCCUGGUGUCCCUUUCCGCGGCGUGAUGUACCAGUAUCUCUUUUCUCUGAGGAUGACUAGACCACAAUGACAAGACCCGCACCCUUCCGCAGCCCACCUCCUCUCUGUCGCCCCGACUGUCCCCUGCUGCCGCUGCUGGCCCCAGGCACCCGUGACUUCCCUCCCGAGGACAUGCGGCUGCGCAACUGGCUGUUCGGCGAGUUCGCGGCCGUCAGCGCGGCGUUCGGCUUCGAGCAGUUCGAUGCGCCGGUGCUGGAGAGCGAGGAGCUGUUUGUGCGCAAGGCGGGCGAGGAGAUCACCGACCAGCUCUACAACUUCGAGGUGUGUGGGCCAUGAACCUGCUUGUGAAGAUGGGAGAGGGAAGGGCUUGACCGUUGACACGGUGCGCGUGUCAACAGCCGCAAAUGCCACUUGUCCCUGGUGACUCCUAGCGCGCCAAACUCAAUCACUCCUCCCUCCGUCCUCCUCCCCCGCACCCCGCACCCCGCACCCCGCACCCUGCAUCCCCGCAGGACAAGGGCGGGCGGCGCGUGGCUCUGCGGCCCGAGCUAACGCCCAGCCUGGCCCGGCUGGUGCUGCAGCGCGGUAAGCAGCUGCCGCUGCCCGCCAAGUGGUUCGCCAUUGGGCAGUGCUGGCGCUACGAGCGCAUGACGCGCGGCCGCAGGUGCGCCCCGGCCGCUGCGGCUAAGGAGGGGAGGGUGAAGGGAGGGGAGAGGAGAGCGAGGGCGCGGCGGGGCAUGUCGUAUGCGUGUGUUGUGAGCAGGCCAGGGGGCCCAUGCGCCAGUCCCGCAAGCGCCAAGGAGGCGUGGGGCUAAGCUCUGUCGCUGGGAGCGAGGCGGGGCGCGGGUCUGGAUCCGGGUCGGGACCGGCAGGGCGGCUGUGGCGGAAGCUGCACGUCGCGACCUCGCUCGUAGAUGGCAAAGUGGGCGCACGCCAGGUGCCUUCUGGUGAUAUAUGCUCCCUCCUGCACUGCCGCCCCCGAUAAGUCUGACAUCUCUGAACCGUUCCCCGCGCCCGCAGGCGCGAGCACUACCAGUGGAACAUGGACAUCGUCGGUGUCCCGGGUGUGGAGGCGGAGGCGGAACUGCUGGCGGCCAUUGUGGCGUUCUUUGAGCGCGUGGGGCUCACCGCAGCGGACGUGGGGAUCAAGGUCUCCAACCGCAAGGUGUGCGGCCGGGGAGCAGGGUAGGGCGGGGGGCGGGGGCCAGGGCACGGGAGGGGAGGGAAGGGGACGGCAGGGCAGNNNNNNNNNNNNNNNNNNNNNNNNNNNNNNNNNNNNNNNNNNNNNNNNNNNNNNNNNNNNNNNNNNNNNNNNNNNNNNNNNNNNNNNNNNNNNNNNNNNNCCCGGGCCCGCCCCCUCCGCCCCGCGCCUGCCCCCUCCGCCCUUCGUGCGUGUGCCGUCCUAACAGGACUGGCUUGUGUUCGACCCCUCGGUGUCCGCGGCCUGGCCUACUACACCGGCACCGUGUUCGAGGCGCGCGACCGCGCCGGCCAGCUGCGGGCCAUCUGCGGCGGCGGGCGGUACGACAAGCUACUGGCCACCUUUGGAGCCGCCGAGGACACGCCCAUGGCGGGAUUCGGAUUCGGGGACGCGGUGGGUGAUGGGCGGGCAGGAGGGCGUGUGGUGGUGGGCGGUUGGUGGUGGUGGUGUUAUUGGUUGUGGUGGUGGUGGUGACGGAGGGGGAGGGGGCAUGGUGUGUGGGCGGCAGGCAUGGCAGUGAGACAGGCGCAAGCUGAUUGGGCUUUCCACUGCUUCCUGGGCAGCCCCUCCAUGUGCCACCGCCCCCCACGCCUCACCUAUCCUUGCACUCUCUCUCACACACACACACACACACACCGCACACACCAUACAUCCUGACCACCAGCCACACCGGACUCACACACACGCAUACUUGCCCCCCCCCCAAACACACACACACAUACUUGCGCCCCCCCCCCAAACACACAGGUGAUUGUGGAGCUGCUCAAGGACCGGGGCCUGCUGCCGGCGCCCGCGCACCGCGUGGACGACGUGGUGGUGCCGCUGGACGGGGGGCUGCGGCCCGCGGCGGCCGGCGUCGCCACUGCGCUGCGGCGCGGCGGGCGGCGUGUGGACCUGGUGCUGGAGGCCAAGAAGAUGAAGUGGGCGUUCAAGGUGCGGAGGAUGGCGGGUGCAAAGAUGGUUGGAAAAGCGGCACAGGAUGCAGGGGGGGGGAGGAGGAGAGGGAGGAGGAGGAGGGGAUGGAGCCGGAGAGUGUGGGUGGAGGGUGGCGGUACACCCGAGCCCCAAUCCCACCAACCACGGGACAAGGCGGGAUGGGCAUAAGGCGGAGGCGGUGAGGGGCCCGCUAUGUUGGGCACUGCGUACCGCUGUUGCCGCUUCCCGCUGCUGCAUUGCUGGGGCCUGCCCCACGUGCUGGCCCCAUAGUAGCACCAGCGCCAAAAGGGGGCUCCCACGCAAGCUGCGCUGACUGUCUAACACAUCCACCUCCUCUGUCCCCGUGGCGCCGCCGCACGCCCCCACAUCAUCAACAGCACGCGGAGAAGCUGGGCGCGUCGCGGCUGGUGCUGGUGGGCGCGAGCGAGUGGGAGCGCGGCGCGGUGGUGGUGAAGGACCUCGCAAAGUUCGAGCAGAAGGAGAUUCAGGUGGCGGAGCUCACAGGGGCGGCGGCCGCGGCGGCCGCGGCGGCCGCGGUGUCGGCGUAAGGUGGGAUUGUGUCAGGGCAAAGAGGUGGCGAGGCGCGAGGAGGCUGUUGUGUGCGUGGACCAUGGUAUGAAAGACUGAGAGAGGCGGGGCGUGUGAGGGAGCGUUUAGUGGGCUGGGUGGCACGCGUGUUGGGCGGCUUAGGCAACAGUGGCGACGACGUGCGCGGCGGUGAUCGUGGGAUCGCCAUAAUGCGCUAUCUGAACCAGUGUUGCAAGUAAUUUUGGUUGUGGAGCGGGACCCAUGAGCGGGACCCUGCAUCCCCAAGUUUUGUGGGCGAGCCUGGCAAGUGCUGAGCGAGACUGAGGGGUGCGAUGGGACAGGGUUGAGGCAGGUUGGUGAAUUCCCGUAGGGUGCAGAUUGCUGAUUCCCAGACCCCAGCACAUGGCAAACAAGUUGCGACGGCAGUGCGGCUGGCGGGUCGAACGCCGGAGUUACUAAACGACAAGUUGCUUGCUUGCUGGAAGUCAGCUGACGCGCAUUCUUCACGCUCCGGGCGCCCGACACUGAGGGGCCAUGGGGGAGCGGGUGGGCGUGGGCAGGCAGGGCAGGCAUGUGUAAAAUACAAGGUUGCGCAUGAAUACCCCUCAUUAUCCGCAUUAGCAAACUGUCCUCGGGCCCGGUCCAGCAGACUAAUCAGACGCGAUUGCGCCUGUCAGUGCAGGUCGUCAGUGUUAGCGCCUGCACUAUCUGCACAUGUGCAGCACACCAGCGCCCGUCAGAGUUAGCAUUAUUCACUCGUCGUGCUCGGGGCGUCGUCUCUGGUGUCGACUCAGGCCACAGCCGCCCCGCAGUAUCACAGCACGCCGCCGUCUCAUCACCUCGUGCCCCGCACCCCUGCCGCUAUUUGGCCAGUCCUUGGCAGUUAUCACACCUCCAUCAAAUUCGACUGCCCCCGCUGCAUCACCACAGCACCGCAAAAUGGGCGGCAACAUCGGCCAACGCCUUGAUCACACCCAAACAAUCACUCAUACGCCAAGUACCGCUCACGUUCCCACUCCUUGUCUCGCCAUGCGGCCUUCCUGAGAUCACGUGCAUCGGAUCCCACUCGCAAUGCUCCAGACCGCCACUCCAUCACCGAACCACCCCAUGCCCAACAUUGCAUCACAUCAUCACACCACAACCCAUUACUCAUCAUCACCCGGCACCCUCAGCGGCACCCUCAGCGGCACCUCCAGUGGCGCACAGCGCGUGCAGCACCGCGGUGAGCUGCAGUUCGCCGCCCAGGCCUCGGUUGGUGUAGUGGAUGCCGUCCCAGGUGGCCUCGUGCAGGAUGCGAGUGGCACUGAAGGUGUCGAUCAGCGGGAUGGGCGCGUGCAGGCCCGCCGCCGCCUCCGCCUCCUCCCCUGAGGCUGCGGAGGUGCUGCUGGUGGGGGUCGUGCUACUGCCGUCGGCUGCGCCGCCGUCAGCGCCUAGAUGCCUGGAUGGCAGCUGCCCAGGAAACCGGCCCGCCUGGCUCUCUCCGCCAGCCGCCGCUUCUGCCUCCCCAUCUUCCGCGGCGCGGCGGCUGGGCAGCGGCAACGGCAGUGCCGCGAGCAGCCGUUGGAGUGCCGUCUCCGUGUCGCCUACGUCUGAGCCCUUCACGCCGCGCCCGCCUCCUGAGUUGCUACUGCUAGUAACACUACUGCUGCUGCUCCCGCCCGCCGUCGCGGCCGCCGGCGCGCGGCCCCACAGCAGCAGCUCCUGGGCUCGCCGCCGCUGCUGGCGUAGCCGCCGCCGCCGCCGAGGCCGAGGCGGCUGCAGCUCUGCCACAUCAUCGCCUCCUACGCUAGAGCCGCUCUGGCCCCCGGCCCUAGUUGCCUCCUCGACCGCUGAGGCCUGUGCUGCUCGCAGGCUGGACAGCAGGGCUCGGAGGUGAUCCACGCCGGCACCCGUGCCCUGCUCCUGCCCCUCCUCAUCGUCGUCCUCCUCCUCCUCGCCUGCCUCCUCGACUGCCUCCUCCUGGCCCUCGUCCGCCGCCUCCUCUGGCCCUUCCUUGCCCUGGGAAUGGAGGCCGAGCCACAGGCCCUGCCCCUGCGCCUGCAGCUGCCGCUGCCACCGCACCUCCGCCUCCGCUGCCCCCUCCGCCUGGCCCUGCGCCUGGCCGCCCUCAUGCGCCACCCUGCGACCGCCAGCGCCUACCUCGCUGCCCCCGUCGCCCUCACUGCCCCCGCCGCUGCGCCGCUGCGCCCCGCCCUCCAUGACGUCGGCGGCGAUGCGGUUGUACAGCAGCAGCAGCGGGUCGGUGCGCCAGUCAAUGCCCGAAGACUCCAGCCGCGCCUGCGCAUUACGGUCAGGUGUAAGUGAAGCGGUGUGAGGCAUGAGGGAAACGACGUCAGCCUGCCCCGUCGCUGUCGCCAAGGCCAUGCCGCGCUUUCAUUAGUCUUCCUGUCACACACAUCGCCACCAGGGCGGUACACACCAGCCCCCCUCCUCCUCCUCCUCGCCCCCCUGCGCACCUUGAGCGAGGAUACCACGGUGGUGAUCCAGUACACGCGCAUGCCGUGCUGCGCCCGCAGCUGCGCCAGCUUGCGCCGCACGUGCGCCACCUGCGCCGCAUACUGCCCCGCCGAGAAGGGCGCCGGGCCGGAGCGGUAGGACGCUGGCCACUGCCCGAAGUUGGCGAACACGUCCGUGCAGCCCGCCGCCACCAGCGGGCUCGGGCCUCCGCCCGCGCCUUCGCUGCCGCUAGCGCUGCUGUCGCUGCCGCCGCCGGCCAGCGGCUGCUCCGGCUCCGGCCAGUCGUGUCCCCACAGCAUGCGGAAGUAGACGCUGGUGUUGGCAGGCGAGGCCAGCAGCUCCUUGAUGCUGUUGUUGGGCGCACGCACAAAGCCCGUCUCCCACAUGACCAGGCUGUUGUGCAGGUAGCGCGCGUGCGAGUCGCCCAGGAAGCACACGCGCCGGCCCGGCGGCAGGCACUGCGCCGGCGUGAUGGCGGCCGCCUCGGCCUCGGCCUCACCGCUGUUGUCGCCGGCCCCGCCCUCGCCCGCCAACUCCUCACCGUGCUGCUCCCGCCACUGCGCCCCGCGCUCCGGCCGGUCGGCACCGGCUGCGCCGUCUGCGGGCUCCGCCGCCGCCGCCGCUGCGGCCGCGGCGGAGGCCAUGGCUGCCUGCAUGCCGGCGAAGCUGCGCAUGCGGCAGCCGGCGGGCUGCCAGUACAGGGUGCCGGGGUGGCUGGCGGUGUGGAUGCCGCGCCGCUCGGCCCGCGCGCAGUCGUGCAGCUCGUCGCCCCAGAUGCAGGUGCGCAGCAGCGGCGCCACGUCGUCAGGCGCGGGCCAGGUGCGGAAGCGCCACCGCCCGGCGCGCGGCCCGGUGUCCGGGCACAGCGGGAGCGAGCUCGCGGGCGCGGAGUCGUCGUCGGCGCUGCUGUCGGCGUGUCCGCCGCUGCUUGGCGACGCCAGAAUGGACUCGUCGGGCGCUGAGCUCCAGGACUGCGCCAGGUGCUGUCCCUCCAGGUGUUGCUGCUGCUCCGCCGCAGCUGCAGCAGUCCCGACGCUGAGCGUGAGGUAGCCCGCCCAUGGCUGCGACAUGGCUUUGCUGGUGUUGGGCGCAGCGAAGGAGAAGCUGGAGUACAGCAUCAGCACCUCAAUUGAGUAGCGGCCCGGCCCCGGCAGGCUGUAGGUCGCCAGGGCCAGGUCUGGCCUGCAGUAACUCGGCUCCAGGAGCCACAUGCCGGCGGGUCCGGUCACUCGAAGCCGGUAGAUUGCGGUGCCCAGCGGCUCCAGCCCCUGCACGACUGUGCGAUGAAGGACAAGCGUGCCCGACGAGGCCGAGCCCGCGUGGACGCAAUUGUGUAGCUGCAGCGGCAGCGUCUGGCUGUCAUAUGUGGUGCAGGCCGCGGCCGUCAGCGUGUUGUAGUUCGAAUAGCAGGCCGUGGACUCGCCAUGCUCGCGCGGAAAGAGGGGUGGCCCGAUGGCCAGGUACCCAGGCCAUGACGUUGUAUUUGUAUUCACUGGAUCGAUACCAGGCUGUGCGCGCAGCGCUUGUAGCGCGGCGAGGUUGAGUAGCGCAACGGGCCAAAGAAACGCGAGCAGGGUGCGCUGCAUUACAACGAUGGGCUAGAGCCCAGGGUGAAAUGAAAGACGAACUGUCAUCGAACUGGAGCUAUAGACCGGUGCGGGACAGGCUCGCUGAAAUGUUUCCAGCUACUCCUGUUCUGCACAAAGCCUUGCCUGUUUGUUGACUUAAAUAGUGGGGUCACAUCAAGAAAGCUAACUGAACUGCGCCGAGUUGGCGAUUAGGUCGCCGACGUUACCAAUGCGGCACGCCAGCGCUGCACUCCGCCCGCGAGUGCUCCGGACCCCGCCGGCUGGGCCCGGCAAUGGCCUGGACUCCGGCAGUCCGGCUGACGUCUUGCACAAGAUGUCGGCACUUCCACAGCCUUGCCAUGCCUGACAUUCAAAUAUUCGUUACAAGUCACGUCGAAACGGGUAACAGCACCAAGUCUACUGAGAGGUGCAAUCCAGCUGUAGGGGCAUGCCGCACCCCAAUGACGCUGUACAGCCACAACCUCCCACGCUAGCGCCGCCACCAUUUGUGAGCCACAUCAAACCACAACUUCUUUCUCGUACAUCUUGCUUGCAUGCUCAUACGCAUGUGUGCCAAAGCGCGCCACACGGCAUCGCGCCGGCACACCACCUCGCGGGCGCAUCAGGCCCCACACGCCACUCCCAACGGCUGUUUCACCUGUUCAGGAAGGCCGUCACGGGGCGCCGCACAAUGCUCGCUACAGCCCCACAGACCAGCCAGCCAGCACACUGCCGCGCUCAGUGCUCCGCCACGCUGGCGAUGGCGCCGCCCCCAGCACCGCCCGCGGCAGCGCCCUCCACACCCUCCGCGUCGCCCUUCAGUGCUUUGGAGAGCAGCUGCUCACUGGCGGCCCACACGCGGCGAGCCAGCUCCUUGUCGCGGCCCUGCAGACAUGGGCGACCAGCACGCACAGGGACAAAAACACACCGAUCGCAGCUCCGGCCUGCUUGCGUGGAGUUGUGUGCAUGCCGGCACGGCGUGAUGCGGCCAGGCUCACAGCAGCCGCCGGCCCACUCCAGCCCACCCCCACAGGUGCAUCCCCGGCACGGCCCUCUCCGCACCCACCGGCGCGCUGGUCUUGCCAGGUCCGCAGUCUUCCAGGUAGCUACCGCUCAGGUGCGGCGGCUCCAGCUCCGGAGCUGUGGCCGCAUACACACUGGUGGCGGCGCCCUAGCAGGGGGAGGGGGUUGGCGGGUUGGUGAAUUGGCAGGAGUCAGGCCCAUAUUGUCCGCAGCCUUUGGCCGUGGCGGUUUGUUUCAUUUGAUUUCGCAUUAAUAUGAUCAGGGCGAUCACGGACCAUGGACAUCUGUACUCACACAGCAGGACCAAGCGGAUUCCCGGCCAUGCGCGGCCUCCACACCACCUCGUCGCUGCUUCUGACACUGGCGCUGCCGCCCACUGCCUGCGCCCUGUUGCAGCGCCCGCCGCCCCCCUAAACGUGUCUUGUCAUACACCUUCGUGUCCUGAUGGUUCUUAUUGGGACUGGUGAAAAUAACCCCUGCUGGGCCUUGGUUUACUUGGGGUUGGAAUAACCUCCCACCCACCUACACACGGCUACUCCCCCCCUUCGAUGUAGCUUGAGCUGGUAUCUACACCCCCCCCCCCCUGCACACACACCUGCUUGACGGACUUGGACAUCGGCCAUAGUACCAUCCGCAUCACCGCCCGCAGCAGCAGCGGCAGGUUGCUCUCCAGAGACUGCGGCGGAAGGGGUUUUGGAUGUGGGCCAGUGGGUGUGCAUGUGCAGGUUUCAGCUUGGGGCGAUGUGACAAGAGGCGUGUGGGCUGAAUGUGAGGUCUAAAAGCCCAAUAAACACGGUAGACGCAAUCCGCCGGGCGCCUACCGUGAAGAUGACUCCAGGGUGCAGCGAGAAGACCCGCACAGGGGUGUCCUUGAGCCUGUGGCGUGCGGCAAACCCGCGCAUGCACAUCAGCACUUGCACCUCCCAACUGCAGGAGCCCUGACCCCGCCCCACUGUCGUGCUGCCGGCUGUCGGCCGCAGCGACUGCCCCUGUCCUCCCACUCCCCCACACCCCGCAGACCCCUGCUGCUCCCGCUGCUCCCGCUGCUGCCUGGCUACCUGUCCGCCAGCUCCAGCGCAAACAGCACGUUGCACAGCUUGCUCUGUGCGUAGGCCGCCCACAUGCCGUACUUGCCUGCGCGUGUCGCGAGUGCGCGUUAGCACUUGUGCGUGUGUGGAUGAGACCGAAACGACAUAUGGCACAGCCGUGGCCUUGCAAGCGCCACUGUGCGUCUCGGGGGCCCCUGAACUGAUUGCACGUGUUCCAAACCCUUCCCAAUUCAAGCCAGUCCCAACCGGGCCGCCCUCACUUCAUUCCUGAUUCUUUCCUUCCUUCCGCUGUCGCCCCAGUCCAAGAGCCCCCGCCCUGCCGCCGCCUCACCGGCCGCAGUGCGCUUCUCCCAGUUCAGGUCGUCGGCGUCCAACACGUCGUCCCCGAACGCCCCGUGCGCCUUUGAGGCAACCACCACCACCCGCGCCGGGGUCCCGUGCCCCGUCAGCGCCGGCAGCAGCUGCUGCGUGAGGUAGAAGUGGGCGAUGUGGUUGAUACCGGUCUGGGGCUCCAGGCCCUGAGCCGUGUGCCUGCAGGGAACAGGGGGCGACAGGGGCGCGAGACACGGUGGUGACCGCAAGUGGGAUAGGGGCGCGGGGCUUGUGGCGGCAGCAUUCCUCCUCCGAUGCGCAACAGGAGAACUGCAUGCACACUGCAGAGACAGCUUCACAACAACAGGUAAGCCCUUCCGAGCUCCAUCCGGCUCAGCGGGCGCUCCGACACACUCACGGCAUGGGCGCGGCCACCACGCCCGCGUUGAGGAUGAGCAUGUGCAGCACCGCACUCCCACUUCCACCACUCCCGCCCUCCACCACCUGCUGCUGCUGCUGCUGCUCCUGCGCUCCUGUCUGUGUGCCCGGCGAUGCAUCGCUGCUUAGCUCCUUCAACAGCUGCUCCGCCCCGCGGCGCACUGAGCUCAGGUCCGCCAGGUCCAUCAGCACCAGCCGCACAUCGGCGCCCUCGCCGCCCGGCUCCUUCCUAACAAGGAAAACAACAGGGGGUACAUGAUGUGGAGAGGGAGGAGCCUGAAUGAUCCUGGUGCAAUGUUGGCAGGCAGAGCAGGGCAGGGGCAGGCAGGGAGCAGAAAGGUGCCAGGGAGUGGCCCUGCUACCGCAUCCCGGAAACAACACCAGCGCUACUGCUGUAUCGCUUUGCCCUUCAUUAUCCUGCACCUGUCCCCUGAUAUGUCUACACACUCAUAUGCUUACCUGAUGGCUUCUAUGGCCUCCCGCCCUCGCUGCUCGGACCGGGCACACAUGUAGACCGUGGCUCCCGCGCGAGCGAGGGAACUGCACGUCUGGAAGCCGAUUCCAGCAUUCCCACCCGUCACCACGGCCACCUUGCCUGUGAAAUGUACACGAAAUCGCUUGAACACUGCGCUGAAAUGUACACAUCGCGAGGGAGCUGCCUGGCGUCAGCUGAGUGGUUGGCCCAUCCCAACCACACCCGCGCGUUCGAGUUGCUUCUACCUUUCACAUCUAUGCCUCCUUUAAGUGCUUCAUCAGCUGUUGUCCGCUUAUUGAGUUUGCGAGGCUUUGUGGAGCUCAUCUCACAGGCAAUGCAGGUUGCGCGGCUUUGACAGUUUUGAAUGAAGCUGUUUUUGUAUUCUGAAGUGGAAGCGUUGCCUUCAGAGCAGGGCACGGAGUUACAGGCGGGGUUCGUCGAUACAUGCGCUUGGGCUCAUAUCGCGCAUGCCUUGGGCUGGUCAUGGGGCGAGCUCAGCGCGAUGGGUCCCAUGGGUCCCAUGCAUUGUCAUAGCUGUAAGCUUUGUCUCCAUCACUCUAGACACCAAUACACCACUCUAGACACCUACACCAUGCCGACAGGCGAGGCAAGCACAACCGGCGCUACUACGCGGGCCUUCGGGUGGGCUGCGGCGGGCCGUUUGAGCCCGUGCGCGAGGUCUUCAAGGAGGCGCUUGGCGAGGUGGGUGUGUCGCGAUGACUCGGUGGGUCGAGCCUUGCAGCAGCUCGCACUCGGUGGGCCGCUAAGCUGACUCUGACGCUGACGCCCCGCAACCACAGUGCAACAUCGUCAUGUACCUAAUCUGGACGGCUCCCGGCGGCCAGAUUAGGUACAUGACGAUGUUGCACUGUGGUUGCGGGGCGUCAGCGUCAGAGUCAGCUCAGGAUGGCGCCAGGGGAAGGGGCGCCAGCGGCCAGCACCAGGGGAGCAUUGGCAACACCUAAGGCAGUGCCAACAAGGGCAAGACACUGUCCAAGGCGACCAAGGCUGCCAUAUCGGCUGUGCCCUCAAGGGCAAGACACUGUCCAAGGCAACCAAGGUUGCCAUGUCGGCGGCCAUGAUCAGCGGCGUGUGCAAAAGCUGCGAGGCGCGGGCCCGGCAGCAGAAGUUCCGGGCCAAGAAGGCCUAGUCGACUCCUCCGCCCAAAACCGGUGUUUAUCAACACCACCCAUCAACACCGGCCGGCCACUCCCAACAACCGUAACUCCCUGGCGUCAUUGCGCGUGGCUUCAGUGCCCUCCUCUCCUCGUCCUCCCCUCCUCCUCCUCCUCCUCCUCCUCCUCCUCCUCCUCAGGCGACUUGAGCAUGCAACACAACUUCUAGGUCAAGAAUUGCCACAGGCUGGCGCUCCAUUAAAACGUGUACUGGUAUCUAGGGUGGGGACGUAGAUGCAAGUAGAACAUCGAACAUCUACGUACCCCGCCCUAGCAUGCUCAUUGCCGUGCUCCGCAACCGCCCCAGUAGGUCAUCAUCAACACGGUAACGCCAUCAGCUGCCCCCUCCCUGACCUCCCAUUAUCCUCCCGAUUAUCUCCAGCGCCCCUGCCCCCCUGCCUCCAGGCGAUCCACGGCGCCCGUGCGGCACUGCGCGGCUACUCGUCCUCCCCCUCGCCGCCCUCCUGCCCCGGCUUAUACACGUCUCUCCGCUGCACGUUGUAGCGGUCGCGCAGCUGCCUGUGGUGCAGCAGCAGCAGCCCGUGGUGCAGCAGCCAUGUGGGUCAGGGGUCAGGGGGCCAGUCACGUGCGCGGCACGGGGGCGCCAUGGCGGCGGCAGCGCGCAUGCCCUUCACAAGAGGGGUCCUACCAGGAGCUAGCCUCACGACCUAACCUUGCCCAAACCCUCCAUCCCCCACGACCCCUCUCGGCCCCCCGCCCCGCUCCCUUACCUGCACGGCACGUAGUCUCCCCGGCCAUCCAAGCCCAGGAACAGGAUGUAGAGGUAGGGGUGCUGCAGCGGGUCGGUGCCGUACACCUCGGCCCAGCUCUUGGGCUUGGCGCCCUCGGCCGGCGGCUCCAGCUCCGGCGAGGUGAGCAGCUCUGGAGGGGGAGGGAGCGGGAGUCGCGGUUGGGUGGCGUGGUGGGGAAGACUUGUCUUCAUGUCUUGUGACUACGUGUGUGCAGCUCGGGUAAGCACCUGCCAUUACGCCCCCGGCCCUGCGCCACGUGACCACCCACCCUCGGGCACGUACGCCACGGGCGGCAGGUGCGGGUCGUACUCCCAGUCCCGCGCGUCCACCAGCAGCUGCAGCCGGGCAGUAGCGGCGAGUGGCGAGUUGCAUGUGUGUUUGUGGUGGGAGGGGCCGUGGGAUAGGGCAAGGCACGCGUGUGCGGGUGCGGGUGUCCGGACGGGUGCGGACACCAGCGGUGCUGAUUUUGACCCGGUACCCCUGGCCCACCGCGACAUAAGAGUUACGGCGUGUAAGCGCCCACUAGGUACGCCACGAGCCCAGACCGCCCCCUCCCGCGCCCACUCUCACGCCCCACCCCGCCCCCAGCCCUCCACUCACGUGGUAGAAGGGCUGGCCGAUGCCGCGGCCGCACUCGCCCACCCGCGCCGCCGCGAUCCAUUCCUCGCUCUCGCAGCAGCGCAUGUCCCACCCCACCACCACACCCCGGUAGCCCAGCUGCUUGUGCAGCACCCGCUGGCCCAGCCGCAGCACCGGGCCUGUUGCCAGUGGGCGGGUGCGUGUCACCAUGCGGCGGGUGCGCGUGAUGGCAGUGGCGAGAAGGAGGUAAGAGAUUGGCGCAUCGGGCGACAGCAAGGCGGCUACUAUCGAGCCCACCACAUGCAUAUGCGCAGCUACACGCACACGCCCUGCCUUUCUGCCCAGCAUACAGCAUCGCAUUUCCUACACGUACGGUGUCGACACCUUCAACGUGCGCUUCCAUUGCACACAACCACUCAUGUUCUGUGUCCCAACAACACAGCAAAGGAGCUCACCGUUGGGCGAGGUUGUGUCCCACUCCGCUGCCAGCGCCGCCGCCUUCUUGGCCUCCGUCUCCAGCUCCUUCAGCAGGUCGCGGUACUUGGCCGCGGAGCCGUAGCUGCACAAGUGCGGUGAGCCGUGAGCGGUGAGCCGUGAGCGGUGCGGUGCAGCGAGCGGGUGUGGUUGUCAGGGACAGCGGGUGACUGGUCGAACGGUGUCGUCACGUCGCCACGGAGCCCCCCGCCCCCUCGAAACCACAGCUCCCGCCAGCUGGCACCGAGCCCCGCCCCUUGCUACUUAACACUGGCGUACAGCCCCCAGGCCCCGAUCGGCCCGACCCCGGACCCCCCUGUGUACCGGUACACCCGCACCCGCACCCCACCCCGACCGGCCCCAGCCCCGGCCCCGGCCCCUGCUCACUCCUCCGCCUCCACCGCCCGCUGCAUCUCCGUGCGCAGCCGCAGCAGCUCCGCCGCGUAGUCCGCCCCCGCCAGGCGCUGCACCGCCACGGGGGCACCCGUGUUCCUGGCCUUGCGCUCCUUCAUGGACUGCACGGCCUCGUCCACCUGGCGGGUGAAUACACGUAUGCACGUGUGUGUAUGUGUGUGUUGAGGGCUCGCAGCCUCACAAGUGGGCACACGGAGGCGGGUGCGGGGUGGAUGCCUCCUGAAACACGCAAACACACGCCCCCGCACCCAUACCUCGCCCCCGGCCUCGGCCUGCCAGCCCGCCGGCCACCUUCCCCGCCGUGCGCUCACCCGCUGCCGCUUCUUGCGGACCUCCUGCGCCGCCUCGUAGGCCUCGUAGUUGAGGCAGCGCUGCAGCUGCGUGUCCAAGUCGAGCUGGGGGCGGUGCGUGGCGUGCCGUAGCGGAUGGGGAGGGGUUAAGGGGUUAAGGCCUUGGGGGAGAUGGCGGAUGCAGCGCUCAUAAGGGCCAGGACUCAGGAGGGAGGGGUCAUCACUGGCUGCAGGGUGACGCCGGCAGAAUGGGUGGAGGGGCCUGUCCAGGGGCUCCUAGGGGGCCUGUCCUGGUCAAGUCGUGGUCCACUCGCCCGGCCGCACGCACCUGGAAGAUGAAGUAGACCACCUCCUCGUUCACCAGCUGGCUGCGCUCUCGCUCCCCCACCGGCCGGACUAGUGAGCGUGAGCGCAAUGGGCGUGUAUGCGCGCCGCAAGUGGUGGGAAGGGAACAGGUAUGAUGAGCGCGCGAAAGAGACGCCAGAACGUGCACGGUCCAAACUCACCGGUCGCACCGCCCUCUGACGCCUCCGGUGUCGCAUUCAUGCGCACACACAGUCGCCUAGACGACUGCUGCACUGCACGCAAGCUGAAGCGCUGCGCAGCAACUGCCGACGCGGCAACAUGUGCGGGGAGUGCGGAGAACACUGUCGAACGUCGCCGUGUGCGCGACUGCAGCGAUACGAGUGGUGUAAUCUGAUGUUGAAGAGCUAAAUCCGGGCUGCGGUGCCGUGCUUUCAGGGGUGGCUGGACUUGCUUUACACGCGAGAGCUGCAUUCUGUGGGUGCUUCCAGCCCAGCCCUGCAGUAGCUUGACUUGCAAUCAGUAAAUGGUGUUAUACAUGUAUGUGUGGGCGGAGCGAUAAUGGACUGCAAUCCCAGAAAACCUUGCCGUGGAUUGGACGUCUGUCAAAGAGGCACAGUUCUGCUUCACGCGUUGUAAUUUCAACCACGAAUCCCGGUAUACACAUUUUGAGCGCAUCAGCUUGGAUUUGCACACGCUUGUUUGCAACAGUCAGAAAUGACUGUGGGGAUCGACCAACUUUAGCGCUUGCGGGCCACCCCGCACAACCCCGGUUGCACUCUUGGCCUCAGGAAUGGCUAGGACUUCCUGGAUUGGAGCGGUUUUGGCCGUCUUGCUGGCGGAAGCUGGCUGGAGCCUGGUGUCCGCUGGGCCGGACCACUCCCCCACACCUAGCUGCUCGGACCUGUAUCGGAGUCUGAGCCCGGAGGAGCGGCACGCGGCCCGUGAUUCUGCUCAGGCAGUACAAGUGCGUAUUGGGGCGCAGAAUCGGGCGGGUGGCCUUUGUGGGUAGGUUGGGGUUGGGAUACGAAGGGCGACACACGGUGGCCGUGGCUAUCCUUCCGCGGGGCCGACACAGUCGCAUCUGUGGCUGUUGCAAGCCAGCGGUGCGAGUCGAAACUAGGACAUUAUAUGUGCUUCUUGGUUUUUGCUUGGGGCCAUGGAAGUAGACACUUUCUGCCGAGUGCCAACGCCAACACUGCUGUGUGACACCUGCAGCCCCGCACGCCGCCUGCCUACCCGCUCCGCCCCUGCCCACCUCCAGGCAUUAGAGUCCUACAUCGGCCAGGCCAGGCUGGGUCGGCCGCUGCCGGCCAACAGCAACGCCACCGCGCCGCCCACGGCCCCGGCGCUGGAGGGCUGGCUGGCCGGGAACUACUCCCGCCUGCAGCAGCUGCUGGAUGGCUCGGGCGCGUCACAGCGGCUGGGAGGAAGGUGAGCUUCACAGGGCUUUCAGAGAGUGGUAGCAGAUGCUGAAGACUGGUACACACGUCGGUCCAGCAAGGUUCUGCCUGGAGGCUUAUCGACCUACCCCACUGUGCCAAUUUGUUGUCUCGUGCGCUGUCGCGCCGUCCUUGCACACAGCGGCACGGCUAUGACUGCGGCCAAGGCCUGCCUGUCCGCGCGGCUGCACCCGGACGGCUUCGCGGGCCGCCCCGUGAUGUCCAUCCUACUCAACUACUUCAAGCGGCCACAGAUUGUGAAUAGGAUAUCGGCGGCGAUGCGCAAAGCCUGCGACGCGGUCAACGUGACGUGCGAGAUGGUGGUCAAUGUGGAUAACCCAGAAGAGGCCGGGCUGUGGGCGGACCAGGCUGGCUUCGUGGUGCCUGUGUUCUCGGCAAACCUACAUGAGUCACGUGGAUACAACCGGGCCGCCAAGCUGGCGCGAGGGCGCUACCUGAUCAUCUGGCAGGUGCGGUGCGUGUGCACGUGGUGGUGGUGGUGUUGGGUUCGCACGGGAAGAGCGAGUUCGCAGGACUGAGUGCACGGGAAUGCGCACGGGCAUGGAGCGAGGAAUCUGGGAAAUGGCAGGCGUGGCAGGCGCGUGUGCCUGGGCUACCUCGACCUGAGCGGUGUUGUGCAUGUGGCACGGCCUUGGCGCCCGCAGAGGUGCGGCUGGUUUCAAAUGCCAUCCCCCCUCUCUUCAUCCCAACAGGAUGACCAGCUGCCCAACGAGCAGGGCACCUGGCUGCUGGACAUGAUCAAGGUGUUUGACGCCUACCCGCAGCUGGGCAUCCUGGGCAUGAACACCUACCGCCUGUGCAAGCACACGGAGAUGACGAACCGAUACGGCUGGACGUUUUGGGACCCCGACCCAAAGACCGGCGUCAAGUGGUCCUUCGCACAGGUGCGGCAGCUUAACCUACCCUCAGCACCUUGCGAGCGCAACCUCACUACGCAUGCGGGGUACGCCUACGGGUCAUGUGUAGUCGUUCUCCACCCCGCCCUGCUCCCCUAUCGCAUCAUUCCGCCGCAGCACGUGGACUUCGCGCCCAUGGCCAUCCGCGCCUCCAUCUACCACGAGCUGGGCGGCUUGGAUGAGGGGAUAUCCCGGCCGGGCGACUGCGGCAUCUGGGGCGACUGGGAGCUCACCAACCGCGCCUGGAUGGACGGAUGGCAGGUGCGCACAGGAGGUCGCGGGCGCCGACGUAGGGUACAGGGUCUUAGGAAUGAGGGGCACAUAAGACUUGAACCUGGCCCGUUAGGCUGGCUUCGGUGGUGAGGCCAGCUUCCACAUGCCUGCUACACGCCAUCAACCGCUCGUCCGGUUUCUACGGGCUCCGUGACCUGUCCGCAUACCAUGAAAGCUCACAUGCCCUGUGACCCGUGCGGCAGGUUGGCUUCAUGUUCUCAGACGGCCGCGGCGGUGACGGUCUCCCCGGCGGCACGCACUUAGGCUCGAGCGCGGAGAAGUGCUGGGGGCGGCAGCAGCACGUGGCGAUGCACGUCUUCCACCGCAGGUGGGUCGGGGCAGCUGCAAGCCUGCAAGAGGGCCGCAGUGCUUUUGCACGCAUGCCUUGCGCGCGCCCCGUAUGACACACACCACACAACCCGUGACCCGCACCUGGCAGGUACGGCGUGGAGUGGGUCCACGACCCGAUGUGCGGGCGCGUGUGGCUGCUCAACAUGCUGCACCACAAGCUGGGCUACGGCACCUGCCCCUACGGCACCAAGGAGACCCGCUUCGGCAACUGCACGGUGCCGAUGGCCGCAGACAUGGAGCGAGCGCGGCAGGAGAUGGCGCAGCUGGAGGCGGCGGCGCGCGUGCGCGGCUCCGGCACGUACUCGGCCCACGUGCCGCUGGAGCAGGUGGCGGGGCUGCAGCUGGGCGCGGCGCGGAAGGCGAUUGCGGUGGCGGGGGACAAGGGCGCCGGCCGUGCCGGGAACGCUGGCGGGGCCGGGGGGGCGGGGUCAGGUGUGGGUGUCGCGGGUGCGGGUGGCGCGGGUGGCGCGGCUGGGGUGGGUGGCGGGGUGGCGGGUGGCGGAGGUAUAGGCGGGGCGCAAAGCGCUGGAGGUGCAGGGCCGGGGCCGGGGGCGGGGGCGGGGGCGGGGGCGGGGGCGUCUGGGGGAGUCCUGCCCGGCGAUGUCAGCAUGGACAUCGCCCCGCGCAUUGUGCGUGACGCUCAGCAGCAAGCGGGUGCAGUGGCUGGGCACAGGAUGCGGCUGCGGACACGGCGGAGAGAGAGGCAGAGCUGAGGUGCUGGCAACAGAGGGUGUGUCCGUGUGACAGGGUGGGGGAAUGGGAAUGUGAUACGGUGUUGAUGAGUGCGCUUACCUGUCAUGUAUGCGACACUGCGACGGCUUUGACAUGAUAAACUGGAGUUUACGGAUCGUAAGGAUUGUGGCAUCAAGUAGUGAUAAUCUGAAACUGUUCACACGGGGCCGAAAUCGAUGGCGCAUGCCAGGUGGGGUUGACACGGGCCUGUAUGGGGACUGGGGAGCCAUUUCCGGGCUUCAAUUGGUGGCUUGAGGCUUCGAGGCAUCGUCCGUGGUUGAAUACUGCGUAAAUAAUACCAGCUCAGACCACCAUGCACCUGCCCGCAAACUAAGCUCGAAGCUGUUGCUCCACAGUCGUUCCAGGCGCGAACUGUGGCGCGAACUUGUUUCAUCGCUUCAGCGCGAAAUUCUUGGCGGCAAGGACAUUAAAAUGAUUUUCACAUAGCCAGAGUUUGCAGUAUGAACCUUGUUUCGGCCCUCCUAGUGCUGAUAGUCGCUCAACUGCGCACGGCCCAAGUCUAUGCGGGACCCGACCACACGCCAAUCGCGUUGUGCAGCGACUUAUAUCAUGCUAUAAAGCCAGAGCACCGGCACCUGGCGCGAGACUCUGUACAGGCGCUGCAGGUAGGGGCUGCCACGGGACGGGUGUUGCUCGGCAACGGGCAGUCCAGGGCAGUCUGCCUCCAGUGCCCUCACGCGAUCCAGCCAUCAGUGGCCGGGUUAACUCCGGGCGUGCAAUGCUUGAAGGAUACUGUGCUCGGUGUCACAGAGGCGUGAAGCCGCAGGUGCAUGUCACUUGCGGCAUGCUAAGGGCAGGGUAGCACGACUGGCAUUGCCAACAGUGCUGUGUGACAGCUGCAGCCCCGCACGCCGCCUGCCUACCCGCUCCGCCCCUCUCCCCCUCCAGGCAUUAGAGUCCUACAUCGGCCAGGCCAAGCUGGGUCGGCCGCUGCCGGCCAACAGCAAUGCCACCGCGCCGCCCACGGCCCCGGCGCUGGAGGGCUGGCUGGCCGGGAACUACUCCCGCCUGCAGCAGCUGCUGGAUGGCUCGGGCGCGUCACAGCGGCUGGGAGGCAGGUGAGCUUCACGGGGCCCCCUGGCUUAUGGCAGAGCCCAUGCUCCUUCGCUGCCAAAGCCAUGCUGGUAACGCCUGACCUGGACAUUGUGCCAAUGGUGCCGGUUCCUUCCGCAUGUGCAGCUCGGCCGCUGUGACUGCGGCCAAGACCUGCCUGUCCGCGAGGCUGCACCCGGACGGCUUCGCGGGCCGCCCCGUGGUGUCCAUUUUGCUCAACUACUUCAAGCGACCCGGCGUCAUUCCGCGCAUUGCGGAGGCCAUGCGCCAGUCGUGCGACUCGGUGCAGAUAGCGUGUGAGAUCUCUGUAAAUGUGGACAACCCGCAUGAAGCCGAACUGUGGGCGAGCCAGGUGCGCGCCUUCGUGCCCGGCUUUGUGAUGCCGGCCUUCUCCGCCAACCUGCACGAGGCGCGUGGAUACAACCGGGCCGCCAAGCUGGCGCGAGGGCGCUACCUGAUCAUCUGGCAGGUGCGGUGCGUGUGCGUGUGUGUGUGUGUGCGAUUCUCGGCUUCGUUUGUUGGUUUUUAACAAACACACACCCACACACACACACACACACACACAAGCAUACACACAACCACCAAGAUACCUUCGUAGGCACACGCACAACUAACGUACCCAAGCAUUUCCUCUCUCACAGGACGACCAGUUCCCCCCGGCGCACGGCAAAUGGCUGCUCGACAUGAUCCGGGUGUUUGACGCCUACCCGCAGCUAGGGAUCCUGGGCAUGAACACCUACCGCCUGUGCAAGAACCGUGAGAUGACCAACCGCUGGGGCAGCACCGUGUGGCGGGUGGACCCGCGCACAGGCGUGUCCUGGACCUUUGCGCAGGUGUGUUCACGUGCGUAUUCAUGUGCGUGCGUGCCGCCACAGGCUGCUGCGGCAAGCGGAGGAUGCAGAAUGAUGGGAAGGGGGUGCAGAAAGGCUGGCGGGGGAGGCUCGGGAAUCGACGAUCGUCAGUGGAAAGGGUAGCGCUGGUGGCAGGGCGGGGCCGGGACUCCACAUCCCGUGCUUUCCCGCAUGGUCGUGUGCUCAGUACUCAGGUACUAGUACGGUACUCCCAACUAUCCAACUGCCGCACACGUGCCUGCCGUACGGGGCCCUCAGUCUGGGCCCAUCAUACCACUGUGUGCACGUGUGUCGCAGCAUGUGGACUUUGCGCCCCUGGCUGUGCGUGCCUCCAUCUACCACGAGGUGGGCGGGCUGGAUGAGAACACGGCGCGGCCGGGCGACUGCGGCAUCUGGGGCGACUGGGAGCUCACGUCGCGCGCCUGGAUGGACGGAUGGCAGGUGCGCACAGAGGGUCGCGGGCGUGUGUCUGCAUGUGUGUGUGUGUGUGGGGGGGGGGAGGGUUUGUGUGUGUUAAAGAGCGCAAGGAAGAAUAUUACGCGUAGGACAGGGUAUGCGAUGCGAUGCGAUGCGUGUGUGCUAUGUAGGCGUGAGGGAUGCUGGCCAUGGUUUGUGGUGGUGAUGUGGGUGAUGCCAAGCGGCGCGUACACCGUGUCCGCGUUGCAAUACACUUGGGUCGCGCCCCUGGCAGUGGGCUCCUAUUGGGUUGUCUGGAUGCACGAUUUCGUGGUUACUUCCACACAAGUUAUUGGUCCUCCCCGUGUGCCCUUUACCCUCGUCACACCGGUCGCCGGCUCACAAGCACCUUCACGCCCAUCCAUUCGGUCGUACUCACCUCCUCCUCCGUACCACCGUACUACGCCGCCACCACGCCCACGCCCCAGUCUAACCACCCGCUCACACCCAUGACAGCCCCGCGCAUCCCACCUCCCCGCACCCCACCUACCCCCGACCCAGGUGGGCUUCAUGUAUGUGGACGGCCGCGGCGGCGAUGGCGAGCCCGGCGGCACGCACCUGGGCUCGAGCGCGGAGAAGUGCUGGGGGCGGCAGCAGUGGGUUGCCAUGAACCUGUUCGCGCGCAGGUGGGUCGGGGGCAGGUGGGGGUCGGGGGCAGGGGCGGGCCGCGCCGCGUGGUGUCGGUAAUGCCUGUGGGAUUUGUGGCCCCCUGUACGCUGGCAUGCAGUGCCGUGUGCCGUGUGUCGUGUGCCAUGGACCGGUGGCAAGUCACCAGCACGCGCCGAUGAGCACUGAAAGCUUCCUUGUGCACAGGGGGGAGGCCGACACACACGGGCUUCUGCGCAGGGCGCGCGCCUUUGUGUGUGCCGCAACGCGGGCAGGCACCCAUCCGCCCGUCCCCGACUUGCGCGGCCAUGCCCCGCGAUCUCCAAACCUGACUUGCACCGCCACAGUCACCUCCCCCUCUGUCACCCCCCCCCCACACACACGCACAGGUUCGACCACGUGAACGACCCCCUGUGCGACCGGGUGUGGCUGCUCAACAUGCUGCACCACACCCUGCCCGCCGGCCUGCCCUGCCCCUACAACAUCUCGGCGGCUGACGGCAGCUACGACACCCGCUUCGGCAACUGCAGCGCUCUGCUGCCCAUGGCGCGCGAGCAGGCGCGGCAGGAGCUGGCGGCGCUGGAGGCAGCGGCGGUGGUGCGCGUCGGCGGCGCCUACUCGGCGGCAGCGCCGCUGCCGCCGUUGCAACGGCGGUCCAGGGCGCGGGUGCAGCGGAGAACGGCGCUGAGGCGGCGCGUGCUGGGGCUGGGGCUGGGUGUUGAGGCGGGGGCGGAGGUAGGGGAAGAGGUGGGGACGGAGGAGCUGAGAGGCGGGGCGGUGGGGAUAGAGAGUGAGUGGGGAAGUGGUGAGGGUGAGGUGCAGGGGAUAGGGGAGGCGUCUGCAAACGGGCCCGAUCGAGUCGGUGUCGAGUGGUGACCAUGUGCACACAAAACUCUUUAUACUUUUCAGAACGCUGAAGUAAUCGACGUUCUUACUCGGCGCAGCAGCUUGCCGAGGCAUUUGGUCGAACUCUGCGGUUUCAUUUUGCACUUGACCAGGUCGAUAGGGUUCCUUUCGGCACUGUGUGCAUAAUGGGGGAAGCGGGAUCUCUGGGUUCAAGUAGCCCGGGCACCGCUGCAGGGCCAGCGACCGUGCUAACGCCCAACGCCACUAGCGGUGCUCCGGGCGACUCGGAGGGCGGGCUUCUUGCGCUGCCCUUGGAAAUUAUCGUAACGAUACUGGAUGCGCUUCCGAGGCGCUGUCUAUCGACGGUUCGAUGCGUCUGCAAGCGGUUUGAAGAGAUUUGCGCUGAGCGUCUGGUGAAGAUGUGCAUCCGCGUCGAGGCCCAGCCUCGCGUGCGCCAGACGCACGGCAUCUUCACAAUACCCGACACGGGACGGUGCGCAGCAGGUCAGACGCUCGCGGACUCCAGCGACCAGGCUGGCCCAUCCUCCUCGUCGGCACCCGGGAUGGCCUCCGCGGCAGCACCCGCGGCCCCGGCCGCCCAGCCCCAGCCCCAGCCUCCGCGUUACAGCUGGAUGCCCUACGUCCGGGAGCUGACCCUGGUACUCAGUCCCGACCCGCCGGCGCCCGAGCCGCCGCAGCACCAGCCCGCUGCCGCCCCGGCCCACGCCGCGGCCGACCACGGCCCCCACGGCCCCCAUCCGCAGCCAGGUCCUGAACCGGCUCACAUGCAGCAGGAAGAGGGGGUGGGCGGCGCGGCGGGGAACGGCGGCGCGGCCGGUUUGCCGGGUGCGGGCGUGGCGGUGGCCGCGGCGCCCGCCCUGCUGUUGGAACUGGACCUGGGCGCGCCCGCCCCACAUCAGCACCACCACCACCACCCCAACUGGCAGCAGGUACAGGCGCAGGCGGUGGCGCAGGCGCAGGCUGCAGGGCUGGGCGGCGGCGGCCAGCAGCAGCAGCACCAGCAGGAGCACCAGUAUCAGCACCAGCAGCAUCAGGGCGCAGCAGCCGCAGCCGGCGGCCCGGAGCCGAUGGCGGUCGACGACGGCGACGGCGCACCCGCACCGCCGCAGCCACCCCAGCCCCAGCACCAGCACCAGCAGCACUAUGACCUGCCGCAGCUGCCGCUGCCGCCGCAGCAUCCCCUGCAACCUCACAACCACCAACUGCCUCACCACGAGGUGGUGGCGGCGUGGGCGCAGCACCUGGCGGACGACCUGCAGGCGCUGCUGGCGGCGGCGGCGGCGGGCGAGGGGGCGGCGGGCGAGGGGGCGGCAGAUGGGGGCGGAGGCGAUGCUGCAGGCGGCGGUGGCGGCGUGGCGGGCCGUGUGGAGGGGCUGGUGGGCCAGGUGGAGGCAGUGCUGGCACACGGCGCGGCGGGGCCGCCGCACGCGGCGGAUGAGGGGGGGCUGGGGGUAGAGGCGGAGGCGGAGGCGGGGCAAGGCCAUGCGGGGGCAGCGGAUGUUGAGAUGGCGGGCGGGGUGGAGGUGGAGCCGGCGGAGGCAGCAGCGCCGACGGCGGCGGCGGCAGGGCCGUUCCGGGCGCAUGCGGAGGCGGUGGUGGCGGCGGUGCUUGCGGCAGCGGGCUUGCCGCCGCACUUGCACCAGCACCUAGGGUCCAACCAGCCGCCGCAGCAGCAGCAGCCGCAGCAGCUGCAGCAACCGCAGCAGCAGCAACCGCAACCGCAACCGCACGCCCUGGCGCCGGCGGGUGCGCGCGUCUCCCCGGCGCCCCAGGCCCCGGAGUCGCAGCCCUCACACCAGCCCCACCACCCCGACGCCAGCGGUGCCGGCCCGCUGCAGCCGCCGCCGCAGGAGCCAUUGCCGCCGCCGCAGGAGCUAUUGCCGCCGCCGCUGUCUGAGGAGGCGGCGGAGGAGUUGCUGUCGCAGCAGCUGGGUGCACUGGCGGCCGGCCUGCUGCCGUCGCUGCCGCACCUGCACACGCUGUCGCUGGAGGCUGUCCCGCGGCGCUGCAUGGCGGCGGCGGGCGCCGCCGCCGCCGCCGCCGAGGGCAUCAGCGAGCUGCGCAUCGAGCGAGUCACGUCGCCGCCACCGGUGCCACCAGAGCAGCCGGCGCCGCCGGCGGAAGACGGCAUGAACGGCGUCGCUGCGGCCGCUGGCGGCGCAGGCGGUGCCGACGGCGCAGGCGGUUUGGGCGGCCUGGGCGCCCUGGCGGGCCUGGGCAAUGGCGCGGGGGCGCUGGGCGGGCUGGCACUGCUGCAGGAGCUGCAGGCGCUGUUCGCGGGCCUGCCGGCGGUGAUGCCGGCGGUCCUGCCGGCGGUGGUACCGGCGGGGCUGCACGGGGCCGGAGGCGGAGGUGGAGGUGGAGGCGGCGGAGGAGGAGGCGGGGCCGGAGGUGGAGGCGGGGUUGGGGCCGGAGGAGAUGGGGAUGGGGCCGGAGGAGGAGGAGGAGGAGGAGGAGGAGGAGGAGGAGGAGGAGGAGGAGGAGGAGGAGGAGGAGGAGGAGGAGAAGGCGGGGGCGAGGCGAUUGAGGGCGUGGAGGCUGCAGGUGGUGAGCAUGUCGAGCUGGAGAUGUUGGAGGAUGACCCCUUCCAACAACUACCCCAACAGCCACAACAGGCGGCGCCGCCGCAACAGCCGGAGCAGGCCGCGGUAGGGCCGCACGCCCCUGGAGACGUGCACAUGGCGGACGCUGCAGCAGGGCCGGAGGCGCCGGGCGCACAGCAGCCGAACCAGGAGCAGCAGCAGCCGCAGCCGCAACAGCAGGAGCCGCUACAGCAGGAGCCGCAGGAGCAGGACUUGGCGGAGGAAGACGCCGACGCGGCGGCGGCGGCGGCCGGCGGCGCGGAGGACGACGCGGCGGUGGCGGCGGCGGCGGAGGCGGCGGCGGCGGCGCAGGUGCUGGAGGCGGUGGCGGCGCAUGUGGCCAUGCACAUGCAGGGUGUGGUGGCGGAGUACCAGGACCACGUGGCGGCGCUGGGGCACCUGCACGGUGGCGGCGGCGCUGCGGGCGGCGCUGUGGGCGGCGGUGUGGCCGGCGGUGCGGGUGGGGCUGGGGCUGGGGCUGGGGCUGGUGGUGCCGGGGCUGGGGCUGGGCCUGCGCUGCAUGACCACGUGGUGGCAGCCAUGGCCGCCGCCGGCCUGCAGCAGCAGCAGCAGCAGCAGCAGAUGGACGCACACCAUGAAGCACACCACGAGGCACACAUGGCGGCGGCUGCGGCGGCGGCCGGCGGCAACGUCAACGGUGAUGGAGCUGGUGGCGGCGCAGCGGGCGGUGGCGGGGUCGACGUGGCUGCAGCAGCACCACCGCCACCAGCAGCAGCAGCAGCAGGCGCUGGCGGCGGCGGCGGUCAUGGUGGCGGCGGUGGUGGAGAUGUGGAUCUGUUGGCCAGCGGUGGCAGCUUCACGGAGGAUGGCGACAGCGGCGGCGGCGAAGACGAGGACGAGGCGGAGGCGGCGGCGGCGGCCGAGGCGGCGGCGCGGGAGGCGGCGGCGGUGGCGGGCGACGCCGCCUUCUGGGCGCGUGUGGCGGGCCUGCGCGGGCUGCGGUCGCUGGUGCUGCGGGGCGGCGAGAUGCGGGCGGCGGACAUGGCGGGGCUGGUGGCGCUGAGCGGGCUGGAGCGGCUGGCGGUGAGUGGGGGUGGGGGUGAGUGGGGGUUGUGGCCGUGUGCGUGUGUAUGUGAGUGUGUGUGAGAGAGAAAGAGUGGAGGGAUGUGGGUCGGCGUCAGGCGGCCUUGGGUGCUGUGAGUACCGGACUGCCUGCUGCUUCCGGUUGAGGCCCUGCCCCGCACCGCCCUCCGCGGUCCGGUAUUGAUACUUCCUGCCGUGCUGCAUGGCUGCACGCACACACGCACACGCCCGCAUGCCCCCAGGUGAACCACGUGAUCAACACGCACCCGGGGCUGGCGUGUCUGUCUCGCCUCACCGCCCUCACCAGCCUGGUCAUUGAGGACCUGCAGUACGUGGUGCGUGGGGGGGGGGGGCGAGAGAAGGAGGGAGGUGUGUGUGCGUGUGUGUGUGUUCGUGUAUGCAUGUAUGUGUGUAAUCACGUUACCCGGAGGCCCUCCCAUCCCACCCAGCUGCCCUCCACUUCCCUCUCCGCGCUUUUACGCCCCACCUGACCCCCCCCCCCCCCGCCACCUCCGCCACCUCCUGCCACCUCCAGGGCGGCGCCAUCCACGACGAGUUCUGCGGCCUGUCGGCACUGACUCGGCUGCGGUCGCUGUCGUUCCUGGUGGUGGGGCCGCUGCCGGCCGAGGUGAUGGCCUGGGGCAGCCUCAGCCAGCUCACACAGCUCGAGGUGAGCGGGUGGGGGGCUGGGUGGGGGUGAGGGUGGCUGGGUGGGUGGAUGUGGGUGGGUGGGUGGUGGGUGGGUGGGUGAGGGUGAGGGAGGGAGGAGUUGUGGGUAUGGGCGUGGGUGGGUGGAUUAGGAAGGGAGGGAGGGAGGGAGAGGUUUUGGGUGGUGGGUGGGUGGGUGAGGGCAGGGAGGGUGCGGCUCGGCCCUGGCUUACCUCCCCAUCCCCCCGUGCACACUCCGGCCAUGCCUCCUCGUGCACACACACUCCCCCCCUCCCUGUCUCCCCUCCUCCAUCCCUCCCCUCCUCCCCUCCUCCCUCCCCUCCCCCAGAUCACCAACCACUACGACGACAACCUGCUGCCCUGCUUCGGCGCCAUGCUGCCGCGCCUGCCGCACCUGGCGGCGCUGCACCUCUCCAACUUCGACCUCACAAACGCACUGCUGCUGGCGGUGAGGGGGGCGCGGGUUACAUUCAUGAAUACGGCAGCUAAGGAAAGGGUAGGGGCGGUUGUAAAUACCAGCCCAACCUAAAGCAAACCAAGCCAAGGGCCAAGAGGGGGGGUUGUGCCCAAGCCCAGCGGAAAUGUCCGUCACCAUCAAAGGGGGGGAGGCGGAGAGAGCGGGGGCGGGGUGGGCCGAAUGUGGGGCUGGUGGUGUAUCCAUGCGGUGGUCCAGCGAAGGCGCGGGCCACGCACGUCGGCCGCUGUGGGUCCUGGCACCCGGGCUGCCGCCGUACGGGGCCGGGGCUCCCCAUGCCGGGCCAGCGGUACUCCCGGGCAGGGCGUCACACCGCCCCGUGGGCCCACAGCAAUGCUCUGAAAGCCCCCUCCCCUUUCUCCCCCACCCACCCUCCCUCCCCGUCCACUCCCUCCCCGUCCGCUCCCUCCCCGUCCGCUCCCUCCCCGUCCGCUCCCUCCCCCUCUGACCUCCCCCUCCCCCUCCCUCCCCCGCAGCUGCGGCCCUGCACCGCGCUGACCCGCCUGCAGAUGGGCCGCUUCAACGUCACCGCCUCGCCGCCGCCGCCGGCCAUGACCUCCCUGCGCCUGCUGCACCUGGGCUUCGUGGAUGACCUGCAGGUGGGGGCGGGGGGCGGGGGGUGGGGGGGGACUGGGCGGCAUUUGUUGCGGGUUGAUGUUAGAAAAACCACAAGCGAAGGGCGUGCGCGUAGUUUUGUGCUGCCUCCGCACCUCCGCCCCCUCACCGCGCCUCCGCACCCCUCCUACCUCCUCCCCUCCCCCGUUUCAACGUCGCCCUCUCCAGUCUAGUCAUGCCUGGCACUCCCCGCCUCCCCCCUACGCCUGCUGUCUUCUUCGCUACAUUUCUCUGUACCAAUCCUUGCAACCCCCCACCACCACUUCCUCACAUAUCAUGGGUUAACUCCCCUCCCUCCCCCCUCCUCCCCACCUCCCCUCCUCCCCACCUCCCCCCCUCCACCCUCCCCCCCAGCACACGGAGGUGGCGCUGGUGUCGGUGUUCCCGCGCCUGGACGAGCUGGCGCUGCAGACCCGCUACGUGCUCAGCCACGAGUCAGCCGCGCGCAUCCCCAGGGAGCUGCUGCUGCCGCCACCGCACCACCACGUGCAGCAGCAGCAGCAGCAGCAGCAGCAGCAGCAGGGGCAGCAGCCGGAGCUACAGCCGCAGCCGAUGGGCCCGCACCUCCCGCAGCAGCAGCAGCAGCAGGGAGGUGUGGGUGUGGGUGGUGGUGGAGGUGGUGGGGCGGCGGAGGGCCGGCCCUCGCCGCGGGCCCACGGCCGGGCGCUGCCGCUCACGUGAGUGGGCCCCGCGUGCUGCAGCGAGAGAGAGUGUGUGCGUGGGGGGAAAGGUGUGGGUGUGGGUGCGUGGGUGGGUGGGUGUGGGUGUGGGUGUGACUGGGGUCCUAGGUCCUCGCGCUGCGCCAUCUGCAUUUGUUUUGCGCUUGUCACGCCGAGAACGCGGCCCCCACCUCCCCACGCCUCGCCACGCCCCCCACCCCGUCUCCACCUCCUCCCCCCCCCCAGGCGGCUGCACCUGUACGACGCGCUGAUGAGCCCGCUGCUGCCGGGCGCGCUGCCGGGUCUGACGGCGCUGCGGCUGGACUGGAACCAGACCGACACGGCGGAGCUUGUGGGGCUGCUGGGCGGCUGGGGCGCGGGGCUGACGCAGCUGGCCUGGGCCAACUGCGACGCCAUGCAGGUGUGGAGAGGGGGCGGCGGGGGGGGGGGCGAGGAGGAGAGCGUGGCCUAUGGGGGAGGGGGGUAAAAGGGGAGGAGGAGAGGAGGGGGAGGAAGGGGAGGGGAGGGGGUUGCCGCCGAUGCAGGACGGAGUGGAUUUCCGUUUGCAGGGGGUGGUUGUGGCCGCGGCUGGCGGGGAGUUGGGGGGAGCGCGGCAGUCGCGCGUCUGGAGUACAAGCAGGCACGCGUGCUGGCGCGUGUGUAACCACUGAUGCCACCGCCCCAUCUGCCCUCCACCCCACACACACACACACACCUUCACUUCUUAGUUAAUCAUGAAUGUAACCUACACACACACACACACACACACACACACACACACACACACACACACACACACACACACACACACACACACACACACACACACACACACACACACACACACACACACACACACACACACACACACACACACACACACACACACACACACACAUACACACAGGACUGGGGCCUGGCCAUGCUGGUGGGCGCCCUGCCCAGGCUGACUGAGGUGAGGGCUGAGGGGAGGAGGGAGGGAGGGAGGGAAGGAGGGACAGGGGAACAGGCCGUCCAUGCAGUGCCGGAGGAGGGCUUCAGCCGGAGGUGGGGUGGGCCGGGGCCGGGGGUGGGGGGCAGGAACCAUGUGCCCGUGUCACUUGGCAGGCGGGCACACACAGCGCACUUCAGGCGACACAGCACGUGUCUUUACACGUCCUCAUUCGCCUUACGCGCUGCACCACAUCGCCCGUGAACUCCCCCGCCCCCCCCCACACACACACACACACCUCCUGCCCCCUCUCCCUGCCGCAGCUGGAGCUGACCCGCUGUGUGAGCAUCACGGACGGCGGACUGGCCGCCCUCACCGCCCUCACCGCCCUCACCUCGCUCACAGUCGCCGCCGCGGAGCAGGUGGGCUCAGCGGCGUGCAUGUCGUGUGUGCGUGUGUGUGGGGGGGGGCGGGGCGAGCUACGUGUGCAUGUGUGGAGAGAGCACAAAAGGGAGGGAAGCACGCAGGGCCGUGGGGGCCCAAGUGGGGAGCAAGGCGGUGAGGCUCAAAAGCGAGGAGGCAAAGGUGCCAAGGCUCUGCUGCACGACCUGCACAACACACACACACGCACAUGCGCACAUACAUGCAUAUACCCCACCCCCCAGCCCGCCCCACCCCACCCUACCCCAUCCCGCUCCGCCCGAAUCCUCCCCUUCCGCGCCCCGCCCCGCCCCGCCCCCGCGCAGCUGACGCACGCCGGCUUCCUGCCUGUGGCUGCUGGUCUGCGGCCGCUGCGGCGCCUGGUGCUGCGCGGCAUGCCGGCCCUCACGCCGCGGCAGGCGCAGCAGCUGGAGGAGGCGGCGCCGCGGCGGGGGGCGCUGCAGGUGGAGCUGCUGCCGCCGGGAGGGCCGGGAGGAGCAGGAGGCGGGCACCACUGAGAUAAUGGGGCGGGGGUUGCUGGGGAGUGCAUCAUGUGUGAAUUGUGUACAGUACAGUACAUUUGCGCUGGGCUCUUGGGUCGGUUCGCGAGGAAGUGGGGCGAUGCGGCGUGGAAACGUGGUGUGUGUCCUUUCACUGGUUUAUGUCCGCGCACCGUCCCGUUUUUGUGUCCGCUUUACUAGGCAUGGCAUGGAAGCUGGGCAUGGCAUUUGAUGUUGUGGAAACAUGCAGGCUCACGGUUCAAAUGGCUUUUCGGCGGCAUCAGUUGGCGCGGAAAUUGUACGGCUAACCGAGGCAACGACACUUCGGACGACUUCAUGGUUUUGUAUGUUGAAUUCGGCAUUCCCAUGUGGCAUUGUAACAUAAAGUUGAUUUGCAAAUACGACGCCCGCUUCACAAAGCGCUGGACAGGCCCCGACGCGACCUGUGACUUGGGGUUUAUAGUGCUAAGCACGCAAAGCUCGUUAAGCUUACGAUUUUGUUAUCGCUACGAGCCUUCUGACAGGAGUGUCUGUGGAAGUGCCAGCUGUUUGUCAAUUCCAGGUAAGGAUGCUCCUGGACUAGCGCUUGCGAGCAAGGCGUGCCCGCCGCCUCUGCAGGCUCAUAAUCUUACCACUGUGAGCAAAUUUCACACGUUCUGGGCGAUGUGCCGCAGGUGUGGACGCUGGCCCAGCAGCGAUGCCGGCAAGCAUCCCUCGUUGCGAAAUCCUUCUCCCCUCGCGCCCGACCGGCCUCGUUGUGCGCCACCGCGUGGAUGGAGCCUCCUGCGCGGCCGCGUCCGGUGAGGUCACAAGCGCCUCGAGCGCCAGCCGCCUGCCUCGAGGGCCCAGGACGCUACUAGAUCCCCAUAAAGCCCCUUCACGCACCCAAAGACGCUGCACCCGCCUGCCUCGCACUCUCCUCGCAGGCUCGGCUGCCGUCGCAUUUGAGACGCUGGUGUUCUUCCCCGACCGCGUGUGUGCGCUGGAGGGCGGCGGCGGCCUCAGCCCCUGGCGCCUGGGGCCGCAGCUGAGACUCACGGACGGCGCCACACGCGCCUCACACCUGUGAGUGUGAGUGGCACCCAGCCAGCAGUGCUGCUUGCCCGACCUGUCACAAGUAGCGCCCCUACGUGCAUCAGUUGCUGCUGUCCUUACAACCGAGAAACGUGUGUCCCGGCUUACGGUACUCUCGUGCAUGCCCGCGUGCCUUCACGCACACGCGCUGUUGCCUACCUACGUACCCGCCCUCUUGCCCCCCGCCCACCCCGGCUCCACGCGCCCGCCCUCCCGCCCGCCCGCCCGCCUCCUCGUGCAGCGUGUGCGACUCCACGCCCUGCGCCACCUACUGCGCCGCCACCGGCUGUGUCUACUUCGUGGAGGUGUGGGGGGAGGAAAACGCAUUGUGGCCGCGAGUUGCCAGCACCACGCACUGCACACACACACACACACACACACACACACACACACACACACACACACACACGCACACACACACACACGCACACGCACACACACACGCACACUUACACACACACACACUUACACACACAGGGUUACGCCAUUCUGAGGCUGGACGGCGCCAAUGUGGUGACGCCGGUGGCGGGCUGCAGCACCGAGUGCGACCAGGUGCCGGCGGGAAGGGGGGUGGGGGCGGGGCGGGGUGGGGGCUUUCAGCAGUCCCAGCAGGCAGCAACAUGGGCGCCAGCAGCAGGCGGCAGCAGCCUCGCCCGCACGCACCGGUUGCACAGCUCUGGCUGCAUGUGCCGCCCGCCUGCAUGCUGCUCACACACGUGCCACGUGCCGCCCGCACACACACACACACACACACACACACACACACACACACAUACACACACACACACACAUACACACACACACACACACACACACACACACACACACACACACACAUACACACACACACACACAUACACACACACACACACAUACACACACACACACACACACACACACAC